CCUCCAUUUCUAGAAAAAAAUAUGAUGUUUUCUUGAGUUUCAGAGGUGAAGAUACCCGCAACAACUUUACCGAUCAUCUCUAUGAUGCUCUAAGUAGGAGUGGGAUCGUCACUUUCAGAGAUGAUCCAAAGCUGGAGGCCGGCGAAGAGAUCGCACCUGAACUCUUUAAAGCAAUUCACCAAUCAUGGUGCUCAGUAAUCGUUUUUUCACAAACUUAUGCCUUUUCAAGUUGGUGCUUGGAGGAGCUUGCUGAGAUUGUUAAACAACAUAACAACGACGGCCAUAAAGUGUUUCCAAUUUUUUANNNNNNNNNNNNNNNNNNNNNNNNNNNNNNNNNNNNNNNNNNNNNNNNNNNNNNNNNNNNNNNNNNNNNNNNNNNNNNNNNNNNNNNNNNNNNNNNNNNNNNNNNNNNNNNNNNNNNNNNNNNNNNNNNNNNNNNNNNNNNNNNNNNNNNNNNNNNNNNNNNNNNNNNNNNNNNNNNNNNNNNNNNNNNNNNNNNNNNNNNNNNNNNNNNNNNNNNNNNNNNNNNNNNNNNNNNNNNNNNNNNNNNNNNNNNNNNNNNNNNNNNNNNNNNNNNNNNNNNNNNNNNNNNNNNNNNNNNNNNNNNNNNNNNNNNNNNNNNNNNNNNNNNNNNNNNNNNNNNNNNNNNNNNNNUUAAAAUUUCUUUUUCUUUAGGCAUGAAUCAGAAUUUAUUAAAGACAUUGUCAAGAAGAUAUCAGCAAAACUAUGUCAGACAUAUCCAGCUACUCAUAGCGACUUGGUUGGAAUUAGUAAACGUUUGGAGGAUUUAUAUUUGAAAAUAAACAUUGGGGAAGAUGAUGUCCGAGUUAUAGGAAUUUGCGGAAUGGGUGGUAUCGGUAAAACGACACUCGCAAGAGCUGCUUACACUCAAAUGUCAUCUCAUUUUGAAGGUAAAAGCUUUAUUGCUGAUAUUCGAGAAGUUUCAGACAAAUGCGGACUAGUUUCUUUACAGAAACAACUUCUUUCACAGAUCUUUCAUGGUGAAUGCUUCAACUUUUUCGAUGUUCAUGAAGGGAGCGACAUAAUUAGCCAUAGGUUGUCUCACAAAAAGGUUCUUGUUGUUCUUGAUAAUGUUGAUAACAUACAACACUUAAAAUGCUUGGUUGGAAGGCACGAUUGGUUCGGAUUAGGAAGUAGAAUCGUUGUAACAACAAGAGAAGAACAUUUGCUUCGAUCUUGGCCAGUUGAUGAUAUGUAUGAGCCCACAACAUUGAAUCCCAAAGAUGCGCUUCAACUUUUCAGUCUGAAAGCUUUUCAUAGUGAUACAGUGCAGAAAGAUGAUUUCAUUGAGCUUUCUAAACAUGUUGUAAAUUAUGCUGGCGGACUCCCUUUAGCUCUUGAAGUUUUGGGUUCCUUCUUGUGCGGUAGAGAUGCGACUCAAUGGAGAAGUGCGAUUGAAAGACUUAAAAGAGAUUCUAAUAAAGAAAUUUUCGAUAAACUUCGAAUCAGUUUUGAUGGACUGGAAGAAAGGGAGAAGAAUAUAUUUUUAGAUAUAGCAUGCUUCUUCAAUGGGGAGAAUAAAGAUUUUGUAAUCAAAGUAUUGGAUGGUUGUGAGUUUUUUCCUGAUAUUGGAAUUGAUGUUCCCGUUAAAAAAUCUCUCGUAAAAGUCGAUAAACACAACAAAAAUUUGAAGAUGCAUGACUUGUUACAAGAGAUGGGAAGAACAAUUGUUAGAGAAAAAUGUAUUGAUGAACCUGGAAAACGUUGCAGAUUGUGGGAGGAAAGAGACGUCCAUCAUGUCCUAACAAAAAACACUGUAAGUCAUUCAACAAUAGUUACAUACUUUUUUUUUCUAUCCUACAUUAUUCACCAUUUAUUUUAUUUUCUUAUUAUCUGUCGUUGAUCUUUUUUAGGCUACAAAAUUGGUUGAAGGCAUAAUCAUUGAUAUUAAAAGGUAAGAAGACACACAUAAACUUAUAUCUAUGUGUACUGUAAAUAAUUAUUAUUUUUAAAUAUGAUAAAAAAAACUAUAACAAAACUUUUGACAUUCAAUAUUUCAAUGUUUAAUUAUGAAAUUUAUCUAGCAACAUAUUUACUUUUUCAAAAGAGAAAUGUAUGUAUUUUUGAAAUAUUAAUGGUAUAUUUUUUUGUGAAAAUUAAUGCUAUAUAUUUAAUGUACUAAAAGUGUAUAUCAACAAAUUAAAUUAUAACAUGUCAUCAAAAUUUUUUUAAUGAAAAUGGUUUUUUUUAAUUAUGUGUCAUUGUUUGGUUCAUUAACUUGUAAAUUAUGCAUUGUUUGCGGACCAAAUAUAAAUCAACAUAUUAAUUCAAUUUUUUAGGAUUAGGUAAUUUAACAUUGGAUGUGAUUGUUAGAUAUAAGUAUCUCUUUAAUAUGGGUAUAUUCAAAAAAAAUUUAAAAAUUAUUUUUUUCACGUAUUUAAAAAGGUUCUUAAAGGAUCAUAUCUUAAUACCCAUAUACGAAUGUGCAUUAGAUAUAAGUAUUGGAUACGAGUACUUAAAAAACAAUAUCGAUGCAACAUUUCUUUUAGAUAUUGAAUGCUUUUGUAUAUUUUGAAGCUCAUUUUUGUUUUGCUCAUGGACAUUAGGGAAUCGAACAAGAUGCUCAAUUUGAGUGUGGAUAGCUUCUUGAAGAUGAAAAAACUGAGAUUGCUCAAAGUGCUUUGCCUUUCAAAUUGUGAUGAUCUUAAAUAUCUUUCUAAUGAAUUACGAUUUUUAGAUUGGACAGGAUACCCUUUAAGAUACUUGCCUUCAAGCUUUCAACCGAACAACCUUAUUGCGCUUCUUUUACCAUAUAGUCACAUUCAACAACUAUGGAAGGGAAAUAGAGUAAGAAUUUACUCAUCUUAUCCUUGUGUUUUAGCUUAUUUUAAUAUAAAUUAUUAAAAUUUGAUUAAGGUAAAACAAAAAAAAAAAAAGAAGCAAAAAUGAGCAUUAUUAUGUUUUCUCAUUUAUUUCUAAUUUAUUAUGGUCUUCAACAGCCCUUGUUUAACAUGAAAAUAAUGAACCUCAGAGGGUCUCAAAACCUGAUCAAGACACCAGACUUCACAACAGCAUCAAAUCUUGAAGUUUUGAUUUUGGAAGGUUGUACCAAAUUAGUGGAUGUUCAUCCAUCAAUCCGGAUGCUUAAGAGCCUUAAACUUUUGAAUUUAAGAGAUUGCAAAAGUCUUACGACUCUUCCAACCAAAAUCGGAAUGGAAUCUCUAGAAACAUUAAUUCUUUCGGGUUGCUCAAGUCUUGUAAGGUUUCCGGAGAUUGAUGGGAAAAUGGAACGUUUAAAAACUCUAAAUCUUUCCGGUUGUUAUAGAGUGGAAAAUUUAUCGGAGAAUUUGCAGCAAGCAAAGUUUUUGGAAGAGCUCGACUUGAGUGAAACAGCCAUAACAGAACCACCAUCCUUCAUUUUUCAAUUUAAAAAUCCUAAAGUUCUGUCUUUCAAUGGGCGCAAGGGACCAUCAUAUAAGUUACUACCAAAUUUGCCUUCUCUUUUCAAGGUAAUCCAAGGAAGAAGGACGAAUCCCAUGGCUCGGAUGUUGCCUUUGUUGUCAUGUUUGAGUUCUUUAAGAGAGCUAAAACUAAAGGACUGCAAUCUUUGUGAAGGAGAUAUUCCACGUGAUCUUUCUAGUCUAUCCUGUUUGGAAGAACUUGAUCUUAGUGGUAACAAUUUCAUCAGCAUACCUGCAUCUCUUACUCGACUCUCCAAGCUUGAAGAGCUUAGAUUGUCAAAUUGCAACAUGUGCACUCUUGGUGAAGCAGAUAUUCAUGGUCUAUCCUCUUUGAAACGACUUUUUCUUGACGGUAACAAUUUCAUCACCGUUCCUUCGGCUCUGACUCAACUUUCCAAGCUUAAAUUGCUUGCAUUAUCAAAUUGCAUGAAGCUUAACUCGUUGCCUGAGCUACCAACAAGUAUAGAAGAUGGGUGGCUAGAUAGUUGUUCUUCACUUGAAGUAGUUGCAAGUCCAUCAAAAGUAUGCAAUUUAGUGUGUUGUGGUGACAUUAGUGCCAUUAACUGCUUCAAAUUGGCUGAGAAAAUCAAUGUAUUAACACUGCUGAAAGAACAUAUUAAGGUCGAUUAAUCUAUUUUUUUCUCCCUUACAAAAUCUCAUACUUGAGAAUAUAUGGUUUUAGUUACCAAACGACUUGUGUUUUAUUUUGCAGGCAUUUCCAAAAUCAAGAAAAUUUUUUGAUGAUGGCUUCUUUGAUAUUAUGAUGCCCGGAAGUGAAAUCCCAGAAUGGUUUAGCCAACAAAAAAGUGACUCUUCAAUUAAGAUACCACUUCGGAAAGAUAGUGAAUGGAUUGGAGUUGCUUGUUGCUGCAUUUUUGUCAAUAAUGAUGCUUCAAGGAAUAAGGAGUCUAUCAGCUGUAAUGGAUCUAGAGUUUUUCGAGGUAGAAAUUGUAGACCAAUUGAUUGGAGAAACCGGUGGGUAGGUCGAUACUUUCGCAAGCCCAUAAUGAAAGAUCACCUUUUUCUUCGUUAUUUUCCGCGUGAUAAAUAUGGUGACUGUGAAACCAAUAAUUUAUGGACGACAGAUUGCUUAGAUCAAAUAUGCGAUGAGCCUGAGUUGUCUUUCAGUACCUUUUUUGGACCAAAUUACCGUUGUGUUAAGGUGAAGAAGUGUGGUGUUAGAAUAGUGUAUGAGAAAGAUUUGGAAGAAAUGAAAGAGUUGCAGUGCGAUACCACUCAAUCUUCUCCAAAUUUUGAGCACAUCCACCAACACUCUGCUCACAACCAUGGAUCAGUAGGUAGCACUUCUCACAUAAAACGGAAACGUAAUAUCUAUGAAGAAAUGGAGGAAGAAGAGCCGCAACCAAAACUGAUGCAAAAUUUUUUCAAUUUUGUAAUGGACCAAUCAAGAAAGAAGCAUUAACUGAGGUAAACUACUUAACCAACUUUGUCCUAUUAAUUUUUGUUUACACAUCUUGUAUUUCAUUUAAACAAUUCUUCUAGACUUGUUUUACAUAUGAGAUAUGAUCCUUCCAUUAUAUGCCAAAACAUUUUAAAAAAUUUUAUUCAUAUUCAUAUUCAACGUCUACAUAUCUCAAAUGUUGAUAACAUUGUUUUUUAUACCAUUUAAAAUUUUAGUCACUUAAUUCAUUCCUUUUUACAUAAUCGAAAUGUGUAUAUUUUGAUUGGUUUCAUCUUUUUUUUUUUUAUUAAAAUUUUAUUUUCAUUAUAUAUAUAUAUUCACUUACAUUUAUAUUUUAUUUAUAGGUUGAAGAUGAGGUAAAUUAAAACAAAAUUGUGAGACAAAAAUAAAGACGAAGCAAGUAAUGAUAAAAUGAAAACCCUUUAAUAAGGAUCAAUCAUAAUUUCAACUGAGUUAAAAAUUAUUUUAUUUUUAUUGGAGACCAACAUAUAUUUAAUCAGUCAAAACUGUUUUUAUGUAUUACUGAGCUUAGUGGAAGAAAAUGAUGGGAAAAUGAAAUACAGAUGCGAUCCUAAGCAACAAAUACAGCUUUGCAUGAGAACCUAAUCCCAUCACCAGACUAUUUUAAGUGCUUGGAACUUGAAAAUGAGAGCUCUUGUUUAUCCUGCUCUAUCUCCUGCGACUAAUGUAAAAGAGUUACAACAAUGCAUACACAAACAAAACGAAUAUGGCGGCCUUCAGCUUCAUCAAUACACUAAAUACGCCUAGGUGAUCAAGAUGGAGGGCUAUACUUAAGAUGUUGCUCAUUGAAGCUGAUUAACUGAAAGGGAAGGAAAAAAACAAAAGAAGUGCAAGAAUUGUCAGCUCUUUGAGUCAAUUUAAUGAAGGAAAAGAUCAGGCAAGAAAAUGAUCCAUUACCAGCAGUGGAUUGUUAGCUUGAAGAUAUUGGUUGUCCACCAGAACCUCUUUUCCAUCGGACCUGUCAAAAUGUGACAAACAAAAUUUAUCAUCGACAACAUGAACUUCAAGAAAGUGCAGCAUAAAUUUGAGGACUCUCAGAGACUCCAACAAAAGAAUCACAUCUAAGAUCAGCAAGCUAAAAAUUUUAGUUAUCUAGCAGUUCAUGUCCUAAAUUACUUGCUAUGUAAGGGGCCAUAAGUGAUAGCAUCAUCAAUUUCUGGGAAAUAAAAUCCUAGGGAAUGAAACAAAAAACUGUUAUUUGAAGGUAGAAAGAAUAUUCCGAAAGCCAAAAAGAAAUGUCUAUAUCAGGUCAUACAUACUCAAUCAGCACAUAGUGCUUAUGAAGUGUAGGACAUUCUCCCAAAUCGAGAACUAAAGAAAAACAUGAUGAUUUCUAAGAAACUACAUCCAAAAACAUGUGCAAACAUGAUAGUUACAACAUAAAAGAGUACAUAAAAUGCCCCAACAACCACCGAAACUCUAAAGAGCGACAUGAAAGUACAUUAAGUGCUCAUACAUCGCAACAUGAUAAGUUGAUAACUUUGACAUUUCGUGUAUCAACUCUUUGAUUCCUGAAAUUAGGCAGAUUAAUACUUUUAUCCUUAAUCCCUUACUCUUUUAUUUUUAUUUAUUCAUCUAUAUAUCUUUGAUUAGUUUGAUUUUCGUGGAAAAGAAUUAUUGGAAUUUGGAAUCCAGGUCGCUGGUUCUGGAAGUAAUUGAGCUUGUGCAAAUCCCAAAUGUUUAAGAUAUUUGAGAAAUUUGAGUGUCUUUUGUCUACUCUCACCUUCUUGGAGUCUUCCCGGGAACAACAUCUAUAACCCCGAAUUUCCACACCUACUCCCUUUCAUUUCGAAAACUAAUGUUUUUAAUUAUUGUCUUUCAUUGUCAAGUACAUAAAAUACAAACCGUCCAACAUUUUUAACUCUCACCUUCAUGGAAAGAACAUAUCACCCGGCCCUCUUCUAUUUUUCAUAUGUUUUUCCUCAUAUAUUCAUUCUUUUCUGAUUUUGAGCACCAGAUUGAAAUAUCCUUCGCCUUUCAUACAUCCUCAUGUUAUCGUUACCUUCAACUUCUUCCUCCAUUUCUAGAAAAAAAAAAUGAUGUUUUCUUGAGUUAAAUCGGAUUUGUAGUCGAAUUGGAUAGGUUAUUAGUUUGGUGGUCCAAUGAUUUAAAAAUUAUUAAAAUUUAAAAAAGUUAAAAUAGAGUUUCGAUUCAUUUAGUUUUUAACAGGUUGAAUCAGUUCGUAUCAAUUUUCAAUCUAAUCAAUUCAAAAUCACUCAUCGAACUAAUUCUUUGUCGGCUCUUGAUCUAAUCGAUCGUUCAAUCCGAUUCAAGCAAGACUGAAUCAAUAGAUAAAAGAUGAGAAUAAUUCUUAACAACAACCUGCAAACUAUGAGAUUAAUUAUAUCUCAAAUUGAUCCAACAUAAAACAGAUAACAUACUUACUUUGUCGGCCCCUAAUUUCCACCCCUAUGCUCAUAUACUUGCUUUUCUAGUUUCUUUGUGGGUAUUGGACGAUAUAUUUUCUGAUUUUUAACACCACAUUGAGAUAUUCUUCUCCUUUCAUACAUACUCAUGUUGUCCUUACCUUCAACUUCUUCCUCCAUUUCUAAAAAGAAAUAUGAUGUUUUCUUGAGUUUUAGAGGUGAAGAUACUCGCAACAACUUCACAGAUCAUGUUUAUGAUGCUACAACUAAUAGAAAAGUCAACAAUAUUAAUUAUAUGUCUAACUAAUAACAUUAUAAAAAUAUAUGAUUAAAUUAGGUUAGAAAUUAAAUCUUAAAUUUAGGCAUAAUUAAAAAAAAAACUAAAAUUGAAAUUCUAACAUUUUCUUAUAAUGUAAAAGAAACAAUAUCCUAUACAUUAAAUUAAUAAAUUGUAUUCAUACAUAAAAUUUUAUGAUACUGAGUAGAUAUAAGUUAUUUUAGUCUGCACCUAAUGAACAUUUUAGAUGCUUCAAAUAGAACUUAAUCAUAUAAAAGGCAAAAUGUGAGGGACCGAAUUUAAAAUAACGCAUUGUCCUCCCUGACAGGUGUCUCCAAAUACUUCUUUAAUAUAUAGUUAUAUAGACAAUUAUAUGAUUAUGUAAAUGAAAGUAAAAGACAAACCGUCCAACACUCUACUUAUUACUUAGAAUUAUUGUAGGCUCCAUUUUGUCUACACCCACCUUCUUGGAUUCUUCCUGGAAAGAACAUGCAUCACCCAAUGUCCACACCUACUCGUAUUCAUUUCGAAAAUGAAAAGGUUAAAAAGAUUAAAAGAAAUUGCUUAGAAACUUCCUUUAUUCUUCCCUGAAAUUUUCAUCUGUUUUUCUCAAUCUUCACUUUCAUAUACUUACUGUUUCUAAUUUCUUUCUGGCGUAUUGAGCGAUCAAUUUUCUGAUUUUGAACACUACAUCCACAUAUGUAUUUUUCUUCUCAAACAUCGUCAUGUUGUCAUUACCUUCAUCUUCCUCAUACAUUUCUAGAAAGAAAUAUGAUGUUUUCUUGAGUUUUAGAGGUGAAGAUACUCGCAAAAACUUCACCGAUCAUCUCUAUGCUGCUCUAAAGAGGAGUGGGAUCGUCACUUUCAGGGAUGAUCCCAAGCUGGAGGCCGGUGAAGAGAUCGCGCCAGAACUCUUUAAAGCAAUUCAGCAAUCAUGGUGCUCGGUAAUUGUUUUUUCAGAAACUUAUGCCUUUUCAAGUUGGUGCUUGGAGGAGCUUGCUGAGAUUGUUCAACAACAUAACAACGACGGCCAUAAAGUGUUUCCAAUUUUUUACGAUGUUGAUCCAUCUGAUUUAAGAAAACAAAAAGGGAAAGUGGAAGAAGCCUUUGCCAGACAUGAAGAGAGAUACAAAGAAGAAAGUGAGAAGAUCCAAAGGUGGCGAAAUGCUUUAAUUCAAGNNNNNNNNNNNNNNNNNNNNNNNNNNNNNNNNNNNNNNNNNNNNNNNNNNNNNNNNNNNNNNNNNNNNNNNNNNNNNNNNNNNNNNNNNNNNNNNNNNNNNNNNNNNNNNNNNNNNNNNNNNNNNNNNNNNNNNNNNNNNNNNNNNNNNNNNNNNNNNNNNNNNNNNNNNNNNNNNNNNNNNNNNNNNNNNNNNNNNNNNNNNNNNNNNNNNNNNNNNNNNNNNNNNNNNNNNNNNNNNNNNNNNNNNNNNNNNNNNNNNNNNNNNNNNNAAACAUAUCAACAAAAUUUUACUCAAAACAUUAAAAUUUCUUUUUUUUAGGCAUGAAUCAGAAAUUAUUAGAGACAUUGUUAAGAAGAUAUCAGCAAAACUAUGUCAGACAUAUCCAGUUACUCAUAGCGACUUGGUUGGUAUUAGUGAACGCUUGGAGGAUUUGUAUUUGAAAAUAAACAUUGGGGAAGAUGAUGUCCGCGUUAUAGGAAUUUGCGGAAUGGGUGGCAUCGGUAAAACGACACUCGCAAGAGUUGCUUACACUCAAAUGUCACCUCAUUUUGAAGGUAAAAGCUUUAUUGCCGAUAUUCGAGAAGUUUCAGACAAAUGCGGCCUAGUUUCUUUACAGAAACAACUUCUUUCACAGAUCUUUCAUGGUGAAUGCUUCAACUUUUUCAAUGUUCAUGAAGGAAAUAAAAUAAUUAGCCAUAGGUUGUCUCACAAAAAGGUUCUUGUUGUUCUUGAUAAUGUUGAUAACAUACAACACCUAAAAUGCUUGAUUGGAAGGCAUGAUUGAUUCGGAUUAGGUAGCAGAAUCAUUGUAACAACAAGAGACGAACAUUUGCUUCGAUGUUGCCAAGUUAAUGAUGUGUAUAUGCCCACAACACUUAAUCCCAAAGAGGCGCUUCAACUUUUCAGUCUGAAAGCUUUUCAUAGUGAUACAGUGCAUAAAGAUGAUUUCAUUGAACUUUCUAAACAUGUUGUAAAUUAUGCUGGUGGACUCCCUUUAGCUCUUGAAGUUUUGGGCUCCUUUUUGUGCGGUAGAGAUGCGACUCAAUGGAGAAGUGCGAUUGAAAGACUUAAAAGAGAUUCUAAUAAAGAAAUUCUCGAUAAACUUCGAAUCAGUUUUGAUGGACUGGAAGAAAGGGAGAAGAAUAUAUUUUUAGAUAUAGCAUGCUUCUUCAACGGGGAGAAGAAAGAUUUUGUAAUGAAAGUAUUAGAUGGUUGUGAGUUUUUUCCCGAUAUUGGAAUUGAUGUUUUCAUUAAGAAAUCUUUAAUAAAAGUCAAUGAUGUCAACCAAUAUUUGUGGAUGCAUAGUUUGUUGCAAGAAAUGGGAAGAAAAAUUGUUAGAGAAAAAUGUGUUGAUGAACCUGGAAAACGUUGCAGAUUGUGGGAGGGAAGUGACGUCCAUCAUGUCCUAACAAAAAACACUGUAAGUCAUUCAACAAAAGUCACAUACUAUUUCUUUUCUAUCCUACAUUAUUCACCAUUUAUUUUAUUUUCUUAUUGUCUGUUCUUAAUCUUUUUUAGGCUACAGAAAUGAUUGAAGCCAUAAUCAUCGAUAAUAAAAAGUAAGAAGACACACAUAAACUUAUAUCUAUGUGUACUGUAAAUAAUUAUUAUUUUUAAAUAUGAUAAAAAAACUAUAGCAAAACUUUUGACAUUUAAUAUUUCAAUGUUCAAUUAUGAAAUUUAUCAACUAACAUAUUUACUUUUUCAAAAGAAUCAAAAGAGAAAUGUAUGUAUUUUUGAAAUAUUAAUGGUAUAUAUAUAUUUUUUGUGAAUAUUAAUGGUAUAUAUUUAAUGUACUAAAAGUGUAUAUCAGCGAAUUAGAUUAUAACAUGUCAUCAAAAUUUUUUAAUGAAAAUGGUUUCAUUUUUAAUUAUGUGUCAUUGUUUGGUUCAUUAACUUGUAAAUUAUGCAUUGUUUGCAGACCAAAUAUAAAUCAACAUAUUAAUUCAAUUUUUUAGGAUUAGGUAAUUUAACAUCGGAUGUGAUUGUUAGAUAUAAAUAUCUCUUUAAUAUGGGUAUAUUCAAAAAAAAUUUAAAAAUUAGUUUUUUCACGUAUUUAAAGGUUCUUAAAGAAUCAUAUCUUAAUACUCAUAUACGAAUGUGCAUUAGAUAUAAGUACCGGAUACGAGUACUUAAAAAACAAUAUCAAUGCAACAUUUCUUUUAGAUAUUGAAUGUUUUUGUAUAUUUUGAAGCUCAUUUUUGUUUUGCUCAUGGAUAUUAGGGAAUCGAACAAGAUGAUCAAUUUAAGUGUGGAUACCUUCUUGAAGAUGAAAAAAUUGAGAUUGCUCAAAGUGCUUUGCCUUUUAAAUUGUGAUGAUCUCAAGUAUCUUUCUAAUGAACUACGACUUUUAGAUUGGACAGGAUACCCUUUAAGAUACUUGCCUUCAAGCUUUCAACCGGAUAACCUUGUCGCACUUCUUUUACCAUAUAGUCACGUUCAACAACUAUGGAAGGGAAAUAUAGUAAGAAUUAACUCAUCUUAUCCUUGUGUUUUAGCUUAUUUUAAUAUAAAUUAUUAAACUUUGAUUAAGGUAAAACAAAAAAACAAAAAUGAGCAUUAUUAUGUUUUCUCAUUUGUUUCUAAUUUAUUAUGGUCUUCAACAGCCCUUGUUUAACUUGAAAAUAAUGAACCUCAGAGGGUCUCAAAACCUGAUCAAGACACCAGACUUCACAACCGCAUCAAAUCUUGAAGUUUUGAUUUUGGAAGGUUGUACCAAAUUAGUGGAUGUUCAUCCAUCAAUCCGGGUGCUUAAGAGCCUUAAACUUUUGAAUUUAAGAGAUUGCAAAAGUCUUAGGACUCUUCCAACCAAAAUUGGAAUGGAAUCUCUUGAAACAUUAAUUCUUUCGGGUUGCUCAAGCCUUGUAAGGUUUCCAGAGAUUGAUAGAAAAAUGGAACGUCUAAAAACUCUAGAUCUUUCUGGUUGUUAUAGAGUUGAAAAUUUAUCAGAGAAUUUGCAGCAAGCAAAGUUACGACCAAAUUUGUCUUCUCUUUUCAAGGUAAUCGUAGGAAGAAGGAAGAAUCCCAUGCCUCGUAUGUUGCCUUCGCUGUUAGGUUUGAGUUCAUUAAGAGAGCUAAAACUAAGGGACUGCAAUCUUUGUGAAGGAGAUAUUCCACGAGAUAUUUCUGGUCUAUCCUCUUUGAGACGUCUUGAUCUUAGUGGUAAUAAUUUCAUCAGCAUACCUGCAUCUCUUACUCGACUCUCGAAGCUUUCGUCUCUUGAUUUGUCAAAUUGCAACAUGGGCACUCUUGGUGAAGCAGAAAUUCACGGUCUAUCCUCUUUGAAAUGUCUUCGUCUUUGUGGUAACAAUUUCAUCACCAUUCGUUUGGCUCUUACUCAACUUUCCAGGCUUGAAUCACUUGUAUUAUCAAAUUGCAUGAAGCUUAAAUUGUUGUCUGAGCUACCGAUUAGUUUAGCAUGUGUGAUUAUAGAUGGUUGUUCUUCACUUGAAGUAGUUACAAGUCUAUCAAAAAUAUGCAAUUCAGUUAUAGCCAUUAACUGCUUCAAACUGGCUGCGAAUAUCAAUGCAAUAACACUGCUGAAAAAAUAUCUUAAGGUCGAUUAAUCUCUUAUCUCUUAUUUCUCCCUUACAAAAUCCCAUACUUGAGAAUUUACAGUUUUAGUUACCAAACGACUUGUGUUUUGUUUUGCAGGCGUUUGGAAAUUCUAGAAAAAUGUUUCAAGUAAUUAUCCCAGGAAGUGAAAUCCCAGAUUGGUUUAGCGAACAAAAAAGUGAGUCGAGUCUUCAAUUAAGGUACCCCUACCUAUCAACCUUCGAAAAGAUAGUCAAUGGGUUGGAGUUGCUUGUUGCUGCAUUUUCGUUAAUACUCAUGUUUCAACGGAUGUCCAACAUAUCGUGUUCGGAGAAUCUAUUUUUCGAGGUAGAAUUCGUCAACAGAUUAAAUGGAGAGGCAAGUUGGCGGGUAAAGGAUAUAACCAGCCCAUAAUGAAAGAUCACCUUUUUCUUUGUUAUUGGUCGCGUGAUGUAUUAGAUGUAUUUGCCUAUAAAUAUGGUUACAGUGAAACCAAUAAUUUAUGGACAACAGAUUGCUCAGAUGAGGAAUGCAAUAUGUUUGAGGUGGCGUUCACAGCUCCAGCUGGAUACAAAGCUAAGGUGAAGAAGUGUGGUGUUAGAUUAGUGUAUGAAAAAGAUUUGAAAGAAAUAAAAGAGUUGCAGUGCCAUACCACUCAAUCUUCUCCAAAUUUUGAACACAUGCACCAAUACUCUCCUCACAAUGAUGGAACAGUAGGUAGCAUUCCUCACAUAAAACGAAAACGUAACAUCUACGAGGAAGUGGAGGAAGAAGUGCCACAACCAAAACGGAUGCAAAAUUUUUUCAAUUUUAUAAUGGACCAAUCCGGGAAGAAGCACUAACUGUGGUAAACUACUCAACCAAUCUUGUCCUAUUAGUUGGUUAUUUAUUUAUUUAUUUACAUAUCUACGUUGUUUACAUCUUUUGUUUCAUUCAUUCUAGAUUUAUUUGCGUAUGAGAUAUAAUCCUUCUUAUAUUCUAUACAUUUCUUAUAUGAAUGUUGAAAUGUGUAUUCUUUUUACAUAAUUGAAAUGUGUACAUUUUGAUUGGUAUUUUUUUUCUUAAAAUUUUAUUUUCAUUAUAUAUGUUAGACCUGUCCAUGGGCCGGGCGGCCCGGCCCGGCCCGAAAUAUGGGAGGGUUUGGGUAAAAAUAUAGGCCCGAAAUAUGGGCUUGGGCAAAAUUUUAGGCCCGUUUAAAAAAUGGGCCGGGCCUCAGGCAAGUUUUUUUGGCCCGGGCCUGGCCUGGCCCAGCCCGAAAAAUAUUAAAUAUAUUUUUUUUAUUUUUAAAAUAUAAUAGUUUUUUAUUUUAAGUUUAUUUACUUUCAUUUCCUUGACUAGUGUUACAAAAUAAUAAUAAUAAAACAUCAAGUUUGUUUUACUAAUCAAAUGUUAGAUUUUGUUACAACAAUUAAUACAAUUAAUACAAUUAAUAAUUUGAUAAAUUUACUAAUCAAAUGUUAGAUUUUAUUACAACAAUUAAUACAAUUAACAAUUAAUAAUUUGAUAAUUUUACUAACAAUUAAAUUUAAUAACAAUUAGUUUUAAUUUUAUUAAAAAAUAAUUUUAAUUUUAAUUUUAAUUAAAAACGGGACGGGCCGGGCUCGGGCCUCAUAUUUUUUCUUCUGGCCGGGCCUGGGCAAAAUCUCAAGCCCAUAUUUCGGGCCCGGGCCUAAUAAAUGGGCUGAAAUUUUUGUGGGCCCGGCCCGAACCCGGCCCGGCCAGGCCCAUGGACAGGUCAAAUAUAUGUACACUUACAUUUAUAUUUUAUUUGUAACUUGAGACAGAAAUGUGGAGAAAAAUGGAUAGCUUUGGUAACAAAGCAGAUAAUAAUAACAUGAAAAUAUUUUAAUGAGGAUUAGAUCAUAAUUUCAGUUGAUUUAAAAAUCAUUUCAUUUUUAUUUGUGAUCAACUUAUAUGUUCAAUUUACUCAAUCAAAAUUGUUUUUAUAUAUUUGGAAGAUAAAAUAUAAGUCCUUACUAAUAUUUAAAUAGGUUUAAUUCCUUCUAAUAAAUAUACCAUUAAAAUUUUAAUCUAAAAUGAAAAUAAAAGAUAGGAGAACAUACAUGUACAUUUAUACACGAGUAUUAUCGAUCUUUUUUUUGUUAAAAAUGUCCAAUAAAAAACAAUGUCAAAAACCUUUAAUGCUUCAUAUUUCAAUGUUUACAUUUAUGAAAUUAAUCUACCAAUGCAUUACUUCUUCAAAAAAUGGUAUGAAUGUCCUUUAUAUUUUCGAUAACAAAAUAAAUUAUUACAAAUGUCUAUUCAAAUCUAAAGAAUUUCAUCAAUUAAAUGAAGACCUCAUUGUUAUCUAAAGUCAACUUAGCAAUAUAAUUAACUUCUAGAUUCCUUUCAUGUGAAAUAUAUUUAAAUUUUCAGUGACUAAUAUUGUCUAUCAAGUCUUGCUGAAUAUGUUGGACAAGUGCGGAGGAAGAUGUCUUUGAGAAGGAUUCUUGAAUAGCUUGAAUAGCUUCUUGACUCUACUUAUCCAAACCCUAAACAUAUUCAAUACAGCAUCACCUUUACCAAAUAAUUUUUUCUGAUCGUCUUAAAAGGAGAGCAAAAUAACUUGUGUCCGCGACAAAACUGACUAGAACCCUCAAUCUCUAUUGUAUUUCCUUUUUCUUGUGUGUGUAAUAAUGUCUUGUUUGAUCAUGCUUGUGUUGCUUUUCCUCCUGAACCUUGUAUCUUCAGAUAUCAAUCAGGGUCAGUUCUGUUUCGAUGGUUACUUGAAUGUUGAUGGAGUUGCAGGCGUAGAUUCAAGUGGGCUCUUUAAACUGACUAAUUUUACAAGGCAAACAGAAAGUCACAUCUUCUACAAGAAUCCAAUCCAAUUCAAGAACUCCACAAAUGGUAGUGUUUUCUCUUUUCCCGCCACAUCCAUUUUUGCAAUUGUAUUGAAUACCCUACUUUGUCUGGCCAUGGAUUAGCCUUUGUAGUCUCGCCUAACAAUGGAAUUCCUGGAGCUCUUCCCAGCCAGUAUCUUGGUCUUUUCAAUCAAUCAAACAACGGUAACAGAUCAAAUCAUAUUGUGGCGGUCGAGCUGGACAUAAUUAUGAGCAGCGAAUUCGAUGACAUAAACGACAACCAUGUUGGCAUCGAUAUCAAUGGCCUAAACUCAAUGGUAUCUUCUCCUGCAAGGUAUUUCACUGAUGAGGGAAAGUUCAUAAAUGUCAGCCUUAUAAGAGAGGAUCCACUGCAAAUUUGGGUUGAAUACAGUGGGACUAAAAAACGACUCCACUUUUAUCCUUGAAUCGGGAUUUGUCUCCAUAUAUUUAUGACUCUAUGUAUGUAGGUUUCUCAUCUUCCACAGGUUCUGUUUUAUCAUCACACUACAUAUUGGCAUGGAGUUUCAAGAUGAAUGGCUCAGCUGAGGAGCUAGACUUGUCUCACCUUCCAAAAGUUCCACGAUUUGUUAAUGAUAAUAAUCGAGGAAUCAAGCAAUUGAAGAAGAUUUUGGCUAUCGCCAUUUUUUUCACAGGUCUCACUUUAGUCCUCGUAUUGGUUUUCAGGUUUGUGUUGAUCUCAAGGAAGAAGAGAUUCAUGGAGAUUCUGGAGGAUUAGGAGGUUCAGUACGGGCCUCAUAGAUUCUCAUAUAAAGAUCUAUUCAAAGCAACAAAGGGGUUUAAAGAAAAGGAAGUUCUAGGGAGAGGUGGAUUUGGUAAGGUGCAUAAGGGUGUUUUACCAUCUUCCAACAUACAAAUUACCGUCAAAAGGAUCUCUCAUAAUUCAAGGCAAGGUAUGAGAGAAUUCGUGGCUGAGAUUGCAACCAUCGGUCGCCUCAGACAUCCGAAUUUGGUUAGACUUCUCGGUUAUUGCAGGCGCAAGCACGAGUUGCUUUUGGUUUAUGACUGCAUGCCUAAUGGAAGUCUUGACAAUUUUCUUUACCACCAACCUAAUAGGAGCCUUAAGUGGACACAAAGGUUUAAUAUCAUCAAGGACGUAGCGUCCGCGUUGUUCUAUCUGCACCAACAGUGGGUGCAAGUCAUCAUUCACAGAGAUAUCAAGCCUGCCAAUAUGCUGACAGUUACAUGAACGCCCGACUAGGAGAUUUCGGGCUGGCAAAAACUAUGCGACCUUGGAAAUGAUCCUCAAACCUCGCAUGUAAUAGGUGAUGGAUCCGUUCUUGACAUUUAUAGAAACUAGGCGAAACAAUAAAUUGAACCUUUUUAAAAAAUUAUAAAAUGUAAUAUAAUAAAAUAAAAUCAUAUACUAGUAAUUUCAUUAAAUAAUAUCUUUUAUGACAUUAAGCAAAUAAAAUAUUUUUCCAACAAAAUUAAAAAAAUUCUUCAAUCUACUCCUAUGUUAUCAACUACAAGAACACAAAAAAUCAUAAAUAAAAAAAUGGGCUCUACGAGCAUUCUGAGAUACAAAAUUAUUAAUGAUAACACCAACACCAAUGUUUUCCAAAAAAAUCAUUCUCGAUUGAUAAAAUUGCCAGACCAUUCAACCGUUCUUGUGACAUUGACGACCACAAGAUUCAUUUCUCUUAUAGACCCCUUUUCAACUAAAAUGUCUCUUGUUUUGUUAUCAAGACUAGCUCAAUUUCUAGGAUCAUAAAUAUCCAAAAAAGAAAUUAUUUGUUCUUCAACAAUGCUAAUAUUAGGAGGAAUUAUUUGUUCUUCAUUAAGAAUAAGAUUUUCAAUACCGGAUACAUUUAACACAUCAUUAGGUUCAUUUGGGUCAUUAAUUUCAUCAUUCUCAUUGAUAUCAUUAUGCAAACUUUCAUUUAAUUGAUCCUAUUUUUCAUUAAAAAUUACUUUAAAAAAUUAUCAAUAGCAUAUUGUUGUGAUUAUUUUAACUCUUUAGCAUGUUUUCUCUUUUUACUUUUUUCACUUUCAGAUAAAUAAUUUUUAGGCAACAUUAUAUAUAAAAGAUAAAUUAGAUACUCAAGUAACACAAGAAAAUAAAACAAUAGUACUUGAUAGAAGAAUUUCAAGUUGAAUAUUUACUUUUACAUUUGUUAAUUUCAAAAGUCAAAUUGAGCCACUAAAAUUCUAUAAAUAUAAUUAUAAAAAUCAAUUACAAAUAAACACUGUAAUUAACAAUAUCCAAUUAUUUGUGAGGAAAAUACAACUUAAAAAUUAAAUGAGUAGCAAAAACAAUUAAAAUUUCAAUUGUAUAAAGGCAUAAAGAAAAGGUAUGUAGUAGUAUGUUGUACUAUGAUUAAUCAAAGAAUGAAUUAGGGGGAGAAACUAAAUAUAAUGAUGAAUUAAUGACUUUAUUAGUUAAAAUCCAAAAAUGUCAUCAAAUUAAGAAUGAAAAGGUUACAAGAAAGAAGAGAAAGGAGGUAAAAUUAUACCUACAACAAUGGUAGAUUCGACAAACCGCGGAUGAGAGGUUCUAAAUCUUUCAAAUAUAAAAUAAAAAUUAAUAACUUUAAUUUAUUAAUGCUAAUGACGGAUGAAUGAUAUAUUACUCAAAUCAAAUUUGGUCCUAUUUAAUUUGUAGAAAAUUUCUCCCACUGCCAUGGUUAUGAGAAAAUAAAUAAGGUUGAAUGCUAGUAACGAUUGAUUUUUUUGAGAAAAAUUAAAAUUAUUUUUUAACUUUAAAGAUAGGAGUUGAAAUUUGAGAAUUAGAAGAGGUUUGGAGAAGCAAAUGAGUUGAUGAUGAAAUAAGGUUGAUUGGUGGGGCUAUAUUUUGUUGACAGGUAGGAAUCAGACCAUAACGAAAGAUCACCUUUUUCUUCGUUAUUGGUCGCGUGAUAAAUUAUUUCCAUUUUCAUUGGAGGAUAAAUAUGGUGACUGUGAGCUUGAGGUGUCUUUCUUACAUCCAUGUAAACCCAAUGCUAAGGUGAAGUGUGGUGUCAGAAUAAUGUAUGAGAAAGAUUUGGAAGAAAUAAAAGAGUUGCAGUGCCAUACCACUCUAUCUUCUCUAAAUUUCGAACACAUCCACCAACACUCUGCUCACAACCAUAGAUCAGUAGGUAGCACUUCCCACAUCAAACAGAAAAUGUAACAUCUACGAGGAAGCAGAGGAAGAAGGGCCGCAACCAAAAUGGAUGCAAAAAUAUUUCAAUUUUAUGAUGGACCAAUCGGGGAAGAAGCAUUGAUUGUGGUAAAGUACUUAACCAACCAUGUACUAUUACUUCUAUUUCAUUUGAAAUAAUCAUUUUAAAUUUAUUUAAGUAUAAGAUAUGAUCUUUUUAAUAUAUAUUAAAAAAAUAUAAAAUUUUUAGCCGUACAAUAGUAUUGAAUAUGUACAUAUCUCAAAUGUUGAUAAUAUAAUUUUUUAUACCAUUUAAAAUUUGUCACUUAAUUUACAAUUUUUUACUAUUUAAAAUUUUAGUCGUUCAAUUCAUUCCUUUUUACAUGAUUGAAAUGUGUACAUUUUAACUAGUUUUAUUUAUUUAUUAAAAUUUUGUCUUCAUUAUAUAUAUUCACUUACAUUUAUAUUUUAUUUGUAGGUUGAAGUAAAUAUAAUCAAUUUGAGAUAGAGAGAUGUGAAGAAAAAUGGAUCGUUUCAUGACAAUGCAUGUAAUAAUAAAGUUAAAAAUCCUUUAAUGAGAAUAAGAUCAUAAUUUAUGCUGAGUUAAAAACUAUUUCAUUUUUGUUUUGAGACUAAUUUAUGUGUUCAAUUUAAUCAAUCAAAAUUAUUUUUAUAUAUUUGGAAUAUUAAAUAUAAGUCAUUUACAAUACUCAAAUAGGUUUAAUUUCUUAUAAUAAAAGUAUCAUUUAAAUUUCAUGGCUUGAAGUACAAAUAAUAUUAUUCUAACUCUUUCUUUUAUAAAGUAUAUUUUAUGUUUAGACAUUUAUUUUUAACACUUAUUCAAAUAUGAAUAUAAAGAGUAUGCUCCUUUAAUUAAUUGGAAGAUCUUUUUCGUGUGAGACACGUCACAUUCAUAUCUAAUAUUUUAAAAAAAUUUAAAAGAUUCAUUUUUUGUUCAUUCUAAUAUUAGGGUUUAGAGAUAUGAUUUUGGUUGACAUGAGCAAGAUUUUCAACGGUUGUGUUUUUUAUGAUAUCAAGAAAAAUUUCUCAAUUUGAGAUAAGUUAAUAUAUGAGCGAUAUAGAUUAAUCUUUUUUCGUGAUAUCAACAAUAAAUUUUUAAUAUUAUUUUUAAUACUAUAAAAAUAUUGAAGGGUCCUACUUAUAUUUUUAGGAGAGUUAUAAUAUAUACAAAGGAGGAAAUUACAAAAAUUUUAAGCCUUAGGGGGCCUACUUAUAUUUUUGGGAGGGUCAUAUUAUAUUUACAAAGGACAAAAUUACAAAAAAAUUAAAUUUUGAAGGGCUAUGGCCCAUGGGCCUCUACAUGGCUCCGUCGUUGCAUCAAUGCAAAAUCGAGAAAGAAAUGAAUAAGACGAUCUUCUAACUCCCUACCCCAAGCCCUAAUAUAAGCAAGGGGGAAGUCAGGAAAUUUUUGAGAGGGAUCGAAAUUAAAUUGUAUUUUUUAUGAUAGUAAAAUUGCAAUUUUACCAUUUUAAUAGUUAUAUAUUUAUAAUUUUUAAAGGAUUAAAACAAAUUUUUAUCAUUUUUAGGGGAGCCAAAGUAUAAUUUUAUCAUUACAAAUUUAAAAUUUUAAGGGCCCUAAAAGGAAAAUUUCCAUUUUAGUCCUCAUCCAUUCUGUAAGUUGAUCUUAUUUAACCAUCAAAUUUUAUAAAAAAAUUUAUUUUAGUCAUUUAUUUAAUUUUUUUAUCUUUUUAGCUUUUUAACUUGUGUUUUCUAUCAAAUCACCCUAAAAUUUGAUGAAUAAGUUAAAUUUUUUAACUUUACUGAUAUAGCAUACAUGUAUAUUGCCACAUGGAUGACAUAUCAUCAUUUAAUUUAUUUUUUAAAAUUUCAAAAAAUAAAAAAUAUAUUUUUAAAAAUUAAAAUAUUAAAAAUUUAAAAAAUAUUUUUAAAAUUUAAAAUAUUAAUUAAAUACUAACAUGUUAUCUGUAUGGUAAUCCGUAAAGUGAAUAAACAUUAAUUUUUUUAUCUAUUUUAAUGAGACCGAAAAUUCAUUUUUUUUCUUUUUAAAAUUACAUGACCGAAAAUUCAUUAUGACUUAUUUAUAUUCAGCGGAAGAAAAUUAAUUUGGGUUUGUGAUAAGAAAAAUAAUUGGUGAAGCCGUGAAGGUGACAUCAUUCAUUACACAACUCCUUUUUCCUUCAAUGGGAACGUUUUGUUGCGGCCAUAAUUCAUUGUCGGUGGUAGAGGUGUUGAUGGUGGAGUGGUCAUUCGAAACCAUUGCCUAAUUGUGACUAAUUAGGUAAGGAAUUCACUCAAAGUAAUUAUUCUAGGGUCCAUUUUAUCAACACCCACCUUCUUGGAUUCACAUGCAUCACUCAUUUAUGACCCCCCAAUUACCACAACUACUCGCGUUCAUUUGGAAAAUGAAAAGGUUAUAGAAAAAUUGCUUAGAAACCACCUUCAUUCUUCCCUGGAAAUUUGAUCUGUUUCUACUUUCUUUCAGCCGUAUUGAGCGAUCAGUUUUCUGAUUUUCAACACUACAUCCACAUAUAUAUUUUUUUCUCGCACAUUGUCAUGUCGUCAUUACCUUCAACUUCUUCGUCCAAUUCAAGAAAGAAAUAUGAUGUUUUCUUGAGUUUUAGAGGUGAAGAUACCCGCAACAACUUUACCGAUCAUCUCUAUGAUGCUUUAAGUAGGAGUGGGAUCGUCACUUUCAGGGAUGAUCCAAAGCUGGAGGCCGGCGAAGAGAUCUCGCCAGAACUCUUUACAGCAAUUCAGCAGUCAUGGUGUUCGGUAAUCGUUUUUUCACAAACUUAUGCCUUUUCAAGUUGGUGCUUGGAGGAGCUUGCUGAGAUUGUUAAACAACAUAACAACGACGGCCAUAAAGUGUUUCCAAUUUUUUACGAUGUUGAUCCAUCUGAUUUAAGAAGACAAAAAGAGAAAGUGGAAGAAGCCUUCGCUAAACAUGAAAAGAGAUACAGAGAAGAUAGUGAGAAGAUCCAAAGGUGGCGAAAUGCUUUAAUUCAAGUGGCUGGAAUCAAGGGAUGGCAUUUAAAUAACAGGUAACUCUUUCUUUUCUUCUCUAUUUUCUAUUUUGGGAUAUAUAUGUAUAACUUUGUUUUUUCUUUCUAAUCCUAUGUGUUUAAUUGAAAAGUGUCUUGGUUGUUGUUUGCUUCGAAACUAUAGUAUGUUUCACGAUUCAUUGAAAAAGAAAGUGCAUUUGAUAAUAUGAAACAAAAAUUAUUCAAAAAAUUAAAAUUUCAUUUCUUGUAGGCAUGAAUCAGAAUUUAUUAGAGAGAUUAUUAAGAAGAUAUCAGCAAAACUAUGUCACCCAGUUACUCAUAGUGACUUGGUUGGAAUGACUGAACGCUUGGAGGAUUUAUAUUUGAAAAUAAACAUUGGGGAAAAUGAUGUCCGCAUUAUAGGGAUUUGCGGAAUGGGUGGUAUCGGUAAAACAACACUCGCAAGACUUGCUUAUAAUCAAAUGUCACAUCAUUUUGAAAGUAAAAGCUUUAUUGCUGAUAUUCGAGAAGUUUCAGACAAAUGUGGAUUAGUUUCUUUACAGAAACAGCUUCUUUCGGAGAUUUUUCAUGAUGAAUGCUUCGAAUUUUUCAAUGUUCAUGAAGGGAAUGAUAUAAUUAGUCAUAUGUUGUCUCGCAAAAAGGUUCUUGUUGUUCUUGAUGAUGUUGAUAACAUUCAACACUUAAAAUGCUUGGUUGGAGGGCAUGAUUGGUUCGGAUUAGGGAGUAGAAUCAUUGUAACAACAAGAGACGAACAUUUGCUUCAAUCUUGCCAAGUUGACGAUGUGUAUAUACCCACAACAUUGAAUACCACAGAUGCGAUUCAACUUUUCAAUUUGAAAACUUUCCGUAGUGAUACAGUGCCGAAAGAUGAUUUUAUUGAGCUUUCUUACCAUGUUGUAAGUUAUGCUGGUGGGCUCCCGUUAGCUCUUGAAGUUUUAGGUUCCUUUUUGUGCGGUAGAGAUGCUGCUCAAUGGAGAAGUGCGAUUGAAAGACUUAAAAGAGAUUCUAAUAAAGAAAUUCUUAAUAAACUUCGGAUCAGUUUUGAUGGAUUGGAAGAAAGAGAGAAAAAUAUAUUUCUAGAUAUAGCAUGCUUCUUCAACGGGGAGAAGAAAGAUUUUGUAAUGAAAGUAUUGGAUGGUUGUGAGUUUUUCCCCGAUAUUGGAAUUGAUGUUCUCAUUAAGAAAUCUUUAAUAAAAGUCGAUGAUGGCAACCAAUAUUUGUGGAUGCAUGACUUGUUGCAAGAAAUGGGAAGAAAAAUUGUUAGAGAAAAAUCUAUUGAUGAACCUGGAAAAUGUUGCAGAUUGUGGGAGGAAACAGAUGUCCAUCAUAUCCUAACAAAAAACACGGUAAGUUACUCAACAAAAGUUACAUACUAUUUUUUUUUAUAGAAUAUCUAAUAAUAUAUGAUAUAAAUUCAAAGCUUAGUAUAAUUGGUUGAUACAACAUCCAUAAAAAGUGUUAUUUGGUACUUUUGAGAUAAAUUAUGUUUGAUGUUUACAAAUGUUAACAAAAAUUUAUAGAAAAAAAAUUUAAUUUCAUUGCAUUACCCUCAUUAGAAACUGUUUUACUUUGUUUAAAAUGCUUUAUUUAUUAUAUUUCGAGCAUAAUAAUGCUAGAAGUUUAAUUUUACAUUAUACACCAUUUAUUUUAUUUUCUUAUUUUCAAUUCUAAAUUUUUUUAGGCCACAGAAAUGAUUGAAGGCAUAUUCAUCAAUAAUAAAAGGUAAGAAAGUGCAUAUAAGUUUAUAUCUUUGUGUAUUAUAAAUGAUGAUUUUAUUUAUUUUAAAUGUGAUAAGAAACUAUAGCAAAACCUUUGACAUUCAAUAUUUUCAAUGUUUAAUUAUGAAAUUUAUCUAGCACAUAUUACUCUUUUAAAAGAAUCAAUAUUGAAAUGUGUAUAUCUUUGUGAAAUAUUAUGGUAUAUAUUUAAUGCACUAAUAGUGUAUACACCAAUGAAUUAGAUUGUAACAUGUCAUCCAAAUUUUUUUUAAAAUGAAUAUGGUUUUAUUUUUAAUUAUGUAUCAUUGAACCAUAUAGAAUUAUGCAUUGUUGGCUGACCAAAUAUAAAUCAAAAUAUUAAUUCACAUUUUUUAGGGUUUGGUAAUAUAACGUCAGAUGUGUGGUUGUUAGAUAUGUGUAUAUCUUCAGUAUUGGUACAUUCAAUUUUUUAAAGAAUUUUUUCAUGGAUUUAAAGAGUUCUUAAAGGAUCUUAAUAUCGAUAUUCGGAUAUGCAUUAGAUAAAAGUAUAGGAUACGGGUACAUAAAAAAACGACAUCGAUACAACAUAGCUCUUAGAUAUUGAAUGUUUUAAUUUCUAUACUCUUAAGCUCAUUUUUGUUUUCCUCAUGGAUAAAAGUAUUGGAUACAGGUACUUAAAAACAAUAUCAAUGCCACAUAGCUUUUAGAUAUUGAAUGUUUUUGUAUAUUCUAAAGCUCGUUUUUAUUUUGUUCAUGGCUAUUAGGGAAUCAAGCAAGGUGCUCAGCUUGAGUGUCAAUGCCUUCUCAAAGAUGAAAAAAUUGAGAUUGCUCAAAGUGCUUUGCCUCUCAAAUUGUGAUGAUCUCAAAUAUCUUUCUAAUGAACUACGACUUUUAGAUUGGAAAGGAUGCCCUUUACGAUCGUUGCCCUCAAGCUUCCAACCAGACAACCUUGUCGCACUUCUUUUACCAUAUAGUAACAUUAAACAACUAUGGAAGGAAAAUAGAGUAAGAAUUAACUCAUUUGGUCAUUGUGUUUUAGCUUAUUAUAAUAUAAAUGAUUAAAUUUUGAUUAAGAUAAAAAAUAAAAAUGAGCAUUAUUAUAUUAUCUCAUUUGUUUCUAAUUUAUUAUGGUCUUCAACAGCCCUUGUAUAAGUUGAAAAUGAUGAACCUUGAAGGGUCCCAAAACCUGAUCAAGACACCAGACUUCACAACAGCACCAAAACUUGAAGCUUUGAUCAUGAAAGGUUGCACCAAAUUAGUGGAUUUUCAUCCAUCAAUUGGAAUGCUUAAGAGCCUUAAACUUUUGAAUUUAAGAGAUUGCAAAAGUCUUAGGACUCUUCCGACGAUAAUUGGAAUGGAAUCUCUUGAAACAUUAAUUCUUUCGGAUUGCUCAAGUCUUGUAAGGUUUCCAGAGAUUGAUGGGAAAAUGGAACGUCUAAAAACUCUAGAUCUUUCUGGUUGUUAUAGAGUUGAAAAUUUAUCGGAGAAUUUGCUGCAAGCAAAGUUUUUGGAAGAGCUCGACUUGAGUGAAACAGCCAUAACAGAACCACCAUCCUUCAUUUUUCAAUUUAAAAAUCUUAAAGUUCUGUCUUUCAAUGGGUGCAAGGGACCAUCAUAUAAGUUACGACUAAAUUUGCCUUCUCUUUUCAAGGUAAUCCAAGGCAGAAGGACGAAUCCCAUGGCUCGGAUGUUACCUUCAUUGUCAGGUUUGAGUUCAUUAAGAGAGUUGAAUCUAAGGGACUGCAAUCUUUGUGAAGGAGAUCUUCCACGUGAUAUUUCUGGUCUAUCUUCUUUGAUACAUCUUGAUCUUAGUGGUAACAAUUUCAUCAGCAUACCUGUAUCUUUUACUCGACUCUCAAAGCUUAAAUUGCUUGCAUUAUCAGACUGCUUGAAUCUUAAAUCGUUGCCUGAACUUCUAAAAAGUAUAAAAACGGUGUGGAUAGAUGGUUGUGCUUCACUUGAAGUAGUUGCAAGUCCAUCAAAAGUAAGCAAUUUAGUGGAUUCGGCUGCCGUUAGCGCCAUUAACUGCUUCAAAUUGUCUGAGAAUAUCUAUGCAUUAACACUGCUGAAAACACAUCUUAAGGUCGAUUAAUCUCCUUAUUUUCCCUUACAAAAUCUCAUACCAGAGAAUUUAUGGUUUUAGUUACCAAACGACUUGUGUUUUAUUUUGCAGGCAUUUGCAAAUUCAAGGAAAAGGUUUGAUAUUACUAUGCCUGGAAGUGAAAUCCCAGAAUGGUUUGAUAUUAUUAUGCCCGGAAGUGGAAUCUCAGAAUGGUUUAGCCAACAAAAAAGCGACUCUUCAAUUGAUUCUAUUAAGAUACUCCUACCUAUCAACCUUCGGAAAGAUAGUGAAUGGAUUGGAGUUGCUUGUUGCUGCAUUUUUGUUAAUAAUGAUGCUUCAACGGAUGACGAGCUUCUCAAUUGUAGAGCAUCUGUCAAUUGUGGAGAGAUUAGUCGGAAACGCUGGAAUAUGGGUAAACGAUUUAACGAGCCCAUAAUGAAAGAUCACCUUUUUCUUCGUUAUUGGUCGCGUGAUAAACUAUAUCCAUUUUCAUUUGAGGAUGAAUAUGGUGACUUUGAAACCAAUCAUUUAUGCGAUGAUGAGCUUGAGGUGUCUUUCAGUGGAAGCAGUGCUAAGGUGAAGAAGUGUGCUUUUAGAAUAGUGUAUAAGAAAGAUUUGGAAGAAAUAAAUGAGUUGCAGUGCCAUAGCACUCAAUCUUCUCCAAAAUUUGAACACAUCCACCAACACUCUGCUCGCAACGAUGGAUCAAUAGGUAGCAUUUCCUACACAAAACGAAAACGUAAUAUCUACGAGGAAGCGGAGGAAGAAAGGCCGCAACCAAAAUGGAUGCAAAAAAUUUUCAAUUUUAUAAUGGGCAAUUCGAAGAAGAAGCAUCAAUUGUUGUAAACUACUUAUCUCACCUUGUCCUAUUACCUUUUUUUUUACACAUUUACGUUUUUCCAUCUUUUAUUUCAUUUAAAAUAAUCAUUCUAGACUUAUUUGGAUAUGAGAUAUGAUUCUUCUAUUAUAUAUCUUUUAUUCUUACUCAUAUUUUGUACAUAUCCCAAAUGCUUCGGUGACAAAAAGUAAUAAUAAGGUGAAAAUCCUUUAAUGAGGAUUGAAUUAUAAUUUGGGCCACCUUAAAAAUCAUUCCAUUUUUAUUUAAGAUCAACUUAUGUGUUUAAUUUAAUUAGUCAAUUUAUAUAUAUAUAUUUGAAAGAUUAAAUAUAGUCCUUAAUAGUAUUUAAAUAGGUUUAAUUCCUUCUAAUAAAAGUACCACUUAAAUUUCGUGAUUUGAUUUACAAAUAAUAUUAUUUCAACUCUUCGAUAUAUAAUUUUUAUUAAGUAUUUAUGAUUUUUGGUCGACAUGAUUGUGUUUCCUAUAUCAAUAAAAAUUCCUCAAUUUGAGAUAAUUAAGUUAAUAUGCUAGUGAUAUAAAUGAUCUAAAUGCAACCAAAAUAAUCUUGGUGUUUUAUGUUUGUCCCUAGACCAAUAGAAGCAUGGCAGGCUCAAAGGAUCAUACAAGUGAGGGGCCAACAGAAGUCAGGUUGAAAUGGAAGUGGAUACUUUAGCAUUUAUAGGCUCAAUGAAUUAAUUAGGGAAUUAGGAUUUCGAGAAAUAGAUUAUGAUAUUAUAUAAUUAGUUGCUUUUUACAUGUAGUGUAAUGUAAUGCAAGUUAUACUAUUUUAAACCAACUUUUUGAAUUUGUUGUUUGUAAAAUGUAAUUCAAAUAGUAAUUUAAUUGUAAGGUCAAUAAUACCUUUUGAAUUAAGUGGUGUAGUCGUAAACUAAUUAAUUGAGAACAAAAUUUAAGUAUUUAUUGCAUAAAACAGAAAUUAAAAGAUAGAAUUCAUCAUAAGGUUCAUCUCCCCUAGGUAUUUAGAAAAUUAGUUCAUAAUUGCAAAUAAAAACAUUCAAAAGAUAGUAUAACCACAAGAAACAAAGAAACUCAUAAUAAACUUCAAAGAAAUCAAAAAUUUUAAUAGUUUAUAUAUUUAUAAUUUUUAUCAUUUUAAUAGUUUAUAUAUUUAUAAUUUUUAAAAGAUUAAAUUAAAAUUUUAUUAUUUUUAAGGGAGCCAAAGUGUAAUUUUAUCAUUACAAAUUUAAAAUUUUAAGGGCCCUAAAAGGAAAAUUUCCAUUUUAAGGGGUCGGUGCCAUCUAAAAAGAAAAGAGAAUAUAAAUAAAAAAUAAAAAACAAAAAACCAUUCACGGCUUAGUCCUCAUCAUUCUGUAAGACCUCCAGGUCGAAUGAUUUAUUUAAGCAUCAAAUUUUAUUAAAAAAUUAUUUUAGUCAUUUAUUUAAUUUUUUUUAUAUUUUUAGUUUUUUAAUUUGUAUUUUUUAUCAAAUCACCCCAAAAUUUGAUGAAAAAGUUAAUUUUUUAAUUUACUGAUAUAACAUACAUGUAUAUUACCAUAUGAAUGACAUAUCUUCAUUUAAUUAAUUUUUUAAAAUUUAAAAAAAUUAAUUAAAUACUAACAUGUCAUCCGCGUGGUAAUUCACGAGUAUACCAUAUCAAUAAAGAGAAUAAAUAUUAAUUUUUUAUUUAUUUUAAAGUAAUUUCACAAAAAAUUCAAAUUCCAGAGUUAUAGAGAAAGCAAGUAAAGCACACACUUAAGAACAGUUGCAAUUAUUGUAGGCUCCAUUUUAUCAACACCCACCUUGUUGGAUUCAUAUGCAUCACUCAUUUAUGGCCCCCCACUUUCCACAACUACGCGCAUUCAUUUGGAAAGUGAAAAGGUUAUAGAGAAAUUGCUUAGAAACCACCUUUAUUCUUCCCUGGAAAUUUGAUCUGAUUCUAGUUUCUUUCAGACGUAUUGAGCUAUCAGUUUUCUGAUUUUCAACACUACAUCCACAUUUUUUUUUCUCUCACAUCGUCAUGUCGUCAUUACCUUCAACUUCUUCGUCCAAUUCUAGAAAGAAAUAUGAUGUUUUCUUGAGUUUUAGAGGUGAAGAUACCCGCACCAACUUUACCGAUCAUCUCUAUGAUGCUUUAAGUAGGAGUGGGAUCGUCACUUUCAGGGAUGAUCCAAAGCUGGAGGCCGGUGAAGAGAUCGCGCCAGAACUCUUUACAGCAAUUCAGCAAUCAUGGUGUUCGGUAAUCGUUUUUUCACAAACUUAUGCCUUUUCAAGUUGGUGCUUGGAGGAGCUUGCUGAGAUUGUUAAACAACAUAACAACGACGGCCAUAAGGUGUUUCCAAUUUUUUACGAUGUUGAUCCAUCUGAUUUAAGAAAACAAAAAGAGAAAGUGGAAGAAGCCUUUGCUAGACAUGAAGAGAGAUACAAAGAAGAUAGGGAGAAGAUCCAAAGGUGGCGAAAUGCUUUAAUUCAAGUGGCUGGAAUCAAGGGAUGGCAUUUAAAUAACAGGUAACUCUUUCUUUUCUUCUCUAUUUUCUAUUUUUUGGGAUAUAUAUGUAUAAACUUUUUUCUUUCUUUCUAAUCCUAUGUGUUUAAUUGAAAAGUGUCUUGGUUCUUGUUUGCUUCCAAACUAUAUAAUGUUUCAUGAUUCAUUGAAAAAGAAAGUGCAUUUGAUAAUAUGAAACAAAAAUUAUUCAAAAAAUUAAAAUUUCUUUUCUUGUAGGCAUGAAUCGGAAUUUAUUAGAGAGAUUAUUAAGAAUAUAUCAGCAAAACUAUGUCACCCAGUGACUCAUAGUGACUUGGUUGGAAUGACUGAACGCUUGGAGGAUUUAUAUUUGAAAAUAAACAUUGGGGAAAAUGAUGUCCGCAUUAUAGGGAUUUGCGGAAUGGGUGGUAUCGGUAAAACCACACUCGCAAGACUUGCUUAUAAUCAAAUGUCACAUCAUUUUGAAAGUAAAAGCUUUAUUGCUGAUGUUCGAGAAGUUUCAGACAAAUGUGGAUUAGUUUCUUUACAGAAACAACUUCUUUCGGAGAUUUUUCAUGAUGAAUGCUUCAAAUUUUUCAAUGUUCAUGAAGGGAACGAUAUAAUUAGUCAUAUGUUGUCUCGCAAAAAGGUUCUUGUUGUUCUUGAUGAUGUUGAUAACAUUCAACACUUAAAAUGCUUGGUUGGAAGGCAUGAUUGGUUCGGAUUAGGGAGUAGAAUCAUUGUAACAACAAGAGAAGAACAUUUGCUUCGAUCUUGGCCAGUUGAUGAUAUGUAUGAGCCCACAACAUUGAAUCCCAAAGAUGCUCUUCAACUUUUCAGUCUGAAAGCUUUUCAUGGUGAUACAGUGCCGAGAGAUGAUUUCAUUGAGCUUUCUUACCAUGUUGUAAAAUAUGCUGGUGGGCUCCCGUUAGCUCUUGAAAUUUUGGGUUGCUUUUUAUGCGGUAGAGAUGCUACUCAAUGGAGAAGUGCAAUUGAAAGACUUAAAAGAGAUUCUAAUAAAGAAAUUCUCGAUAAACUUCGAAUCAGUUUUGAUGGACUGGAAGAAAGGGAGAAGAAUAUAUUUCUAGAUAUAGCAUGCUUCUUCAAUGGGGAGGAGAAAGAUUUUGUAAUGAAAGUAUUGGAUGGUUGUGAGUUUUUCCCAGAUAUUGGCAUUGAUGCUCUCAUUAAAAAAUCUCUCAUAAAAGUCGAUGAACACAAAUAUUUGUGGAUGCAUAACUUGUUGCAAGAAAUGGGAAGAAAAAUUGUUAAAGAAAAAUGUGUUGAUGAACCUGGAAAACGUUGCAGAUUAUGGGAGGAAAGAGACGUCUAUCAUGUCCUAACAAAAAACACUGUAAGUCAUUUAACAAAAGUUACAUACUAUUUCUAUUUUGUUAUAUAAUAUCAAAUCAAUAUAUGAUAUAAACCCAAAGCUUAGUCUAAUUGGUUGAUACAACUAUUCUUAAAAAGUGAUCUUUAGUAAUUUUGAGAUUACAAAUAUUAAAAAGGAUUUGUAGAAAUAAAUAUUUAAUUUCAUUGCAUUGCCCUCUUUAGAGGAUAUAUAAUAUUUGUAGAAAUUGUUUUACUUCGUUUAAAAUGCUUUAUUUAUUAUAUUUAGAAUAUAAUAAUGCUAAAUAAAAAUGUAAGUUUUUAAAAGUUUUAUCCUACAUUAUACACCAUUUAUUUUGUUUUCUUAUUUUCUAUUCUUGAUUUUUCUUAGGGUACAAAAAUGAUUGAAGGUAUAAUCAUCAAUAAUAAAAGGUAAGAAGACACAUAAAACUUAUAUUUAUGUGUACUGUAAAUAAUUAUUUUGUUUUCUUAAAUAUGAUAAGAAAUUAUAGCAAAAUCUUUGAUACUCAAUAUUUCAAUGUUUAAUUAUGAAAUUUAUUUAGUAGCGUAUUACUCUUUCAAAAGAAUCAAUAGAGAAAUGUAUGUCUUUUUGAAAUAUUAAUAGUAUAUCAAUGAAUUAGAUUAUAACAUAACUUUUAGAUAUUGAAUGUUUUUGUAUAUUGUGAAGCUCAUUUUCAUUUUGUUUUAUUCAUGAUUAUUAGGGAAUCGAGCAAGAUGCUCAACUUGAGUGUCGAUGCCUUCUCAAAAAUGAAAAAGUUGAGAUUGCUCAAAGUGCUUUGCCUAUCAAAUUGUGAUGAUCUCAAAUUUCUUUCUAAUGAGCUACGGCUUUUAGAUUGGAAAGGAUACCCUUUAAGAUCGUUGCCUUCAAGCUUCCAACCGGACAACCUUGUUGCACUUCUGUUACCAUAUAGUCGCAUUCAACAACUAUGGAAGGGAAAUAGAGUAAGAAUUAACUCAUCUCAUCCUUGUAUUUUAGCUUAUUUUAAUAUAAAUGAUUAAACUUUGAUUAAGGUAAAAAGACAAAAAUAAGCAUUAUUAUGUUUUCUCAUUUGUUUCUAAUUUAUUGUGAUCUUCAACAGCCCUUGUGUAAGUUGAAAAUCAUGAACCUGGAAGGGUCCCAAAACCUGAUCAAGACACCAGACUUCACAACGGCAUCAAAUCUUGAAGUUCUAAUAUUGAAAGGUUGUACCAAAUUAGUGGAUGUUCAUCCAUCAAUCGCAGUACUUAAGAGCCUUAAAGUUUUGAAUUUAAGAGAUUGCAAAAGUCUUAGGAGUCUUCCGACCAUAAUUGGAAUGGAAUCUCUUGAAACAUUAAUUCUUUCCGGUUGCUCAAGUCUUGUAAGGUUUCCGGAGAUUGAUGGGAAAAUGGAACGUCUAAAAACUCUAGAUCUUUCCGGUUGUUUUAGAGUUGAAAAUCUAUCGGAGAAUUUGCAGCAUGCAGAGUUUUUGGAAGAGCUCGACUUGAGUGAAACAGCCAUAACAGAACUACCAUCCUUCAUUUUUCAAUUUAAAAAUCUUAAAGUUCUGUCUUUCAAUGGAUUCGAAAGAGGAAGGACAAAUUCCAUCGCUCCGAUGUUGCCUUUGUUGUCAGGUUUGAGUUCAUUAAGUAAGCUAAAACUAAGGGACUGCUAUCUUUGUGAAGGAGAUAUUCCAAGUGAUAUUUCUGGUCUAUCCUGUUUGAAAGAACUUGAUCUUAGUGGUAACAAUUUCAUCAGCAUACCUGCAUCUCUUACUCGACUCUCCAAGCUUGAAGAGCUUAUAUUGUCAAAUUGUAACAUCUGCACUCUUGGUGAAGCAGAUAUUCAUGGUCUAUCCUCUUUGAAAUGGCUUUUUCUUAACGGUAACAAUUUCAUCACCGUUCCUUUGCCUCUGACUCAACUUUCCAAGCUUAAAUUGCUUGCAUUAUCAAAUUGCAUGAAGCUUAACUCGUUGCCUCAGCUACCAACAAGUAUAGAAGAUGUGUGGCUAGAUGGUUGUUCUUCACUUGAAGUAGUUGCAAGUCCAUCAAAAGUAUGCAAUUUAGUGGAUUCGGCUGCUAUUUUACCCUUUAACUGCUUCAAAUUGGCUGAGAAUAGCAAUGCAUUAACACUGCUGAGAAAACAUCUUAAGGUCGAUUAAUCUCUCUUUUUCUCACUUACAAAAUCUCAUACUUGAGAAUUUAUGGUUUUAGUUACCUAACGACUUGUGUUUUAUUUUGCAGGCAUUUGCAAAUUCAAGAAAAAUGUUUGAUAUUAUCAUGCCAGGAAGUGAAAUCCCAGAAUGGUUUAGCCAACAAAAAGGUGACUUCUUUAUUAAGAUUCCCUUACCGAUUAACCUUCAAGAGGAUAGUGAAUGGAUUGGAGUUGCUUGUUGCUGCAUUUUUGUCAAUAAUGAUGCUUCAAGGGAUGUGGCCUUUAUCGACUGUGGAGCGUUAAUGUAUGGUAGAAACCGUCGGCAGAUUGAGAGGAGAGGCUAUUUGGUGGGUAAACGAUACAACAAGCCCAUAAUGAAAGAUCACAUUUUUCUUCGUUAUUGGUCGCGUGAUAAAUUAUAUCCAGUUUCCUUGAAGGAUAAAUAUGGUGGCUGUGAAACCAAUAAUUUACGGACAACAGAUUGCUUAGAUCAUAAACAUGAUGGGCUUCAUGUGUUUUUCAAUGGUCAUAGCCUUAAAGUGAAGAAGUGUGGUGUUAGAAUAGUGUAUGAGAAAGAUUUGGAAGAAAUGAAAGAGUUGCAGUGCGAUACCACUCAAUCUUCUCCAAAUUUUGAGCACAUCCACCAACACUCUGCUCACAACCAUGGAACAGUAGGUAGCAGUUCUCACAUAAAACGGAAACGUAAUAUCUAUGAGGAAAUGGUGGAAGAAGAGCCGCAACCAAAACGGAUGCAAAAUUUUUUCAAUUUUAUAAUGGGCCAAUCAGGGAAGAAGCAUUAACUGUGGUAAACUACUUAACCAUCCUUCUUACAUACCAAAAACUUAUAAAUCUUUUACUUAUAUUCAACAGGAGCUCAUAUUCCGUACAUAUCACAAUUGUUGAUAACAUAGUUUAUAUAUAUCAUUUAAAAUUUUAGUCGCUUAAUUCAUUCCUUUUUAUAUAACUGAAAUGUGUAAAUUUUGAUGGUUUCAUUUUUUAUUAAAAUUGUAUUUUCAUUAUAUAUACACUUACAUCUAUAUUUUAUUUGUAGGUUGAAAUAAAUAUAAUCAACUUGAGAUAGAAAUGUUGAGAAAAAUGGAUAGUUUCCGUGACAAAACAGGUAACAAUAAGGUGAAAUCCUUUAAUAAAGGCCAGAUCAUGAUUUUCAACUGUUGUGUUUUUUGUGAUAUUAACAAAAUUUUCUUGAUUUGAGGUAAGUUAAUAUACCGGUGAUAGAGAAAGGAUUAUAUGAAACUAUGGUUCCACGUCAUUCCUAUACAUUUUCAAUAGGAGAAUGACAACUCAAAAUUUUAGUAUUUUUAGUUGAAUUUGAAUUUGUCGGGAGGAAAAAGUUGAAAAUCGGGAGGAAAAAUCUGUUUUGUUAUUCUUCUAUUAGAAGGUGAUAUGAAUGAUUUAAAAUCACAGUUUCAUAAAAUCCCUUAAAAUCCCUUCUCACCAGUGAUGUAGAUGAUCUCAAUGCAACAAAAAUAACCUUGGUGUUUUAUGUUUGUCCCCUAGGCUAAUAGAAGUAUGAAAGUUUGGUCAAAGGAUCAUGCAAGUGAGGGACCAACAAAAGUCUUCAAGCUGAAAUGAAAGCGGACACUUUAGCAAUUAUAGGCUGGGAUGAAUUUAGAGAAAUAGAUUAUGUUAUUACAUAAUUAGUUGUUUUUUUACAUGUAAUGUAAAUUAUAGUAUUUUAAAUCGACCUUUUGAAUUUGUAAUGUAAAUUCAAAUAGUAAUUUAAUUGUAAUGUAAAUAAAACCUUUUAAAUUAGGCAUAAUGACAAAAAAGGUUCUUAGUGUUUAUAAAAUUUGACAAUUUAACCCUUAUUUUUUUAAGCAAUUUAGCUCUUAACAUUUUAUUUUGAGUCAAAUUAUGGAUUUUUUAAUGCAAAAUGCUUAUUGAACUAUUAACAGUGUUGACUUGACAUGAAUAGUGAAUUCAUUCCUUUUUACAAAUUUUAGUCACUCAAUUCAUUCCUUUUUACAUAAAUGAAAUGUGUACUUUUUUUUAAUUUUAUUAUAUAUAUAUAUAUAUAUAUAUAUUAACUUACAUGUAGGUUGAAGUUAAUCUAAUCAACUUAAUACUGAAAUAUUAAAAAAAAUGGAUAUCUUUUGUGACGAAGCAGGCAAAAAUAAAAUGAAUCCUUUAAUAAGGAUUAAUCAUUAUUUCAGCUGAGUUAAAAAUCAUUUCAUUUUUAUUAGAGAUUAAUUUAUGUGUUCAAUUUAAUCAGUCAAAAUUAUUUUUAUAUAUUGGGAAGAUUAAAUAUAAGUCCUUAAUAGUACUUAAAUAGGUUUAAUUCCUUCUAAUAAAAGUAACAUUUAAAUUUCAUGGCUUGAAGUACAAAUAAUAGUAUUCCAACUCUUUUAGUUUAUAUUGUUUAUACAGUAUUUAUAUUUAAACAUUUAUUUUUAACACUGAUUCAAACAUGAAAAUAAAGUAUGCUCUUUUAAUUAAUUGGAAAAUAUUUUUUGCGUGUGAGGCUUAUUCAACCUUUUUUUUUUUUUUACUUCAAUAGAUUUAUUUUUUGUUCUUGUCUAAUUUCCCUUUUCUGUUCUUGACAGUGGUUGUGUUUUCUGUAAUAUCAACAAAACUUUCUCAAUUUGAGGUAAGUUAAUAUACCAAUGAUAAUGAUGAUAUCAAUGCAACAAAAAUAAUUUUGGUGUUUUAUGUUUGUCCCCUAGACCGGUAGAAGCAUGGCUCAAAGGAUAAUGCAAGUAAGGAAUCGACAAAAGUCAAGUUGAAAUGGAAGUCAACACUUUCGCAUUUGGAUGAAUUUAGAAAAUUACGAUUUCAAAAAAUAGAUUAUGUUAUUAUAUAAUUUGUUAUUUUUUACUUGUAAUGUAAUGUAAACUAUACUAUUUUAAAUGGGGUUUUUGAAUUUUUUGCUUGUAACAUAUAAAUUUAAUUGUAAUGUUAAUAAAACCUUUUAAAUAGGUAUAAUGACAAAAAAAUGUUCUUAGCAUUUAUAAGAUUUUAUUUUGAGUUAAACUAUAAAUUUUUUUAUUGCAAAAUGCUGAUUAAACCGUUGACGUGAUAUGAAUAGUAAACUCUUUUUAAGGUUGGUCUCAAUUGGAUCAUCUUUCACAAUAGCCUUAUUUAUGUUUAUUAUGUUUUCUCAUUUGUUUCUAAUUUAUGAUGGUCUUCAACAGCUCUUGUAUAAGUUGAAAUGCGGCUGAGAUGGGAUUGCAUGUGGGAUUCUCGAGGGUGGAGAUCGAAGGAGACUCCUUAUCUGUGAUUCGGAAGCUGCAAAUAAAGGGAGUUGAAAGGUCAGUGAUAGGAGCCUAUAUCUCAAGUAGAGGGAUAUCAAAUCUGUGUCUUUAAACAUGUGCCAAAACAAGCAAACGGAGUUGGACAUCUAUUGGCUAUAGAGGGAUUAAAGAGAGAUGAAGAAACUUAUCUUGUUGGUGCGGUUCCUUCAUACACGAAAGUGGCAGCGGAAGAGGACCGUCAACAGUUGGGCCCACUAUGUCCAGCAGGUCAAAGAUCCACUGCUUAGAAAGAAGAUAAAAUGGGAUUUUACUGUGGGCAAACAGAUCGGAGAAUAGAUGGACUACUGGGUUUCUCAGUUUCAACGGAAGAUUGGUGUUUUGAAGUGAUGAAAUGCAGAGUUUAGCCAGACCUGAAGGGUUUCUGUUGAAAAAGACAGCAGCAACUAAGCAAAAUUCAAACAGCCAAGACUAAAGCUCAUUAACAGCAAAACAAAACAAAAAGAACAAACUGAAAAUCCAAAGAGAAGCAACAAGUAACCGAAUGAGAAAGUCCUAGCUUUCAUUUCCAUUUCAAAAUAUAAAGGGGUUACAAAAAUAAUAAUAAUAAGUUAGUUACCUAAACUGUAACUGCUCUUAACAAAUUUGGCAAGUUGCCAACUAAAAUAUUACAAAAGAAAAGCUGAAAAAAUUCAGCUGUUACAUCCAUCAAUUUCAAAUCUAAAAAUAUUAGCUUUAGAUAUCAAGCAACUUGCCAACUUGUUAAUAUAAAAAAAAUACAAAAUUUAAACAAAAGAAAGUUGCUUCUAGUUCAAUCUUCAAACAGACAUGCUGCUGCUGCUCACGAUGCUGGUAGUUUGUUGCAUUGCAGACCAAUGCUCAACACUCCUCCUUGGACUGUAGGCAACAAACACCAAUCGAAUCUCGUAAGAAUUCAAACCUGAUUGUGCCAAGAGGCUUUGUCAAAAUGUCAGCCAAUUGAUCUUGUGAGCUGCAAUGUAUAAGACACACUUCUUUGGAUUGAACAACUUCUCGAACAAAGUAAAACUUGAGCUUAAAAUGUUUGGUUUUUCCAUGAAAAACAGGAUUUUUGGAGAUGGCAACUGCUGACUGAUUAUCCACCAUAAUUUCAGUAGGCUCAAGCUGUUCUUCAUUCAAAUCACAUAGCAACUUCCUAAGCCAAAUGGCUUGAUUCACUGCUGCAGCUGCUGCUAUGUAUUCUGCUUCAGCAGUAGACUAAGCAACAGUUUGUUGCUUCUUUGAACUCCAACUGAAAACUCCCGAACCAAGUGUAAAGAAGUAGCCUGAAGUACUUCUCAUAUCAUCAACUGAUCCACCCCAGUCACUAUCUGAGUAGCCAGUUAAUUUCAGCUCACUUCCUUUCUUGAACAUUACACCAAACUUCAAAGUACCUUUGACAUACCUGAGUAUUCUCUUUGCUGCUUUCAAAUGAGUUGUAUUGCAGCUAUGCAUGAAUCUAGACAGUAGACUAACUGAAUGCAUAAGGUCAGGUCUGGUUGCUGUCAAGUAUAGUAAACAACCAAUCAGGCUUCUAUACUCCUUUUCAUCUACCUUUUCUUCAUUUCCAAAGCUGCUUAGUUUCGAUCCCACAUCUAAUGGUGUGCUCACUGGUUUGCAGUUUUCCAUAUGAAACUUAGUGAGAAUUUUCAAGGCAAAUGCAUGCUGGCUAAUAAAAAUGCCUUGAUCAGACUGGUCUACUUCCAUACCAAGGAAGUAAGUCAUGAUUCUCAAGUUUGUCAUGUCAAACAUGUCUUGCAUAUUCUUCUUGAACUCCUGAAUCAAAUUGACCCUGCUUCCAGUCACAAAUAGAUCAUCCACAUAUAUUGAGACAAUCAGCAAAGUCUCAUCUUUGGACUUCUUUAUAAACAAAGUUGGCUCACUCAAACUUUUCUCGAAAUUGAGCCUAGACAGGUAAGCAUCUAUCUUGUCAUACCAGACUCGAGGAGCCUGUUUUAGUCCAUAGAGUGCCUUCUUCAGCUUGUAAACCUUGUCCUCCUUUCCUUGGACUUUAAAUCCAUCAGGCUGUUCAACAUAAAUUUCUUCUUUAAGAAAACCAUUCAGGAAAGCUGACUUGACAUCAAGUUGAUGGACCCUCCACUGCUUUUGUGCUGCGAAGGCAAACAGAAGCUUUAUGGUAUCCAGCCUUGCCACUGGAGCAAAUGUCUCCUCAAAAUCAAUGUCAAACUGUUGAUUGUACCCUUUCACCACAAGCCUUGCCUUGUGUUUGUUCAAAGAGCCAUCAGCAUUGAAUUUGGCCCUGAAAACCCAUUUGACACCUAUGACCUUCUUCUGAUCAGGUCUGUCUACCAGAUCCCAAGUGUCAUUUUUGUGGAUCAUGUCAAUUUCAACCUCCAUAGCCUUCUUCCAGCUCUUGCUUCUUGCAGCUUCUUCAUAGCUUGAAGGCUCAACAAUGGCCACAUUGCAUCUUUGGUAGAUAUCAGCAAUAGACCUGGUCCCCCUCACAGGAGCAUCAUCUACAUUGGCAUUACUGACUUCAUUUUCUGCCAAUUCCAGAUUGCUGUCAAUCUGCUCUUCUUCAAACUAACUUGUGUUAGAGCCAUCUAGACUCCAAAACCUUCCUUCAUCAAAUUUGACAUCCCUGCUUACCAAAAUCUUCUUGGUUGAAGGAUCAAAUACUCUGUAGCCCUUCUUGCAGCUACUGUAGCCAACAAAUAUACCAGGAACUGACCUCUUCUCGAGCUUGGUUCUUCUUUCUGCAGGGACAAGUACAAAACACAUGCAACCAAACACUUUUAAAUGGGAAACAGUUGGUUUGAGAUCAUACCAUGCUUCAAAAGGAGUUUUAUCAUUCACAGCAUGUGUUGGUAGCCUAUUGAGCAGGUACACUGAGGUGUUGACACCUUCAGCCCAAAAAAUUCUUGGAAGCUUGCUUUGAAACAACAAACACCUGGUCAUGUUCAUCACUGUUCUGUUCUUCCUUUCACAUACUCCAUUUUGUUGAGGAGUAUACACUGAGGUCAAUUGAUGAUGAAUCCCAGCCUGCUCACAUAGCUUCUGAAAUAUUUCAGACAAGUAUUCAGAACCAUUGUCUGUCCUCAAGGCCUUAAUCCUGCAGCCUGUUUGAUUUUCUGCCAAUGUCUUGAACUUUCCAAAAACUUCAAACACUUCUGACUUCUGUUUCAUGAAAUAAACCCAGCAAAAUCUGGUCAGAUCAUCAAUAAACAGUAUAAAAUACUUACUGCCAUUCAGUGAAGGCGUCUUCAUUGGUCCACAGACAUCUGAGUGCACCAACUCAAGUCUUUCUUGAGCCCUCCAUGCUUGGUUUACUGGAAAAGGCAACCUGGCCUGCUUACCAAGCUGGCACACUUCACAAACAGACUCAUUUGCAUCAACCUUAAUCAUGUCCUCUGUCAAACUUAUAUUGUGUAGCAAAUUGAGUGACCUGAAAUUGACAUGGCCAAAUCUUCUAUGCCACAUAUCAGCAUUGUCAACUGAACUUGUAUAGGCUCUUCUCUCAAGUUGGCUCACAUCCAGCAUGAAACACCUAUCUGCCAUUGGUGCUGAAACAACUUCUCUACCAAGAACAUCAUUAAUAACACAAGAAUCAUUCUUGAAAACUAGAGAGUAGCCUUUCUUAACCAGCUGACCUACACUAAGUAGAUUUUGAUCUAUUUCAGGUACAUAGAGCACAUCUGUAAUAACCUUUUUACCUGAACCAGUGUUGAUCACAACAUCACCUCUGCCUUUAGCUUCAAUCAGAUUCUCAUUGCCUAUCCUGACCUUUGAAGUAAAACUCCUGUUAAGGUCCUUGAAUAGGCUCUCAUCUGAUGCCAUGUGAUGUGAGCAGCCACUAUCCACAAGCCAACUGCAUUUGGAUUUGCUUGUGGUUGCAGAACAUGAGGCAGUGAAGACAUGCUCCUCCUGAGCUUGAAGAUCUUCAGCAGUCUUGGCUUGUACUGGCAGAGUUUGUGCCUUUUCUUGAUUUCUACAAAUCUUUUCAUGGUGACCAUACUGCUUGCAACUCUUGCAUUGGAUGUUUGGUCUGUUCCAGCAAUACUUCUCUAAAUGAUUAGUCUUCUUGCAGUGAACACAUGGUGGAAACCUCCUUCUACCAGCAUCUUUCUUUGAUCUUUCCCUCUUUUCAAACCAAGGCUUCUUAGCUUUCUGACUUGAGCUGGAGCCUUCUCUGACCUUUGCUUGAAAAACACCUUCAGGACUCUCCUCCUGCCUACUUGCUCUUCUCUGCUCAAGUGCAUAGAGUGAGUUAGCCAACUCAGACAAAGAAAUGAUUGUGAGAUCUCUCGAGUCCUCUAAUGAGCAGAUUUUUGACUCAAACCUUUCAGGUAAGGUGGUAAUAACCUUCUCAACAACCCUGCUGUCACUGAAAUCUUCUCCAAGGAGUCUGAUAUUAUUGACAGUAGCCAUAAUUCUAUCAGAAUAUUGCUUGAUAGUUUCUGACUCCUUCAUCUUCAAAUUUUCAAACUCCCUUCUAAGAUUUGUAGCGACCUAAAAAUUUGGGGUACGGGCGCUAGUCGAAAUAAUUAUUGAAAAUUUAAAAACAGCGUCUCGAUUUUAUUUGCAAAAGGAGUUGCCACUGAUCUUUUUUUAGGUGUGAUCGGACACCUAAUAAAUUCUAUUUUUAGAAGAAAAAUUUAUUUUUAAAUUUUCCUAAAAAAGAGGUAAUUUUAGGUCUGCGUGAAAAUCCAGAUAAAAUUAAGGUUCGGGAGUCGGUUACGCGCGAGGAAGGUAUUAGCACCCUCGCGACACCCAAAAUUGGUAUCUCGUUAAACGCACGUCGUCUUAAUUUUCAAAAAUACGAGUUCAAUUUAAUAUUUACUCGUGAUCCAAUUGAAACAUGAGAAUUUUUUUAAAACACGAGAAUUUUGCAGCACCAAUUUUUAAAAAAAACGAAAAUUUUUGAAACAUGAGAAAUUUUUUUAAAAACACAAAAAUUUUUGAAACACGAAAAUUUUAAAAAACACGAAAAUUUUUAAAACACAGCAAUUUUUGAAACACGAUAAUUUUUCAAAACACAAAUUUUUUUAAAGAACAUGACAAUUUGUGAAACACUAGAGUCAUUGAAAACACGGAAAUUUGUGAAAAAACAAAAAUUUAUGAAACACAGAAAUUUAAAAAAAAACACAGAUUUUUGAAACACCGAAAUUUUUGAAAACACGAAGAUUUUUGAAACACGAAAAUUUUUGAAAAUACGAAUUUUUUUUAAAUACAGAAAUUUUUAAACACGGGGAUUUUUGAAACAUGGAAUUUUUUUAAACGUGAAAAUUUUUGAAACACAAUUUUUUUUAAGAAGUGCCGUAUUUAACACGAAUCAAUAAUAUUCAUCCCUACAUGGCGAUGAAAUCAUCGAAUUAGUGCCAAAUCGAUUCAACUUAAUAUUUAAUCGUGAUUUUAUUAAAACACGAGAAUUUUAAAAAAACAUGAGAAUUUUAGAAUAUUUUCGAUUUUUUUUAAAAGGGCGUAUCGUGUUUAACACAAACCGAUGGUAUUCACCCAACAUAGCGAUGAAAUCAACAAUUGAAUGUUAAAUCGAUUCGUUGCCUUAUUUAUUAAAAUUACUUAAAAUAAAAUAAAAUUGAAAUUGAAUUAAAUUAAAAAUAUAAAUGCAAAAAUAUAAAAAUGCAUAAAAGUACAAAUAAUACUAAAACGGAAUAGCAUAAAAAUACGGGUAUUAAAUUAAAAGUGAAAUAAACGAAAUUACCAGAAAUAUCCAAAACACGAGCUUAGUCGAACGGGUUACCAAAUUGAACCCUUUUCUUUUUUUCUUUUUUCUUUUUCUUUUUUUCUUCCUUUUUUUUCUGCUGCUGGGCCGGCCUGUUGGACUGCUGGGCAAACUGGGCCUGGCGCUGUGGGCCUUCUGGGCUGGUCUGGUGCUGCCUAGAUGCCUGCUGGGCCUUUGCUGGAAAUGGGCUGCUGUUGGCCUGCUAACAAAAAUGGCCUGCUGUGUUUUUUUUUGCUGUUUGCUGUUUUUUUAGGGGCUGCUCUUUUUUUGGGCUGCUGGGCUGCUGUUUUUUAUUUGGGCUUCUCGGAUGAUGCGGGUCGGGCCUGGUGCGGGUCGGGUCGGGUCGACNNNNNNNNNNNNNNNNNNNNNNNNNNNNNNNNNNNNNNNNNNNNNNNNNNNNNNNNNNNNNNNNNNNNNNNNNNNNNNNNNNNNNNCUUUUUUCUUUCUUCUUCGGGUCACCCCUAGCCCCCACGCCGUCGCCGACCCCCCCUCCGUCCGGUGUUGCGGUGGCCGACGCGACUCCCUUCUCCUCUCUUCCUCCCUUUCUUUUCUCUUCUCUUUUCUUCCUUUUUCCUUUGGGUUGCUGUUUUUUUUUGCUUAUUGCUUUUUAUUUUCUCUUUGCUUGUGUUGUAGGUGUUGGGACGGUAGUGGCGGUGCUGUCGUGGUGGUGGGGACGGUGGCGCGCGGUGGAGCUGCUGUUUUCCUUGUGUUUUGCUGCCUUUUUUUUCAUUUUUUCUCUGCUGUUUUUUUGGUUUUUUUGGCUGCCGAAAAAAUCCCCCCAUUUCUCUCCAAUUUCCUCCUUUUUAAUCCCCUAAUUUUGUCAUCUUCUUCUUGUUUGCAGGUGGCAGAGGAGGGCAUCAUGGCCUAGGGAGGCUGCUGGAGUAGCUCGGCUGGGGAAGGGUACGUUCGGCUGCUGAUUGCAGCGAUUUGACAAGUCCAGAAGGACUAAAUUGCAUGGGAUGCAAAGCUUCUGCGGUAAAAGUGUAAUUUUAGCAAAAAUAUGGGCCAAAAUGUAAUUUCUUGAGAGUUUAGGGGUCAAAGUGAAAUUUUUAGAAAGUCUAAAGGUCGAAAUGUAAUUUUAGAAAGUUUUGGGGUUAAAAUGUAAAUUUUGGAAAAGUUUGGGGUCAAAAUGUAAAUUUUGAAAAGUACAGGGGUUAAAAUAUAAAAAAAACUUUUUUUGAAACACGAAAUUAAUCCCGGACAAAAUUCAGUGAUUACAAGAUUAAUUACUUGUUGCUGCCUUGUCUUGUUUGAUCCCAUGAACUCCUCUUUCAGCCUAUCUCAUGCUUGUUUGGGUGAGUCACAGGCCAUGAUGCGAGUAAAAAUCAUAUCAGACACUCCAUUCUGUAGGCAGGCCAUGGCUUUAUGCUUCUUGGCUCGCUCCUCACCAUGUUGCCUGAUCUGAGCAAUGGUUGGAUUUGCUCUCAAUAGUGGUGGCUCGACAUCAUUUUCAACUGCACUCCACAGAUCAAGUGCUUGGAGGUAAGUUUUCAUUUUAACUACCCAAAUGUGGUAGUUUUCUCCAGCAAAAACUGGUGGUGGAGGAGGUGCAAAGCUCAUGUUGUUGGAACUGGUUUGACAAACACGAUUUUUGAGUUUAUUUUGAAACAAAAAAAUUUAAACAACAGAGGUCCUCAAAGACAAGAGGCUCUGAGAAAAAGACAGCAGCAACUAAGCAAAAUUCAAACAGCCAAGACUAAAGCUCAUUAACAGCAAAACAAAACAAAAAGAACAAACUGAAAAUCCAAAGAGAAGCAGCGAGUAACCGAAUGAGAAAGUCCUAGCUUUCAUUUCCAUUUCAAAAUAUAAAGGGAUUACAAAAAUAAUAAUAAUAAGUUAGUUACCUAAACUGUAACUGCUCCUACCAAAUUUGGUAAGUUGCCAACUAAAAUAUUACAAAAGAAAAGCUGAAAAAAUUCAACUGUUACAUCCAUCAAUUUCAAAUCUAAAAAUACUAGUUUUAGAUAUCAAGCAACUUGCCAACUUGUUAAUAUCAAAAAAAUACAAAAUUUAAACAAAAGAAAGUUGCUUCUGGUUCAAUCUUCAAACAGACAUGCUGCUGCUGCUCACGAUGCUGGUAGUUUGUUGCAUUGCAGACCAAUGCUCAACAGUUUCUUCCACUUGCAUCGGAAAGAUCUAGCAGACAUUUUGGUGGUUAUCAACAAAACAGAGAAGGCAUCUGAAGGGUUUCGCUUUCUCAGAUGUCUAGGGAAAAGGAAAGUCUGCCUGGGUGUUUGGAUUAUCCUGCUUUUAUUUAACGUUUGUUUAUUGCAUAUUUUCUGUUUUGUCUAGGCUCUAAAUGAUUUGGAAUUUGUUUUAUUAAUAUAAUCCAGCCAUUCAUAUUUCAAAAAAUAAAAAUAAUAAUGGGUCCAAACCUGAUCAAUUCACUAGACUACACACAAACAUCAAAUCUUGAACUUCUGAUUUUUGAAAGGUUGUACCAAAUUAGUGGAUGUUCAUCCAUCAAUUAGAGUGCUUAGGAACCUUAAACUUUUGAAUUUAAGAGAUUGUAAAAGUCUCAAGAGUCUUCCGACUGAAAUUGGAAUGGAAUCUCUAGAAACAUUAAUUCUUUCGGGUUGCUCAGGUCUUGUAAGGUUUCCGGAGAUUGAUGGGAAAAUGGAACGUCUAAAAACUCUAGAUCUUUCUGGUUGUUAUAGAGUGGAAAAUUGAUCGGAGAAUUUGCAGCAAGCAAAGUUUUUGGAGCUCGACUUGAGUGAAACAGCCAUAGCAGAACCACCAUCCUUUAUUUUUCAAUUUAAAAAUCUUAAAGUUCUUUCUUUCAAUGGGCGCAAGGGACCAUCAUAUAAGUUACUACCAAAUUUGCCUUCUCUUUUCAAGGUAAUCCAAGGAAGAAGGACGAAUCCCAUGGCUCAGAUGUUGCCUUUGUUGUCAGGUUUGAGUUCUUUAAGAGAGCUAAAACUAAGGGACUGCAAUCUUUGUGAAGGAGAUCUUCCACGUGAUAUUUAUGGUCUAUCCUCUUUGUGGCCUCUUGAUCUUAGUGGUAACAAUUUCAUCAGCAUACUUGCAUCUCUUACUCGACUCUCGAAGCUCGGAAAUCUUAUAUUGUCAAAUUGCAACAUGUGCACUCUUGGUGAAGCAGAUAUUCAUGGUGAUAUUUCUGGUAUAUCCUCUUUGAUACGUUUUGAUCUUAGUGGUAAGAAUUUCAUCACCAUUCCUUUGGCUCUUACUCAACUUUCCAGGCUCAAAUUGCUUAAAUUGUCAGGUUGCAAGAUGCUUAAAUCGUUGCCUGAGCUACCAACAAGUAUAGCAGCUGUGCAUAUAGAUGGUUGUUCUUGACUUGAAGUAGUUGCAAGUCCAUCAAAAGUAUGCAAUUUAGUGGGCUGUGAUGACAUUAGUGCCAUUAACUGCUUCAAAUUGGCUGAGAAAAUCAAUGCAUUAACUCAAAGUUGGGAAUUCCGGUAAUUGCAAAAAUGGAAGUGGUGGAAAAAGAGAAAACACUACCAUCUGUGGAGUUCUUGAAUUGGAUUGGAUUCUUGUAGAAGAUGUGACCUUUUGUAUGGGUUGUAAAAUUAGUCAGUUUAAAGAGCCCACUUGAACCUACGCCCGCAAGUUCGCCAACAUUCAAGUAACCAUUGAAACUGAAGUACUGACCCUGAUUGAUAUCUGAAGAUGCAGGAGGAAAAGCAACACACGCAUGAUCAAACACACAAAAAAAUAUAUACAAUAGACAUUUAGAUAACCAAUCAGUUAGGUAAUGAGCAGCCUUGAUUUCAUAAUCAUCAAACCCAACAUUUAGAUCAUACAAAGAGAGAAAUUUUAUAAGGGUACAGUAGAACCUGUCUUUUGUUGACUGAGCUGCAGUGAAAAUGCAUUCGCAAGAACGAUCUUUUCGAUUCUAAGGAGCUCAUAGAGAAGUAUUCCACGAAUAUAUUUGAUUUUCAACCUGGAAAAAAAAAUAAUUACUACUAUAAUUAUAAUUGACAGCAAUAAAUGCACGUACACUUUUUCAACAAAUCAUAAGGCAUGGUACGAGGUAAACUCCAAUUUGAAUUCACAUCCCUUAGAACCCCUUCAAUCACCGUGACACCAAUAUUAAUGUCGGUUGUCUCAUUCGAAUUAAGCUGAACCCAACCUUCCUUGGGAUGUCACCAUUGCUUUGCAGCUCUGGAGAUCAUUGUAACAAAAAUAUUAGAAGACCCUAUGUGAGUUGAACUUUUAGCCCAAGAUAGACUAGACAUAACAACUUCCCCAUUGCUGUUACUUGCAUCUUUAAACACAAAAGCAUUACGACACUUCCAAAGACAUCAACAAAUAAUAGGAAACAAAGUCGACCAGUCUAUUCCCUCAACAUCAAUCUGCCCAAUAUUCUUUAAUUUCCAAAUAAGUUAAUCCUUAAUAUGCAAAAACCUGCUAAGAUCAUCUGGAACAAGAUUAUUCCAAACAUUAAUCUUAGCAAAAGAAAAAUCCCUCAAAACUUGUAUGGUUGCCUCAGCCUGCUCACAUCUUGAGUAACUAGUGUCAGCUGUCACAUGUCAUCAAGCUCUCUCCUCAUUCGCUAACAAAUGUCCCUUAAAAUGAAUUCAAAGAAAAUGUCUUAUUCAUUGAAGACCUUUGCAUUUCCUGACCAUAUUCCAAUCCUCACUUGCCACAUCCCAUUCAUCUCUUGCAACUGAUCUGUAAGUUGUUGCCUCUCAGGAUGUUGGAGUUCGACAAGGACCCAUUGAGGUUCGACCAGAACCUAGGUAUACCCCCACCUUAUAAAACAAUGACAAUCCUUGUAUGUAAUUGUAGAGUGGUGAAGCAUGAUGUACUGUAAUUUGAAAUGUUAAAUUAGGCUUUCCUGUAACAAGCUUGUUCUCAAGUAGUUUAAGAGUAUUUUUAUGUUUUUUUAUCGAUUUUUAACUUUUAGUUUCAAUGCUAACUUUUAUCACAUUUUAUCACUUUUGAAACCCAAAUUGAUAAAACUAUGUCAUUAGAGGUCUAAUGAUUAAUUUGAGCUUGUAUAAGGAGGUGAUUGAGGCUAAACAUCAAGGAGGAAUUCAACUGUUGCGGAGGACGCAACACAAGUGAUUCACAGAGUUUAGAAUUUGAUUUAAAAGAAUUUGGAUGCGUAGAAGAGUAUACGGAAAAAGACAAAUGAAUCAUAUAAUUUUGUUGUUACAGAUUUAAGGCAUGUUCUAAAAACUCUAAAAUUUUUAUUCAAAGUUUUAUAAUGUAGUGAUUAAACAAAGCAUGGAUUAAUUGUAUUUUAAUUAAAUUGUUUUUAAAAAUUAAAUUGUUUUUUAGAUCCUAAUGGAAUUUUUAUUUUUUAUAUUGAAGUCCUUACUAUGUAGAUUUCAAUUGAUUCAAUCUGUUCCUUAAUUUAACAUUCCAAAAUGAAUAGUCGUAUGAAUUUUUAUUUUUCAUAGCUCUACACUAAAGUUUUAAAAAUUUUGCCUUAUAUUAUCACUAAUAGUCGUAGCAAUUUAAAGAAAAUGAAUAUUUUUUAAAAUUUUCCCUAAUAUUAAUUAUAAAAACUAUAAAAAAUAAAAUAAUACAUUUUAAUUAAUACAAACAAUCAACCCGAGCAUCACAUGUAUAAAGAAAACAAGAUGCAUAAUAAAACAUUUAAUUUACCACUCAACUAAAGUUUUAUCUUGAUAACUCUAAACAUUUUAAUUUUAUUAUACACACCUACCUCCAUCAAUUGUAUAUAUCUAUAUAUUAUAAUUUAAGCUCCUGAUUGAGUUGAGCAACAAUUUAGCUAAAAAAAUUAUAAAAAUAUCAUUCUGUAAUUAAAUAAGUUAUCGAGAAUAUUUUAAUCUUUUUAUUUAAAAAUAAUAAAAAUAUGCAUAAAAUAAUUUUUUAAAGUGAGCUUCCUUUCCAAAAUAUAAAUGAGACCUAUCAGUUAUUAUUAUGUAAAUAACACUAUAUUUGAAUUCAUUAUUUAAAUAUCAAUAAUUGAUAUUUAAAUAAUGAUUAAUAUACAAUAUUCGUCAUUGUUGACGUUAAACACCAAUAGUACAUGUAAUUAAGAAAUUAACAUAUGAAGGACUUCGGACAACCAUGCUUUAUAUUGUAAUAAAAAUAGAAAGGUUAUGCAUGUGACCACCUUUCUAUUUAAAUUGGAGCGAAACUUUUGAUGAGCUGUUCAUAUCAGAAUUAAAUAUGUCAAAAUAAUCCAAUAAGGUUAAAUAAAAAUUAAAUCUUUUUGAAUACCGUAUAUAAAAUUAUAUUUUUAUCAAUUAAAUUUUAAUUUUUAAAUAAAAUCUUUAAAUAUUAUUAUGCCACGUAUUCAAAUAUAAUAAAAAUUUAUUAAUAAUGUAAAUUGAGUUAAGAGAUAAAAGAAUAUAGAGAUUGUGCUGGAAAUGAAAACCCAAAUUACAUAAUGAGAAGGAAAGAUGGAACUAUCAAAUUCCUUAUUAUUUAUAGGAAAUUAGGGAGAAUAAGGAAAAGAAAUUGAUUCAUGAAGAGAUAAGGAGAUUGGCGUGGCAUUGGUGACUUACAUGCAUGUCCCUAUUGCCUAUUCAACAUUAGAUUCCUUUAGCUACUAUUCUCCUAAUGCAAACAAUGAAGUCCCCAGCGAUAACAGACAAUUCUACAUCAAUGCAUGCGCCCGUUUUCUUCCCCUUCGCCUAAUUUCCCCUUCCAAUUUCCAUCGCAUGCAUGCUCUUUCAUUUUAUCUUCAAACUUCUUAUCUCCUUAUCUCUUCAUGAAUCAAACUUUUUAUUAUAUUUGAAUACGUGGCAUUAUAAUAUUUAAAGAUUUUAUUUGAAAAUUAAAAUUUAAUUGAUAAAAACAUAAUUUUAUAUAGGGUAUUUAAAAAGAUUUAAUUUUUAUUUAACCUUAUUUGAUUAUUUUGACAUAUUUAAUUCUGAUAUGAACAACUCAUCAAAAAUUUCGCUCUAAUUUAAAUAUUUAUCUAAAGAUUAUUUACAAUAUAAAACAUACAUCAACUACUUUUUUAUUCGAUUAAGCUUUUUAAUUUGUUAUGCAUGUGACCACCUUUCUAUUUUUAUUACAAUAUAAAACAUUAUAAAAAUCUUAAAAUAAAAAGGAAAAACCCUAUUAUACAAAACCCUAUUACUCGAUUCGGAAGGCUUUAAAAUAUAUUCCUAAAUGACAUUGGCAUGAACAGCCACAGUAUGCUACUUAUGAUGCUUAAAUAUAUAUACAAAACCCUAUUACUCGAUUCGGAAGGCUUUAAAAUUUUAUUUAAUUUUACAAUCAUAAUUUUUAAAGAAAAACCCGAUACUUUUCCACUUCACCUACCGCGAGAAACAAAUGUUUCUGUAAUUGUUAUUGAAGGAACGGUGUUUCUCUCGGCUGUCAACUCAUUAGGAGCGCCCACUUCAUUUGAUACUGCUGGGAAUUCUCGAACUUUGAUAACAGAGCUGAUGUCAUCGGGCAAUGAAGCAACACCGUCCAAAUACGAUAUAACGCUGGACAUGCUAGGCCUAGCCGCUGUCACCGGGUGUGAGCAAAGCAACCCAAGCUUCAACACCAACUCCGCUUGUUGUCCCACAAAUGAUCUCUUCCCCAACCUCUUAUCAAUAGUCGCCAAAAUGUCUCCUUUAUCCCAGCAAUCCUUUAUCCAGUCAGCAAGAAAUGCUUCCUCUGGUGCCGUUUGUGGUUCGAUCGGCUUUCUACCACAGGCAACUUCAAGCAUGAAUAUUCCAAAAGCAUAUAUAUCAGUGCUUGUGUUUGCUUGCCCGGUUCUUGCGAGCUCAGGAGCCAUGUAACCGAGCGUGCCUGCUACAUGAGAGGUUUGAGGAUCAUUUCCAAGGUCGCAUAGCUUUGCCAUCCCGAAAUCUCCUAGUCGGGCGUUCAUUUCACUGUCUAUCAGCACAUUGGCAGGCUUGAUAUCUCUGUGAAUGAUGACUUGCACCCAUUGCUGGUGCAGAUACAACAACGCGGAAGCUACGUCCUUGAUGAUCUUAAACCUUUGUGUCCAAUUAAGGCUGCUAUUAGGUUGGUAGUAAAGAAACUUGUCAAGGCUUCCAUUAGGCAUGUAGUCAUAAACCAAAAGCAACUCGUGCUUGCGCUUGCAAUAACCGAGAAGUCGAACCAAAUUCGGAUGCCUGAGGUGACCGAUGGUUGCAAUCUCAGCCACGAAUUCUCUCAUACCUUGCCUUGAAUCAUGAGAGAUCCUUUUAACGGCAAUUUGUAUGUUGGAAGAGGGUAAAACACCCUUAUGCACCUUACCAAAUCCACCUCUCCCUAGAACUUCCUUUUCUUUAAACCCCUUUGUUGCUUUGAAUAGAUCUUUAUAUGAGAAUCUAUGAGGCCGUACUGAACCUCCCAAUCCUCGAGAAUCUCCAUGAAUCUCUUCUUCCUUGAGAUCAACACAAACCCGAAAAUCAAUACGAGGACUAAAGUGAGACCUGUGAAAGAAAGGGUGAUAGCCAAAAUCUUCUUUAAUUGCUUGAUUCCUCCGUUAUCAUGUCGUGGAAUCUUUGGAAGGCGAGACAAGUCUAGCUCAUCAGGUGAGCCAUUCAUCUUGAAACUCCAAGCCAAUAUGUAGUGUGAGGAUGAAGUAGCUGAAACAGAACCGGUGGACGACGAGAAGCCGACAUACAUAGAGUCAUACAUAUAAGGAGACAGAUCCUUUUUGUAGGAUAUAAGUGGGGUUUUUGGCCUUGGUAGAUUGAUGGGAUACAACGUAACAUUGAGUCGCUUCUCAACCCCGUUGUAUUCUAUCCAUAUUUGCAUUGGGUCUCCGCUUACAAGGCUGACAUUGAUGAACUCACCUUCAUCAGUGUAAUACCCCGCAGAAGCAGAUUUCACCGAGUUUACGCUAUUGAUAUCGAUGCCAACAUGGUUGUCAUCACUGUCAUUGAGGUCAAAGCUUUGAACUGUAUCCAGCUCAACCGCAACAAUAUGAUUUGAGCUGUCACCGUUAUUUGUUUCAUUGAAAAGACCAAGAUACUGGACGGCAGAAGCUGCGGGAAUUUCAUUGUUUGGCGAGAUUACAAAGGCCAUUCCAUGGCCGCCGUAUUCCGGUCUAAUUGCAAAAAUGAAUGUGGUAGAAAAGGAGAAAACACUACCAUUUUUGGAGUUCUUGAAUUGGAUUGGAUUCUCGUAGAAUUUGUGACCUUUUAUUAGGCUUGUAGAGUUAGUCAGUUGAAGCAGCCCAUAGCAACUAAACUGACCCUGGUUGAUAUCUGACGAUGCAAGGUUCAGAAGGAAAAGCAGGAGCACAAGCAUGAUCAAACAAGACAUUAUUACACACAAAAUUACAGCAAUAGUGAUUAAGGGCUGUAGUAAGUUUUGUUGUGUAAGCAAGUUAUUCUGCACCAUCAGUCCAAUAUAAAUAAAAAGAAACCAAAACACCAUUGUCUUAAUCGAUUUGAUUAAGACCUCAAAGAAAUUUCCGGAAUUUUACCUGUCAGUAGUAAGGAAAUUGCUCUCCUUUAAAGACGAUAAGAUGAGAUUAUUUGGUAAAGGUGAUGAUAUCUUCUGAUAAUGAAACACUUGACAAUUCUUUACCUCUAAUAUAUGUAUUUAAAAAAUUAAUGAUUAUAAUUCUUGCUUUCCUUUCCUUUCAAUAAAAAACUUGAAACGCAAUGAAAUUUACCAUUUCAGUAAAAAAAAUCAUUUAAUUCUUGCUUUCCUUCACCCUAUUUAGAUAAUUAACUGUUUUUCUACAAUUUUAGUUAAAACAAUAAAAAAUUACUUACAAACAAUGUUUAAGAUACUAAGCGUGCAAAGAAUUUGUCAUAUAUGAUAGUAACAUAUUUGACUUUUACUUGCAAACCAUUACACUAGUAUUUAGUAAACACACUGUCAAUCAUGAGCCCAGGAUUUCCACACUUAUAUUAAUUUAUUAAUUGAUAAUUCUGUAAUUUCAUUUAAUUUAAACCAUAAUUACUAAAAGGUGAUUAAAAAUAUACUGGCUUGUAUAUCAGAUCAUAAUAUAAAAACUUAAAUGAAUCUCAAGACUAUUUACACUCAAUCACUUCAUUAUUGUACACAUUACUAAUUAACAUUACCUCCUUUUAAUUAAAUUCUGACCAAACUAUUUCACCCAAUUACUUGCAUUUGAUUUAACGUAACGUCGUGGAACCAAAUUCAACUCAUAAUUGAAAAGGGUAUUGAUCAAGAAUCAAUUUUAAGGUGAAAGUAUUGACCUCAAUAUUACUAGUAAAAAAAUUAACACAUGUAAUAAUUGGAUCAACAUUGUUAAAUAAUUAUAUAUCGCCUUAAAAUUAUACACUAAAUUGGAGUAUUGUUAUUUAAAAAUAAAUUUAAAAUACUCAAAAAAAAUAAUGUUGGCCAUAAAUCCAUUUAAAAAUUUAACAGUCAAAUAGACAAAAUAUUUCGCUUCAUAACUUGUAUCUUAAUUAACUUGUCACGUCCGGUUAACAUUAUUAAAUCAAAGAAAUACAAGGAUUUAUUAACAUAAAUUAUAAGGUUAAAUUAAAGUUUAAAGGUUCACUUAAAAUAUGAAAGGGAUUAGAUAAUACCAUAAGGCUCCAAAAUGAGUUUGCAAAUAUUAGAACCAUUUAAAAUAUGGACCAAGUUUGAACUCCAAUAUUUAAAGUCAAAGCUUAGCUCAACCCGCAUUAUACUUUUUGUAAUAUAUUUUUAUUUUAAUUUUCACAUAUUAUGCAAUUUAUAUCACAUAAAAUAGAAUAUAUAGUAAUAUAAAUACUAUGUAAAUAUUAAAAAUAUAUAUUAAAUUGUUUAUAUUUUAAUUUUAAUAAAAAACUAAAAUAUUAAUUUAAUUUAAAACAUUUUAAUAUAUAUAUACACACUAAUCUAAACGAAUUUAAAUUAAUUAGUUACAAAUAUAAAUAAAUUUAGAUAAAACUAUAGUUCUAUAUUUAAGUCAAAUUGAGGUACGGCGGACAAAAUAUAUUAAUAUUAUGUAUAAAUUUCAUCUGAACCAAUUUCACUAGGUCUAUAAGCACUAAAUUGAAUAAAUAUUAUUCCAAAAAGGUUAUUUAAUAAUUACUGGGCUUCUAGUUACUGAAAAGCGAGUUCAAUAGUAGGUAAUGGUAUUUCUAUUUCACUUUGGAAGUAGAUUUUUAUAAAAAUAAUCUUAAAAAUUAAUUAAUUAUAAAAAUGAGUUAGGAAAACAAAUAUAUACGAAUAUGAGUUAUAGUAUUUCUCAGUACAACUUGACACACCAAUGAAACUACUCGCAUUUUUCCCCUAAUCAUCAGUGUUUAAAAAAAAGAUUUUUUUUUUGUGUCAACAUUGUGUCAGGCAAUAUCGUAUAUAUUUUUUAAAAUAUUAGUGAAAAAUAUGAGUAUUCACAAUGAAGAAAAAAUACUUUUAUAAUGUAUGUCACCGUUAAUUAGACAGUACCAGUUAAAACUUUUUUUAAAAGAUCUAUAUUUUCAAAUAUGCACAAAAAAAAAAGAGAAAUAUUUUUUUAUUGAUGUUGGACAUCAUCUUAAUUUUAAAAAGUUGACAAAAUAAAUAAAAAAAUCUGCUAUAAAAAGAAAAUUUUAUUGUCUUGUCCAAGAGAAUGGUUCCAAAGCAUGCCUAGUUGCUUAGUUCUAACGGUUAUUUUACUCAAAUGACCCUAAAAAAUAAUUAUUUACGUAAAUGAUUUUAAUUAAAAAAUAAUCAUUUAAAUGACUUAAAAUAAAUAGUAAAAUUGGGUUAGGGGUAAUAAAUUGUCGAGAUCACCUAUUUUUAUGACACAAUCAUUACCGAAUGAUUGUGUCAAGUGUUAAAAAAGAUUUAAAUACUGAAGACUAGAUGAUUGACACCCUUAUAUUUUUUUCAUUUCGCAUCAUACUGGUAUACGUUUAUACCAAUAUUUAAAAAAAGAAUUAUUUUUUUAAAUAUUGGCACACUGAUGGUCGGCACACCUCUUUAUCAGAUUAAAAAAAUAUUUUUAUUGAGUGUUGGCACAUUGAUGACCAGCAUCCCAUUUAUCUGAUUAAAAAGAAAUUUAUGUUUAUCCCUAGACCAAUAGAAGCAUGAAAGUCUACUCAAAGGAUCAUGCAAGUGAGGGACCAACAAAAGUCAUCAAGUUGAAAUGGAAGGGGACGCUUUAGCAAUUAUAGGCUCGGAUGAAUUUAGGGAAUUAGGAUUUUGAGAAAGAAAUUAUGUUAUUAUAUAAUUAGUUGUUUUUUACAUGUAACAUAAAUUAGGCAAGGUUCUUAGCGUUUAUAAAAUUUGACAAUUUAAUCCUUAUUUUCUUUACAGUGAGAAUGUUAUAACCUUAAAAAAAAUCUGAAAUAUUGAGAUUCAAAUAAUUGAUAGGUUUAAAUGUUUUUAAAGACGAUUGGACGAAAUAAUUAGAUCUCAAAUUAUAUUUCGAAUUGAAAUUGUUCAUUUAAUACAUAAUAAUAGAAUGAAUUGUAAUUAAAGUAUUCCUCUACUAGGAAUGUAUAAAAGUCUAUUCAAGCCAAUUUAUGUGUCCGAAACUGAUGUACUCCCUUUAUAAGGUGUUCAAGCCAACGUAAGUGUUAAAUAUAGGUACUUAGGGAAAAUGGAUAGAGGUGAUCAUGGCCGGGCCAGGCCCAGAUAAAAUUUUAGGCCAAUUUUCUAGGCCCAACCCAAAAUAUGAGCCUAAAAAUUUGUCCAAGCCCUGCCUAAAAGAAAAUUAUUAAGCCCGAGCCCAGCCCGGCCCAUAUUAAAUUUUACAACACCAAAAUAGCAUCAAAAACCUGAAAAAUAUAAUCAAUCAACCAGAAUUAGAGGUAUAUUUGAUUAAAAAUAAAAAAUAUAUAUUUAAUAUACUUUGGGCCGGGCCGGGCCUGGGCCAAAAAAGUUUUGCCCGAGCCCGGUCCGUUUUUUAUACGGGACUAUUUUUUUGCCCAAACCCAUAUUUCGGGCCUAUAUUUUUACCCGAACCCUCCCUUUUUCAGGAGGGCCAUCAGGCCGAGCCGGAUAACUCAACCCAUGAUCACCUCUAAAAAUGAAUGAGUUGGUGUAAUAUAGGCUAUGAUAUAAUAGGCUAUGAUAUAACCAACAUUCAUGCAAAAUCGAGAAAGAAAUGAAUAAGAUUAUCGUAUGAAAAAUAAAAUAGAAAGGCUAAAAUCACAUGCAAAAUUUUUUCAAGCUCAAGUGUUCUAGCAUAAAAAAACAAUAUAUAAAAUAGAUGCCUAAACAAAGUAGAACACGGGUGAUUACAUCACAAUCUGCAAACAUUGAAUCAACGGGCAUUACCGAGCUUAGUGGAAGAAAAUGUUGGGAAAAUGAAAUACAGAUGCGAUCCUAAGCAACAAAUACAGCUUUGCAUUGCAUGAGAACCUAAUCCCAUCACCAAACUAUUUUAAAUGCGAUUUUCUACACGCAACACAGUGCAGGCAGCAUAUUUGAGAGCAAAAAACCUGACAAAAAGAAGUCAACAAUUUUAAUUUAUAAAAGAAUCAGAGGUUAAUUUUCGAUGUAAAAGAGAACAGACCUGAGCCAGAAAUAUUUGUAAAUAGCGACUUACUUAGUGACAUGCUUUUAACUGGAUCAUAAUGAAAGAUCACUUUUUUCUUCAUUUUCCUUGGAGGAUAAAUGUGAACCCAAGAAUUUAGUAACAGCAGAUUGCUCGGAUGAAGAAUGCGAUGAGCUUGAGAUAUAUUUUCUAGGUAACUUUAGUUUUAAGACGAAGAAGUGUGGUGUUAGAAUAGUGUAUGUGAAAGAUUUGGAAGAAAUAAAAGAGAUGCAUAGCCAUGCCACUCAUUAUUAUGCUAAUUUCGAAGAUAUCUAUCAACACUCUGCUGAUAGCGAUGGAUCAAUACAUAGUACUUCCCUUUCAGUACGAAAACAUAAUACCAACGAUUAAUUUUUACUCAAUUCGAAUAAUAAGAGUUCUCAACUUGAUUAAUUUUUUUUUACUCAAUUCGACUAGAUUCAAUUGAAUUCUCAUCCCUACGCAAGCAAAGGUUUUAUGAGCCGAGCAAUGUUAAGUCUAUAUGUGAUACUAGCACAUUUUAUAUUUACUCAAGCUAGGUUCAGUCCAAUACAAGCUUCAAAUUUUAUCAAGUCCAUCCAAAUUUGUAAAUGGUUAAUUUAAAUCCAUUUUAAGCUUGUUUAUAUAUUUUUUUUAAAAAUACUUAUUUAAUAUUUAAUAAUCUUAUUUUUUUUUUCUUUUACGAGAACUUUAAACAUCAACAACUGUUAAGACCAAGGCUGUCCAAGCAUUGAAGACUCAAUGUCUGAUCAGUCCAGAUGUUGGGACAGGUUUAGUGUUUUAUUGACUUAUUAGAAUUUUUUUGAACCUUGUACUUUUAUCCAAAUCUUCCCAUAUUUAGAUUGAGCCUUUAAGAUUAAACAAGUAAACUGACCCUUAAAUAAGUUUAUUUCCAAAUUAAUCAUAAUGUUGGAUUUUAACUUUGAGAUAUAACUCCACUGAGUAAAAAAAAAAGUGAACAAGUCACACAAAACUAUUGGUCAAAUGAUAAAAGAUUUGAUGCAAAGUCUUUAAUUAACACUAGUCUCGAGUAAAUGUACAAAAAAAUCAGGUCAGAUUUAAGCCUAUGUAAAGUAUUAGCAGAACUUAUGCUUGCUCAAAUAUUAAACACAAAAUAAUUCAAGUCACGUUUAUAUUUUAAAUGAGACUGUUUUUAUUUAAACCUUUUAAAAAAAAUUAAAUAUAUUUUAUAUGUAGAUCCAUAUAAUAUAUAAAAACAACUCCUAUAAAAGCAUUAGGGAAAUAAAUAGUACGAUAACAUAUUUUAUUCUGAGGCAUGUUUUAAAAACUAAAAAUUUUAUUAAGUGUUUUAAAAUUUGGCGAUUAAAUAUAACAUGGAAUGGUUGCAUUUUAAUUAAUCAAUAAAAAUAUGUAUAAAAUGAGAUUUGAAUCUUCGUCAAUUAGGUUAGUAAAACAUAAAAUUGAUCACUUCACCAAAGCUUUAUUUUAAUAUUUAUUACAUAUUUUAGUUUUAUUAUACACAUUUUAUUACUUUCAUCAAUCGUAUAUAUUUAUACUAUUAUUUAAUCUUCUAAUUAAGUUGGUGCCACAAGUAAAUUGGGCACCAACUCAAUUAGAAAAUUACAAAAAUGUCCUUUCAUAAUUAAAAUAAAUUAAAUUAUUUGAGAGUACUUUAGUCUUUUUACUUAAAAAAACAAUAAAAACAUGCUUAUGGUGGGAUUUGAUUUAAAGAUACGUUAAUUGCAUUAGUAAAAAUUUUAAUUUACCACUCAACUAAAAUUUUAUUUUGAUAUUCUUAUAUAUUUCAACUUUAUUAUCCAUACGUUAUUACUUCUAUCAAUUAUUUAAAUUUUUUAUUAAAAUUAUGUCAUGAAUCAAUCCAACAACCACACCAAGAAGCGAAAUGUGCUAAAGCAUAAUAGAAUUAUGGAUUUUGUUCAAAAGGAAUUUUAAUUAUUACAUUUGGGAUAUAAAAAAUUGAUAAUGAAUUUGCCAAGUACCCCAAAUUCAGUUUUCUUUUUCCAUUUGAUGCACAAACAAAAACUCUGAAUUUGCACAUAUAAAUCCAAAUUAUUUUAUUCAAAUUCAUGUUCAGAAAAGUCGUGAUAUUAUUGUGGAAUAUUCAAUGAACCUUAGCAACAAAAAUUGAAUUCCACAGUGACUUCGUUUUCAGUGGAAAAUUCAAACAUACUAUCUAUAAUGGCCUUUCCACAAUAUAAAUGAGAUUAGAUAGAAUUCAAAAUAUAAACUUAACCUUGUUUGCCAACAUGAUAUACUUCUCCAUUUCAAAGUCUUCCCAGUCUUCGUGAUAGAAAUUAUUAAUUAAAUUAUGGGUAAAUUUUUGCGUACGUUGUUAUUGAACAAAACCCCAUUCGAUACUUGUUAUAUCAAACGGUUCAUGAUCCAAUCUAAAUUUUAAAGUUGAAAUAUUAUUUCCAAUAAAAUUCGUAAAAACAUAAGAUUGGAGAAAAUAUUCAGAAAAUGAUUUUUGAAAUUGAAUUAUCUGUUGGUUACAGAUAGUUCUAUUGAUUUUGUUGAAUAUUUCUACUGGUAAAAUCUGUUUAGAUUUGUUAUAUAAACAAAUUCUAAAUAUUUUAUUCAUAAUAGGGGUAUUUUUCCCUUUGUAAAUAAAAUAUUGGAAAAUAUCAAGAAAAUUGUUUAUCUCCUUAAUUUCCAUGAAUUCCAUUUGGAAUUCAUCCCAUUCUCUGUAUAAAAUAGAAUUUAAUAAUAAAUCUUUAGCUUCAUUUUCCUUAGUUGUUUUUUCAACUAAAAAUAAUGAAAAUCUGGUAAGAGCUCUUCGGAAAUUAGCUCUCUGAUUUGAAAUAUGGGUUUUCCAUAUCUCGUUUAUAAAAUCAUAAAAUUCUGGUGAUAAACCAGGAUUAUAAAAAUCUUUUAUUUUUAAAAUUUCUUUUUCAUCUUCUAUUUGUUGUUCUUUCAACAAAUUUUCGGAUCUUUUGAUCAUAUCAGCAUAAUUGGUUUGUGAUGCUAAAUAUGGAUCUUGGGACAUUGGUGAUUGAUACACCAUGUUAGAAAAACUGCUUCCAAGUGGUUGGUUUACCAUUGGAUAUUUUAAAACAUUUGGUCCAAGUGGUUGAUUUACCAUUGGAUAAGACACAUAAUAUCCUUGGUUAGGAUAAAAUGGUAUUUGUGCAGGUACAAAUCCUUUUUUGGAGUUUGAUUCUGCUUUUCCUUUGUUGGGCUUUUUGCGAACGGUAGUCGAUUCACCUACAGUUUCUUGUAGAGGCUUUUUACCUCUAUCCAUUAAAAGGCCUGCUCAAAAAAUCAGCAAAUAUUAGUAAUAAAUUACAAAUAUUAACUGAUUAAUUUUAAUAGGUGUAAAUAUUUUAUUACACACAAUUUUAUUAUUUUCUUCAAGUGGAAUUUCCACAAAAUCUUCUUUUACUGAUAGCCAAAUAGAAUGUUUAUCAAUAGUAAAAGGUAAGUACUUACAAAUAAAAUUAUUACCUAAUAAUAUAUCUCCUUUCAUGUUAGGAAAACAUACUAUUUUAGGAAUCACAAAUCUAACAUUGUUUAUAUAGAUUGAUAUAUUUUUAGCUUUAUAUUUUAUAAUAGUUUUACUACCUUCUAUUCCCAUUAUUUUUAUGGGUUUCUUCAUUAAUUCGCAUUUUUCUACAGGAAUCGCAUUUUCUCUACAACUACAUAUUGUAGCUCCAGUAUCUAUCAAGGCAUUUAGAGAAUAUUUUUUAUAUUUUUUAAACUGAAAUGUAACUUUUAUAAUUAUUCCAAGUUUUGACUUUUUAUCAAUUGUUGAAGUUUGAAUUUCUUCCAUUCUAGUUUUUCUAGAAUUAUUACUAGGUUCAGUAGGAAAUAUAGGAAUUUGAACUGUAACAGGUUUCCACCCUGCAAUUAAAGACAUUUCAAAGUCUUCCCAGUCUACGUGAUAGAAAUUAUUAAUUAAAUUAUGGGUAAAUUUUUGCCUACAUUGUUAUUGAACUAUAAAUUAAUUUUUAUUCAAGGUAUUAGAUUGUUAAGUUUUUCCUUUUUAAAGUUCCACCAAUAAGUUUCAAGUGACAAUUCGAUAAUCGGUAUGAUAGAUGAACACUCAUCAACGAGUAAAAUAACACACCUUAUAUUUAAAUCGGUCUAAUAGUCAGUGUCGAAGAUCGAAGAAAAAAUUUUGUUUGAAUUUUGGUUUACAGAUUCAUGUCCAAAGUUGUUUCAUAAAAAAAAAUUGAAUUAUGUAAGAGAAGGGGAAAGAAAACUUUCGAUUGGUGUUAAUAGUGUGAAUAGAGAAAGUCAUAUAGCAUUGAUUUUAAUACCAAUGAAUUAAAAGAGAACUUUUAAAUAGUUCAAUGACCAAAUUGUAAUUUUUUUAGUUAAGUGACCAAAAAGAAAACUUACCCAUAAUUUAGUGACUAAUGAUAUAGUUUACCUAAAAUUUUCAUGGUAGGAAAUACGAAAAUUUUCAAAAUUUCUCCACUUUUAUUUCAUUUAGAACACAUGGUCUCUCUCACUAUAAGAUAAGAAACCUAAACUUCAAAAAAAAAUUUAUUUAAUUCUAAUAUGUAUUUUAAAAUUUAUUUUAUUAAAACCAUUAAUAGUUUUUUUUCUAAAAAUACAAUGAUAUUCAUAAUUAAUAUUUUAUAUUAUUUAUUUUUAAUAUAAUUAUUCUUUUUUAUAAUUAAUUUUUUAAACUAUAAAAUGCUAGCAACUAACUUUUUUUCUAAAUAAAUUAUUUAUCCAAACAAAAUAUUUACGAAUACUACCAUUUUGAAUUUAUAUGAAUUCUAAAAUGCUAGCAUUUUAAAUAUAUAAAAAAUUUAAUAUUCUUCAUCCAAAUACACUUUAAAUAUUUUAAUAAAAAAACACAAGUUCAUCUUGACCUAUUGGAUUUUAAAAAUAAAACUAAAUAUUAUAUAAAACUUGAAAUAUAAAAAUUAAUAAAUUCAAAAAAUUAAUUAUCCAUUUCAAAAAAUAUAUAAAAAAUGAAAAUUAUUACAAAAUUUAAAUGUUUCAGAAAAAUACAAUAAAUUAUAAAUAUUUGAAAAAUUAUUAAAAGUUUAAAAAUGUUAAAAUAAAAAUACAUGCAAUAGUAAUAAAAUGCUCUAAAAAAUUAAAACAAUUAUAAAAAGUAAAUAAAAAUUUCAAAAUUUUGAAAAUCACAAAAAAACUGUAUAAAACCCUAUUAGCAUGGUCGGCCACACUAUGCUACUUAUGAUGCUUAAAUAUAUACAAAAUCCUAGUAGCAUUAACUUAUUGUAAACAGUGGGGUACAAACCCUACUACUCUAUUUGGAAGCCUUUAAAACUUUAUUUAAUUUUACAAUCAUAAUUCUUAAUGAAAAACCCUAUAUUUUUCCACUUCACCUACCGUGAGAAACAAAUGCUUAUGUAAUUGUUAAUGAAGGAACGAUGUUUCUCUUCGGCUAGUGUCAACUCAUUAGGAGUGUCCACUUCAUUUGAUCCUGCUGGGAAUUCUCCGGCUUUGAUAACAGAGCUCAAGUCAUCGGGCAAUGAAGCAACACCGUCCAAAUACGAUAUAACGCUGGACAUGCUAGGCCUAGCCGCUGCCACCGGGUAUGAGCAAAGCAACCCAAGCUUCAACACCAACUCCGCUUGUUGUUCCACAAAUCUCUUCUCCAAACUCUUAUCAAUAGUCGCCAAAAUGUCUCCUUUAUCCCAGCAAUCCUUUAUCCAGUCAGCAAGAAAUGCUUCCUCUGGUGGCGCUCGUGGUUCGAUCGGCUUUCCACCACAUGCAACUUCAAGCAUGAAUGCUCCAAAUGCAUAUAUAUAUAUAUAUAUAUAUAUAUAUAUAUAUAUAUAUAUAUAUAUAUANNNNNNNNNNNNNNNNNNNNNNNNNNNNNNNNNNNNNNNNNNNNNNNNNNNNNNNNNNNNNNNNNNNNNNNNNNNNNNNNNNNNNNNNNNNNNNNNNNNNCCUGCUACGUACAUGCGAGCCAUGAACAUUCAUCAUGUUCUCUUGGCUUGCAUAUUGAAAUGCAAAAUUUAGAAACGUCUGUACUCCAUUUCGAUAACCGUUGCUUACCCUUGACAAAUUCAUCCAAGACCGGUCCAUUUCUUAAUUAUUGAAGUCUGACCUUGACAAUAAUUUGCACGGGUAAGUUAAAACGCCAGAUAUAACUAUAAAUGAGUUAUGUAAGUUAUGAUAUGAUAUAUUUUUAUGUAUUAUGUACUAAGUUAUGUAAGUUGUGUAUUAUGUGAGUUAUGUGAGUUAUGUAAGUUAUUUAAUAUAUGUAAGUUAUGUAAGUUAUGUAGGCUAUGUAUUAUCUAAAUAAUGUAAGUUAGGGAGGUUAUGUAUUAUGUAAGUUAUUUAAGUUAUGUAAGUUAUUUAAUUUAUGUAAGUUAUGUAAGUUAUGUAAGUUAUGUAAGUUAUUUAAUUUAUGUAAGUUAUUUAGAAAAAAUUAUGUAAGUUAUGUACUAAGUUAUGUAUUAUGUAAAUAAUGUAAGUUAGGAAGGUUAUUUAAGUUAUGUAUUAUGUAAGUUUAUAUAUAAGUUAUGAUAUAUAUUAUUGAUAAAUUUAAGUUAUAUAUUGUAUGUUAUUUAAGUUAUGUAUUAUGUAAGUUUAUAUAUAAGUUAUGAUAUAUAUUAUUGAUAAAUUUGAGUUAUGUAAGUUUUGAUAUGAUCGAUAAAUUUUGAAAAAAUUAUAGAUUUUAAAAAUAUAUAUAUUAAAAAUGUACAUACCAAUAUUUAUAAGUUAUGUAGGUUAUAUAUUUAAAAAUUUGGUUAUAUAAAUAUUUAUAAUUGUUUUUAAAAUUUAAAAAUUGUUUACUAAUAAAUUUGAAAUAUAGGUUAUAUAUCCAAUUUACAUUUAUUCGAUAAAUUAUAAUAUUUAUUAUUAAUAAAAUUGGAAUAUAGGUUAUAUGUUAUAUAUUAAUAUAUAUUAAUAAAAUUAUAUGUCCAUAUUAAUAUAUGUUAUAUAUUAAAAAGAUUUUGUCUUAUAAUAUAUGAGUAAUAUUUGUGUCCCAAAUUGAUUGUGUUUUCUGCACGAAAGGUUGCGUACAUGGUUCAAAUUCAAGUAAAGGAAAAUAUUUUCAGCAAAGAAAACCGAACACAUGAAGUACAAUUUGAGAUUUAAGCAAAGACUAAAUUCAGUAUCCGUACAUGGUUGAUUUAGCAGCAAAAAACAAUAAAAUGUACCAUCUUAGCAGCAAAAACAGAUGAGACAUUUAAAUUAUGUUUUGUAAACUUAUGAAUUAUUUAAUCAUUUGAAAUAUAUAAUUACAACGAACAAAAAUCAAAUCUGAACAUGAAACAAAUUUACAUGAACUAAAAACUUUAAAUCAAUUCAGUUCACAAUUGCAAUUAUAUUUGAUUUCAAUUUGGAUCUUUACAAACCAUGAGAAUACUGUAUAAUAUUUGCAAUUAUAUUCCAUAACCGAAAUUAAUUCAAACACUUAGGAGAAAGAUGGAGCAAAAAACAUCUUGAAGACCAGAACAAUAACCAGAAAUAAAUACAAUAAGCAACAACAUUAACCACAACGUGCAGCAAAAAAAGAACUUGCAACAACAUUAACCCCUAACAUUAACCAGCAACAUUAAGCAGAACUUCCAGCAAAAAAGAACUUGCAGCAGCAUUAACCAAAUACCAAAUUAAAACAGUCCCAACUACAAAUAUAUCAAAUAUAAAAACAGGCCAAAAUCACAUGUAAAUUUAUAAAACGAAAAAACAAAUAAAAUAAAGGAUAAACUAACCUUCUGGUUGUAACAACCCUAUACCAGUCUAAUCGUACAGAUCCAGUAUAAGGCUAUUACAUUUGGUGCCAAAACAGUCAUAGCUAGAUAUUGUUUAAUUAAAUCAAUUAUACAUAGUACUUUAACUUACCAACCAUAUUUGCAAACAUACGUAUAGUUUCACUAAUCCAUUUCAUAUAUAUAUACCAAAAUAUUUCAAGUACCUCAAAUUAGAUAGAAAUUCAAGAGUUUACAUUUUAGUUCCUAAUAUGUGGAAAUAUAACUGACUGCCUAUGUACAUGCCAUUUUAAUUCAAAAUAUGGUACCUACUUUUGAAACUCUUGAGGAUGUGAUGAGAUGAGAGAUCUUCUAUCCUGACUUUAUCUCUUCAAGUCAAACUGUACCUACGCGUUAAAAUUAAACGCGUUAAGCCGGUGAAGACUUAGUAAGCACUACAAGAAUAAACAAAUAAAUAAAUGUAAAUAAAAUAUUUCGAACUCAUUCUGUUGUUGCGUAUUUACGUACGUAUAAGCUUCAUAAAACUUACCUUAGCAUAUUAAUGAUUCGCUUUUAUCCACAAAUCAUAAUCUUAGCCCAAAAUAGAUUUUCAUAGAACACACCGGAUAUACGGAACAAAUACAGAGGUGCAUUAUUAUGCACUAAUGAACAGAGAGCACUAAAGUGCUAUACAGAGAGCACAGAUGUGCUAAACAGAGAGCACUGACGUGCUAAAUAUCAGAGAGCACCAACGUGCUAAUAGUCAGAGAGCACUAACGUGCUAAUAAUCAGAGAGCACUAACGUGCUAAUAAUCAGAGAGCGCGCUAAAGUUCCUUAAUGGCAUGCCACUAAUAUCCUGGUAGUUCUAAAUUCCAUCUACUUGGGCACUAAAACUGAAUCUCAUUCAUUUAAAUACUUUAUAGAAUUAUUUUGAAAAAGAUUUCUCAUUUCUCCAUCAUUACAAUUCAAUGCUUAUUUCACAAUUCACAAUUAUCACACCAUUUUCACACACACACACACAUAUAUAUACACUUUUGUCACAACAUUACUUAUUGUUCAAACAUUAUACCAUCUUAUAUUUUCCAUAUAUAAUUUUUCUUUACAAAUUUCAUAGUUCCAUAAUCUUUUAUUUUACUUUAUUUUAUUUUAUUUCUAAAUAGUUCUAUACUAUAAUAUAGGCAUUUAAAAUAAAUAAUUUCUAAAAAAAAUAAUCUUGUAGUACUUACAACAAAAAGGUUGAGAUGAUGUCUUCCUUCACUCCUUAGCCUUCUCUUUUCCUUUUUCUUCAAUAAGGUCCUUUCCUUUCCUUUCUUUCUCUUCAAUUUCAUAUAAAACACAUAAUAUUUAUAUAUUAGAAAAACAAUCAAAUAACUUUCCUAUAUCAUUUAAUAAAAAUAAACAUAUAUGAUAUAAUAAUUUCAUAAUUUCUUACCUUAGCUAAUAUUUCAAUUUAAUUCAUAACUAAAAUUAUUUCUAUUUCUAUCACAACCUAUACCUUAUUUCUACUUAAAUUCAACUUACACCUUAACUUAACUCUCAAAUUUUCACUAAUAAACCUUAAUUUCGAAUUUCUUACAAUUUUACAUUAAACUUAUAACUUAUUUCUCAAUUUCAUCCUUUUCCCAAUCCUAGUUUGAAUUUCCAUCAAUUCAACCUCUAAUUCAUCCACUAAUUCAAUAUAAACUACAUAAAAAAAUUCUACUAACUUUCAAAAUUUCAACAUAUACCUACUAGUAUUUUGAUCUAGAAUCAUAAAAACUCAAAAAUUUCAAGAAAAUGACUUAAUUUGACUUACCGAUUUGAAAUUGAACCUUAAAACCCUAAAUUCCUUCUUUACUUUUUCUUUCUUUCUUUCUCCCCUGUUUCUCCCCUGUUUCGUUUCAAAUGCUAUUCUGUUUCUUUCUCUUUAUUUCUUUUCUUUUGUUUUAUAUAUAUUUAUAUAAUAAUAUAAUAUUAUAAUAAUAUAAUAUAAUAACUUACUUAUUAAUUAAAUAACAUAAUAUAUAAUAUAUAUAUUUAAAUAAAAAAAAUAUCUUAGAUAUUUCAUUUGUUAUGCCGCCUCAAUUUUAGAAAAAGGCAUAAUUGCCUAUUUGGUCCUUUUAACUUUCUUUAAUUUAUAAUUAAACUUUCACACUUAUUUCAAUCUAAUCCCUUUUUCCUAAUUACUUCUAAUUAAAUCAAUUUCACCUAGUCAAAACAUAAUUAGACACACAACUAACUUCGUAAAUAUUUAUAAUAAAUAUUUACGAAUCCGAUUUACCGGAACGGAGUCCCGGAAAUGCAUUUUUUUAUUUAAUCUAUUUAAAUAAAUUUUACCAUAUAAUCAAUAAAAUUUUAUUAUCAAAAUUUUCAUGCAACCUUCCUAUCAUAAUAUAGACCAUACCACAAUAUUAAAAUAAAUUUUCUUUCUAGCUCGGAUUUGUGGUUACGAAACCACUAUUCCGAUUUACUGAAAAUGGGUCAUUACACUAGUUAUCUACCCUUUCUAUGUAUUGCUUCAAACCAGUGACAGGUAGCAAAUUUGCAGACUAGAUUGCUAAAACUAAAUUGCUGCAACCAAAGGAAAGAAAAAAUUAACUAAGAAAAAACUAAACUUGUUCAACUUCAUCACUAAAACAAAUUUACAUGAACUUAAGUGAAUAAUCAAUUGUCAAAUUAUCUAAAUCAAAAUAUUAAAAUAGCGUAUUUUAUAUAUAAAAUUUUCUUAAAUUUUAUACUGAUUAAACCUAAAUAGAAAGACAAAACAAACGUCCUGACUCCUUUAAACAAAAAUAAUUAGAAAUAAAAAACAAGGUUUAGAAUAUGCUGCAAAAUUGUUUUUAAUUUCGAAAUUAACUUUAACCACAAACAAAUUAAAAAUAUAUAUCAAUACAAAAAUUACUUAGGAAUUCGAAAGCAUACAAGUUAUUGUCAAAAUGUAAGACAGUUACUGCCUAAAACCCUAAACAAAAUAAAUUGGUAAAGCUAAAAUUAAGAGAAAAGAAUUUCAUACCUUUACGAAGACGGAGAGAAAGUAAAUCGGACAGGAUGUGAUUCCACAAUACUCAAAAAUGAGAUUGUUUUAUGAGCUUCGGAAACCCUUAAACCAUGGACGAAAUGGAAUGUUAACAAUAUUGAACCCUAAACAUGAAAAAUAAGAGGGAAAUCAAACCGGUUCGUGCUUACCCAAAAAACUAUUCCACUGUUCGUCUUCCUCUAAAUGCUGUGAAGAAUUAAACGCACUAAACCGACUAAAUGAAGAACCGAAUAAAGUAAAAGACUCCAUGAAUGUCUGGAAUUAGGGAAGUGGAGGAGAUUUCGAAAGGAAAAUAGGGAUUUGGAAGGGGAAGGGGAAGGAAACCGAGUUUAGGGGCUGCGUACGGGUUUUAGGGUUCGAAAGGGGAAAUAUGUGACGCCAAGCAGAGCGACGACGUUCAGAAUAUCUGAACUGUUCCUCAAAUGAAACGGCGACGUUCUGAACAUUUUGUAAUACACAGUUGCGGCGUUUUCAGAAAAAAUGCCGCUAAAGCUUACAAUUUGCGGCGUUUUAAAUAAAAACGCCACUAAAGAGUUAAAACCAUUUAAGAAAACGACGCCGUUUUCAUACACACAAUAAUUUAUGGAUUUGCGAUGUUUUUAUAAAAAACGCCACUAUCGUAUACCUACAGUGGCGUUUUUCAUAAAAACACCACUAAAAAUCAAAUUCAUGUAUCCAAACAGCACCAUUUUACAUAAUUUUAAACACAUUUUUGCGGCGUUUCUGGCCCAAACGCCACUACUGUAAAAAAUUUCCAAGUAUUUAAUAAUUUAAAAAAUUUAAAAUAUCAUACAACAAUAUGACAAUAUUAUUUUUAAUUCUAUUAAAUGGGAAAUUUGAUUUUUAGUGAUGGUAUUUUUCUUAAAAUUUAAGGUAGGAACUUAAUCCGUAUAUAGUGUUUGUAUUUUUCUAAAACUUCAAUUUAAAAAUUUAAUUCGGUGAAGUCAGGUUGUAUUUUUCAAAAAUACUAAAUAACCUAAACCCUAAAUCACAACCCCUAUAUAUCCUGAAAACCAUCAACCGUAAACUUUUUACCCUAAACCCUUAAACCCUAAACCCUUAACCCUUAACCCUUAAUCCUAAACCCUUAACCCUAAAUUGAUAUAGACCCUCUUAUCCCUUAAACCCUAAAUCUUAAACCUAUAAAUCAUAAACCAUGACCCUUAACCCCUAACACCUACACCCUAAGCCCCAACCUCAAAUGAUAAACCACAAACCAUAAUACGUAACCCUUAACCAUAUCCCCUAAACCUUCAAUCAUAUAACAUUAACUAUAAACCCCUAACCCUUAACCCUAAACACUUCAACCUUAGACCCCAACUAUUGCACCAUAAUCCCUAAACCCCUAACUCAACCAUAUUCCUUAAACCCUGAAUCAUAGAACAUAUAUAAACCCUAAAUCUUAAACCCUAAAUCAUAAAACAUUUAUAAACUAUAAACCUUAAACCUCAACCCUUAAAUAAUAAACAAUAAACAAUAAACCGUAAGGCCUAAAUCCAUAAUCCCUAAACCGCCAAUGUGUUGAAAGCUCAACAAAAAAAAAUAUUGUUUUGCUUAACGAUUUUGCGGCGUUUUUCUAAACGCGCCACUAAUGUCUCUAAACCUCCACAAGAAAACGACAACGUUUUGCUUAAAUAUUUUUGAGGCGCUUAACAUAAAGCGCCACUAAUGCUUGACUUCUACGGCGUUUUUAAAGCUGCGCCGCUAGUGUACCUAAACCUUAACAACAAAACGGUGCCGUUUGCAUAGCAAUUCUUGCGGCGUUAGCGUAAAACCGCCGCUAAUUAUUGAAUUUUGCGGCGUUUUAGCAAGGCGCCACUAAUAUCUCUAAAAGUAAACGUUGCGUUUUGGAUAAGAUCUUCGUGGCAUUUUCGCGUAAGCGCCACUAAUUCUAGUAUACAUCAAGACCAAACUCUGUGUUUUGGUUAAGAUACUUUGCGGCGCUUUUCACCAAAUGCCGCUAAUACUAUGCUUUAGCGGCAUUUCCCUUAAGCGCCACUAAUGCUAGUAUACAUAAAGACUAACACGCUGCGUUUUGGUUAAGAUACUUUGCGGUGCUUUACAAUAAGCGCCACUAAUUCUAGUGUACCUCAAGACCGAACUCCGCGUAUUGGUUAAGAUAUGUUGCGGCGCUUUUCAAAGCACGCCGCUAAUACUGUACUUUAGUGGCGUUUUGUCGUCGACGCCACUAAUUCUAGUAUACAUCAAGACUAAAACGCUGCGUUUUGGUUAAGGUAUUUUGCGGCGCUUCCCACUACACGCCGCUAAGACUAUGCUUUAGCGGCGUUUUGUCAUAAACGCCACUAAUUCUAAUAUACAUCAAGAUUAAAACGAUGCGUUUUCGUUAAGAUUGUUUGCGGCGCUUUUCACCGAGCGCCGCUAAUACUUGCUUUAGUGGCGUUUUGUCAUAAACGCCACUAAUUCUAAUAUACAUCAAGAUCAAAACGAUGCGUUUUCGUUAAGAUUGUUUGCGGCGCUUUUAACCGAGCACCGCUAAUACUUGCUUUAGUGGCGUAUUCCAAUAAUCGCCACUAAUUUUGGUAUACAUCAAGACCAAAACGCUGUGUUUUGGUUAAGAGAUUUUGCGGCGCUUGAAGGUAACGGUCAAAAAAAUGAUUGUUGCACUGUUCACGCACGGGGCAAAUCGCGUCCCCAAGAGCGCGCUACACAUCAGCAAAUCGUGUCCACGUCAGCGCGCUUUGCUUACGUGGAUGCGAUUUGCUGAUACGUUUCCUGACUUCGCGCUGACGUGGACGCGAUUUAGGGGAAAGGGCCCAUUCUGGUAAAUAAUGGAAUACCGUGCCCAUUUCGGUAAAUUUAAAAAAAUUAGGCUUUUAAUGGUAAAUUGUCCUAACAUAUCAUCAUUUAAUUAAUUUUUUAAAAUUUAAAAAAAUAAAAAAAUAUUUAAAAAUUAAUUAAAUACUGACAUGUUAUUCACAUGGGAAUCUACAUAUAUACUACAUCAGCAAAGUGAAUAAAUAUUAAUUUUCCUAUUUAUUUUAAAGUGAUUUGACAAAAAAUUUAAAGUAAAACACAAACUUAAGAACAGUUGCAAUUAUUGUAGGCUCCAUUUUAUCAACACCCACCUUGUUGGAUUCAUAUGCAUCACUCAUUUAUGGCCCCCCAAUUUCCACAACUACGCGCAUUCAUUUGGAAAGUGAAAAGGUUAUAGAGAAAUUGCUUAGAAACCACCUUUAUUCUUCCCUGGAAAUUUGAUCUGUUUCUAGUUUCUUUCAGACGUAUUGAGCUAUCAGUUUUCUGAUUUUCAACACUACAUCCACAUUUUUUUUUUCUCGCACAUCGUCAUGUCGUCAUUACCUUCAACUUCUUCGUCCAAUUCUAGAAAGAAAUAUGAUGUUUUCUUGAGUUUUAGAGGUGAAGAUACCCGCACCAACUUUACCGAUCAUCUCUAUGAUGCUUUAAGUAGGAGUGGGAUCGUCACUUUCAGGGAUGAUCCAAAGCUGGAGGCCGGCGAAGAGAUCGCGCCAGAACUCUUUACAGCAAUUCAGCAAUCAUGGUGUUCGGUAAUCGUUUUUUCACAAACUUAUGCCUUUUCAAGUUGGUGCUUGGAGGAGCUUGCUGAGAUUGUUAAACAACAUAACAACGACGGUCAUAAAGUGUUUCCAAUUUUUUACGAUGUUGAUCCAUCUGAUUUAAGAAAACGAAAAGAGAAAGUGGAAGAAGUCUUUGCUAGACAUAAAGAUAGUGAGAAGAUCCAAAGGUGGCGAAAUGCUUUAAUUCAAGUGGCUGGAAUCAAGGGAUGGUAUUUAAAUAACAGGUAACUCUUUCUUUUCUUCUCUCUAUUUUCUAUUUUUUGGGAUAUAUAUGUAUAACUUUGUUUUUUUCUUUCUAAUCCUAUGUGUUUAAUUGAAAAAUGUCUUGGUUCUUGUUUGCUUCCAAACUAUAUUAUGUUUCAUGAUUCAUUGAAAAAGAAAGUGCAUUUGAUAAUAUGAAAAAAAAAAAUUAUUCAAAAGAUUAAAAUUUAUUUUCUUGUAGGCAUGAAUCAGAAUUUAUUAGAGAGAUUAUUAAGAAGAUAUCAGCAAAACUAUGUCACCCAGUUACUCAUAGUGACUUGGUUGGAAUGACUGAACGCUUGGAGGAUUUAUAUUUGAAAAUAAACAUUGGGGAAAAUGAUGUCCGCAUUAUAGGGAUUUGCGGAAUGGGUGGUAUCGGUAAAACAACACUCGCAAGACUUGCUUAUAAUCAAAUGUCACGUCAUUUUGAAAGUAAAAGCUUUAUUGCUGAUAUUCGAGAAGUUUCAGACAGAUGUGGAUUAGUUUCUUUACAGAAACAACUUCUUUCUGAGAUUUUUCAUGAUGAAUGCUUCAAAUUUUUCAAUGUUCAUGAAGGGAACGAUAUAAUUAGUCAUAUGUUGUCUCGCAAAAAGGUUCUUGUUGUUCUUGAUGAUGUUGAUAACAUACAACACUUAAAAUGCUUGGUUGGAAGGCACGAUUGGUUCGGAUUAGGGAGUAGAAUCAUUGUAACAACAAGAGAAGAACAUUUGCUUCGAUCUUGGCCAGUUAAUGAUAUGUAUGAGCCCACAACAUUGAAUCCCAAAGAUGCGCUUCAGCUUUUCAGUCUGAAAGCUUUUCAUAGUGAUACAGUGCCGAAAGAUGAUUUCAUUGAGCUUUCUUACCAUGUUGUAAAAUAUGCUGGUGGGCUGCCGUUAGCUCUUGAAAUUUUGGGUUGCUUUUUAUGCGGUAGAGAUGCUACUCAAUGGAGAAGUGCAAUUGAAAGACUUAAAAGAGAUUCUAACAAAGAAAUUCUUGAUAAACUUCGAAUCAGUUUUGAUGGAUUGGAAGAAAGGGAGAAGAAUAUAUUUCUAGAUAUAGCAUGCUUCUUCAAUGGGGAGGAGAAAGAUUGUGUAAAGAAAGUAUUGGAUGGUUGUGAGUUNNNNNNNNNNNNNNNNNNNNNNNNNNNNNNNNNNNNNNNNNNNNNNNNNNNNNNNNNNNNNNNNNNNNNNNNNNNNNNNNNNNNNNNNNNNNNNNNNNNNUGUUCUCAUUAAAAAAUCUCUCAUAAAAGUCGAUGAACACAAAUAUUUGUGGAUGCAUAACUUGUUGCAAGAAAUGGGAAGAAAAAUUGUUAGAGAAAAAUGUGUUGAUAAACCUGGAAAACGUUGCAGAUUAUGGGAGGAAAGAGACGUCUAUCAUGUCCUAACAAAAAACACUGUAAGUCAUUUAACAAAAGUUACAUACUAUUUCUAUUUUGUUAUAUAAUAUCAAAUCAAUAUAUGAUAUAAACCCAAAGCUUAGUCUAAUUGGUUGAUACAACUAUUCUUAAAAAGUGAUCUUUAGUAAUUUUGAGAUUACAAAUAUUAAAAAGGAUUUGUAGAAAUAAAUAUUUAAUUUCAUUGCAUUACCCUCUUUAGAGCAUAAUAUUUGUAGAAAUUGUUUUAUUUAAAUUUAAAAUGCUUUAUUUAUUAUAAUUAGAAUAUAAUAAUGCUAAAAAAAAGUAAGUUUUUAAAAGUUUUAUCCUACAUUAUACACCAUUUAAUUUAAUUUAUUUUCUAUUUUUGAUUUUUCUUAGGGUACAAAAAUAAUUGAAGGUAUAAUCAUCGAUAAUAAAAGGUAAGAAAACAUAAACUUAUAUUUACGUGUAAUAUGAUAAAAAAAUAUAGCAAAACCUUUGACACCCAAUAUUUCAAUGUUUAAUUAAAAAAUUUAUCUACUAGCGUAUUACUCUUCCAAAAGAUUCAAUAGAGAAAUGUAUGUCUUUUUGAAAUAUUAAUAGUAUAUCAAUGAAAUAGACUAUAACAUAACUUUUAGAUAUUGAAUGUUUUAGUAUAUUUUGAAGCUCAUUUUUGCUUUGCUCACUUAUAUUAGGGAAUCGGGCAAGAUGCUCAACUUGAGUGUCGAUGCCUUCUCAAAAAUGAAAAAAUUGAGAUUGCUCAAAGUGCUUUGCCUAUUAAAUUGUGAUGAUCUCAAAUUUCUUUCUAAUGAGCUACGGCUUUUAGAUUGGAAAGGAUGCCCUUUAAGAUCGUUACCUUCAAGCUUUCAACCGGACAACCUUGUUGCACUUCUUUUAUCAUAUAGUCGCAUUCAACAACUAUGGAAGGGAAACAGAGUAAGAAUUAACUCAUGUCAUCCUUGAAUUUUAGCUUAUUUUAAUAUAAAUGAUUAAACUUUGAUUAAGAUAAAAAAAACAAAAAUAAGCAUUAUUAUGUUUUCUCAUUUGUUUCUAAUUUAUUGUGAUCUUCAACAGCCCUUGUGUAAGCUGAAAAUGAUGAACCUUGAAGGGUCCCAAAACCUGAUCAAGACACCAGAUUUCACAACGGCAUCAAAUCUUGAAGUUCUAAUAUUGAAAGGUUGUACCAAAUUAGUGGAUAUUCAUCCAUCAAUCGCAGUACUUAAGAGCCUUCAAGUUUUGAAUUUAAGAGAUUGCAAAAGUCUUAGUAGUCUUCCGACCAUAACUGGAAUGGAAUCUCUUGAAACAUUAAUUCUUUCGGGUUGCUCAAGUCUUGUAAGGUUUCCGGAGAUUGAUGGGAAAAUGGAACGUCUAAAAACUCUAGAUCUUUCCGGUUGUUAUAGAGUUGAAAAUUUAUCAGAGAAUUUGCAGCAUGCAAAGUUUUUGGAAGAGCUCGACUUGAGAGAAACAGCCAUAACAGAACUACCAUCCUUCAUUUUUCAAUUUAAAAAUCUUAAAGUUCUGUCUUUCAAUGGAUUCAAAAGAGGAAGAAAAAAUUCCAUGGCUCCGAUGUUACCUUCAUUGUCAGGUUUGAGUUCAUUAAGAGAGUUGAAUCUAAGGGACUGCAAUCUUUGUGAAGGAGAUAUUCCACGUGAUAUUUCUGGUCUAUCCUCUUUGGAAGAACUUAAUCUUAGUGGUAACAAUUUCACCAGCAUACCUGCAUCUCUUACUCGACUCUCCAAGCUUGAAGAGCUUAUAUUGUCAAAUUGCAACAUGUGCACUCUUGGUGAAGUAGAUAUUCAUGGUCUAUCCUCUUUGGAACGGCUUUUUCUUAACGGUAACAAUUUCAUCACCGUUCCUUUGGCUCUGGCUCAACUUUCCAAGCUUAAAUUGCUUGGAUUAUCAAAUUGCAUGAAGCUUAACUCGUUGCCUGAGCUACCAACAAGUAUAGAAGAAGUGUGGCUAGAUGGUUGUUCUUCACUUGAAGUAGUUGCAAGUCCAUCAAAAGUAUGCAAGUUAGUGGAUUCGGCUGCUAUUAUAGCCUUUAACUGCUUCAAAUUGGCUGAGAAUAUCAACGCAUUAACACUGCUGAGAAAACAUCUUAAGGUCGAUUAAUCUCUCUUUUUCUCCCUUACAAAAUCUCAUACUUGAGAAUUUAUGGUUUUAGUUAUCAAACGACUUAUGUUUUAUUUUGCAGGCAUUUGCAAAUUCAAGAAAAAUGUUUGAUAUUAUCAUGCCAGGAAGUGAAAUCGCAGAAUGGUUUAGCCAACAAAAAGGUGACUUCUUUAUUAAGAUUCCCUUACCUAUCAACCUUCAAGAGGAUAGUGAAUGGAUUGGAGUUGCUUGUUGCUGCAUUUUUGUCAAUAGUGAUGCUUCAAGGGAUGCGGGCUUUAUCGACUGUCGAGCGUUAAUGUAUGGUAGAAAUCAUCGACGGAUUGAGGGUGGAGGCUAUUUGGUGGGUAAACGAUUCAACAUGCCCAUAAUGAAAGAUCACAUUUUUCUUCGUUAUUGGUCGCGUGAUAAAUUAUAUCCAUUUUCCUUGAAGGAUAAAUAUGGUGGCUGUGAAACCAAUAAUUUACGGGCAACAGGCUUAGAUCAUAAAUGUGAUGGGCUUUGUGUGUUUUUCAAUGGUCAUAGCCUUAAGGUGAAGAAGUGUGGUGUUAGAAUAGUGUAUGAGAAAGAUUUGGAAGAAAUAGAAGAGUUGCAGUGCCAUAUCACUCAAUCUUCACCAGAUUUUGAACACAUCCACCAACACUCUGCUCAAAACGAUGGAUCAGUAGGUAGCACUUCUGACAUAAAACAAAAACGAAAUAUCUCCGAGGAAGCGGAGGAAGAGGGGCUGCAACCAAAAUUGAUGCAAAAAUUUUUCAAAUUUAUAAUGGGCCAAUCAGGGAAGAAGCAUUAACUGUGGUAAACUACUUAACCAAUCUUUUAUUUAAAGUGAUCAAUCUAGACUUAUUUACGAUCCUUCUUACAUACCAAAAACUUAUAAAUCUUUUACUUAUAUUCAACAGGAGCUCAUAUCAUAGUUUAUAUAUAUCAUUUAAAAUUUUAGUGGCUUAAUUCAUUCCGUUUUACAUAACUGAAAUGUGAAAAUUUUUAUUGGUUUCAAUUUUUAUUAAAUUUUAUUUUCAUUAUAUAUACACUUAUAUCUAUAUUUUAUUUGUAGGUUGAAAUAAAUAUAAUCAACUUGACAUAGAAAUGUAGAGAAAAAUGGAUAGCUUCCGUGACAAAACAGGUAACAAUAAGGUGAAAUCCUUUAAUAAAGAUCAGAUUAUAAUUUGGACCGAGUUAAAAACUAUUUUUUUUAUUUGAGACUAACUUAUGUGUUCAAUUUAAUCACUCAAAAUUGUUUUUAUAUAUUUAGAAGAUUAAAAAUAAGUCCUUUACUAAUACUUGAAUAGGUUUAAUUACUCCUAAUAAAAAUAAGUCCAAAUUAUGUGUCAUUGUUUGGUUCAUUAACUUGUAAAUUAUGCAUUGUUCGCGAACCAAACAUAAAUCAACAUAUUAAUUCAAUUUUUUAGGAUUAGGUAAUUUAACAUUGGGUGUGAUUGUUAGAUAUAAGUAUCUCUUUAAUAUGGGUAUAUUCAAAAAAAAAUUUAAAAACUGUUUUUUUUCACGUAAUUAAAAAGUUAUUAAAGGAUCAUAUCUUAAUUAAUACCCAUAUACGAAUGUGUAUUAGAUAUAAGUAUUGGAUACGAGUACUUUAAAAAAUAAAUUGAUGCAACAUUUCUUUUAAAUAUUGAAUGUUUUAGUAUAUUUUGAAGCUCAUUUUUGCUUUGCUCAUUGAUAUUAGGGAAUCAGGCAAGAUGCUCAACUUGAGUGUCGAUGCCUUCUCAAAAAUGAAAAAUUUGAGAUUGCUCAAAGUGCUUUGCCUAUUAAAUUGUGAUGAUCUCAAAUUUCUUUCUAAUGAGCUACGGCUUUUAGAUUGGAAAGGAUGCCCUUUAAGAUCAUUACCUUCAAGCUUCCAACCGGACAACCUUGUUGCACUUCUUUUACCAUAUAGUCGCAUUCAACAACUAUAGAAGGGGAACAGAGUAAGAAUUAACUCAUGUCAUCCUUGUAUUUUAGCUUAUUUUAAUAUAAAUGAUUAAACUUUGCUUAAGGUAAAAAAACAAAAAUAAGCAUUAUUAUUAUUAUGUUUUCUCAUUUGUUUCUAAUUUAUUAUGAUCUUCAACAGCCCUUGUGUAAGUUGAAAAUGAUAAGCCUUGGAGGGUCCCAAAACCUGAUCAAGACACGAAACUUCACAACGGCAUCAAAUCUUGAAGUUUUAGUGUUGAAAGGUUGUACCAAAUUAGUGGAUAUUCAUCCAUCAAUCGCAGUACUUAAAAGCCUUAAAGUUUUGAAUUUAAGAGAUUGCAAAAGUCUUAGGACUCUUCCAACCAAAAUUGGAAUGGAAUCUCUUGAAGCAUUAAUUCUUUGGGGUUGCUCAAGUCUUGUAAGGUUUUCAGAGAUUGAUAGGAAAAUGGAACGUCUAAAAACUCUUGAUCUUUCAGGUUGUUAUAGAGUGGAAACUUUAUUGGAGAAUUUACAGCAAGCAAAGUUUUUGGAAGAGCUCGACUUGAGAGAAACAGCCAUAACAGAACUACCAUCCUUCAUUUUUCAAUUUAAAAAUCUUAAAGUUCUGUCUUUCAAUGAGUGCAAGGGACCAUCAUAUAAGUUACUACCAAAUUUGCCUUCUUUUUUCAAGGUAAUCCAAGGAAGAAGGACAAAUCCCAUGGCUCGGAUGUUGCCUUUGUUGUCAGGUUUGAGUUCUUUAAGAGUGCUAAGAGUGCUAAAACUAAAGGACUGCAAUCUUUGUGAAGGAGAUAUUCCACCAUAUAUUUUUGGUCUAUCCUUUUUGGAAUAACUUAAUGUUAGUGGUAACAAUUUCAUCAGCAUACCAGCAUCUCUUACUCGACUCUCCAAGCUUGCAAAUCUUAUAUUGUCAAAUUGCAAUAUGUGCACUUUUGGUGAAGCAGAUAUUCAUUAUGAUAUUUCUGGUCUAUCCUCUUUGAGUUAUCUUGAUUUUAGUGGUAACAAUUUAAUCAGCAUACUUGCAUCUUUUACUCGACUCUCAAAACUUCAUGUUCUUGACUUGUCAAAUUGCAACGUGUGCACUCUUGGUGAAGCACUCUUUGAUAUGUCUUGAUCUUAGUGGUAAGAAUUUCAUCACCAUUCUUUUGGAUCUUAUUGAAAAAUAGAAUGUCGGUAAUGACAAUAUAUCAUAAAGAAAAAAGAGAAAUAAAAAUAAAUAACAUAUAGAUUUUACGUGGAAAUCUUUUUUGUGAAAAAAACCACGGGUAAAUGAGAAGAAAAUUCAUUAUGUCGAAUUCGAAUAAUUACAAGAGAAGUAGACUAUGUCUAUUUAUAGGCUUGUAAAACCAUCUUCUAGUAAGAUUGAAACAUCUUAUUUUAAUUAAUUUCAAAUAGAUGGAGUUUAAUAAGGUUUAAAAAACCUUAUUCUAAAAAUAAAAUAAAUGAAGAAUAAUUCUAUAGGGAUUUUACUUUUUAUUUUAUUUUAGCACUAUAUUUGAUUUAAAUAAGGAUUCAGUCACUUAAUUCUAACAAUUUCUAUCUUGACACGAAUUCUUAAUGAACAAGUUCUUCAUCGUGAACUCUUAACGAAUAAGUUCUACACCUCUUCCAUAAAACCCCUUAAGGGUUUAAUUUCAACAAUGAACAUCAACUAAGUCUAAGCAAUGCUCAAACUUGGUUAUAGGAAGUGACUUAGUCAUUAUAUCUAUAGGAUUUUCAUGAGUACUAAUUUUGCUCACAACAAUAUCGCCACGAGUAAUAAUAUCACGAACAAAAUGAUACUGAACAUCAAUUUGUUUUGUUCUCUCAUGAAACAUUUGAUAUUUUGUAAGGAAGAUGGUACUCUGACUAUCACAAAAUACUGUAUUUAUUUGAAAGUUUUAAUUGAGUUCACUUAAGAAUCCCUUUAACCAAAUAGCUUAUUUACAAGCUUUAGUAAUCGCCAUAUACUUAACUUCAGUGGUAGACAAAGCGACUACAGUUUGUAAAGUGGCUUUCUAACUGAUUGCAAAACCCCCGAUUGUAAAGAAAUAACCUGUGAGAGAUCUUCUUAUAUCGAGGACUUCAGCAAAAUCAGCAUAAAAAAACCCAAUGACUCUAUCUCUAGUUCUUCCAAACUGUAAGCAAACAUCAGUAGUACCUUGCAAGUAUCUUAAAACCUACUGAACUGCUUUCCAAUGUUAUUUACCAGGAUUCAACAUGUAUCUGCUAACUGCACUGACUGCAUAUGAUAAAUCUGGACGUGAAUAAACCAUAGCAUACAUGAGAGAUCUCACUGCACUAGACUAUGGAACAUGUGACAUGUACUCAAUCUUAUCAUCUAAUUGUGGAGAUAAAGCCAAUUAAAGUUUGAAAUGGGCUACUAAAUGAGUACUAACAAGCUUAGCAUUCUACAUAUUGAAUCUGCAAAGAAUUAAUGUACCCCUUCUAACUUAGGUAUAAUUUACUUGCUUUUCUAUUUCUAAGAAUCUCUAUACUAAGUAUCUUAUUUGCUGGUAUCAAAUCUUUCAUCUCAAAUUCUUCACUUAGUUGGACUUUAACCUUUCUUAUCUCUCAUUUAUCUUUCGCUGCUAUCAACAUGUUAUCAACAUAAAGGAGUAGAUACACAAAAAGAGUAUCACAGUUUUUCUUAAAGUAAACACAACUUUUAAAACCAUGAGAAGUUAUAAAAGAAUCAAACCUCUUAUACCACUGUAUUGGUGACUGUUUCAAACCGUAAAGGGACUUUUUUAGCAAGCAAACAUAGUUUUCUUUUUCUAAGACUGUAAAACCCUCUGGUUGUUACAUGUAAAUAUCCUCCUCAAGUUCUUUAUGCAAAAAUUCAGUUUUUUCAUCUAACUGCUUAAGUUUUAAAUCAUGCAUUACCACAAUACCAAGCAAAGCUCGAAUCGAACUAUGCUUCACAACUGGAGAGAACACAUCUGUGAAGUCCACUUUUGGAAUUUGACUGUAACCCUUUGCAACAAGUCUUGCUUUAUAUCUUGGUUAUUCAACUCUUGGAGUCCCCUCUUUCUUCUUAAACACCCAUUUACAACGAACAACUUUUUUACCUUUAGGAAGUUUUAUAAGAUCUCAUGUUUUAUUUUUGUGUAGUGAUUUAAUCUCCUCUUACAUAGCAAACAUCCAAUUUUCUAAGUCUUCACAACAAACCGCCUCAAAAUAAUUAGAUAGUUCUUGAUUUUCAUCUAUAUCUUCAGCCUUAUUUAAAGCAUAAAUAAUUAGAUUAGCUUUCCUGUCUAUUUUUCAAUCAUGGUUUUUCAAGACUUAAAUGCGAAAAACACAUUGCUUUUUUGCUUCAAGAAGAACGCCCACACUUUUCUAGAAAAAUCAUAAAUAAAGGUUAGUAUAUAAUUAGCUCCACCUCUCAAAGACACUCUAGAUGGCCCCCACAGAUCAGAAUGAAUAUACUCUAACGUUCCCUUCGUGUUAUGAAUUCCUCUGGUGAAUCAACUCUCUUUUGAUUCCCAAAAAUGCAAUGCUCGUAGAACUUCAGUUUGCAAAUUUCUUACCCAUCAAAAAGUAAUCUUUUGUUCAAUUCUUCCAUGCCAUUCUCACUUAUAUGCCUUAGGCGUAUAUGCCAAAAUUUAGUAAUAUCAUCAUUAGUCAAGGAAGAGGAUGCGACAGCUGGAUCACCAGUAACUGUAGAACCCUACAAAACAUAUAACUUGACAGUCUUUCUCUGCCCUUUCAUCACAAUGAGGGAACCUUUGGAAAUAUUAAAAACCCCACUUUCAGUUGUGUAUUUGUACCCUUUUGAAUUAAGAAGACUUAACGAAAUUAAAUUUCUCUUCAAUUCUGGAACAUGUCGUACGUCACUAAGUGUUCUGACAACUCCGUCAAACAUCUUAACUUUAAUUGUUCCAACAUCUGUAAUUCUAUAUGAAGAAUUAUUUCCCAUCAAUACAACACCUUCAGACACUUUUUCGUAAGCUGUAAACCAAUCUCAACUAGAACUCAAGUAAAGAAAGCUGCCCGAAUCAAGGAUCCAUUCCUCGCUCACUUUAGAAUUGUUGACAGAAGCAAAAAGAAGUUCACCAUCGUUGUAGUCUUCUACAAUAUCAACGUUACCAAUUUUUUUUUAUUUUUUCCAUUUUGAUUCGCAAUCUUCCUUUUGAUCUUGUUCUAUAGCUUAUAACACUCAGAUUUAAUGUGUCCUUUCUUCUUACAGAAGUUACAAGUUUUACCUUUAUUUGAAGACUUCGAUCUACCCUUUGAUUUACCAUGAAGAUUUCGUUCCUGUGUCCUUCCACGAUCAUCAUUAACAUUCUGAUAUUGUCUUCCACAAACAAUAAGACCCUCUCUCUGAAUUCAGUUUUAACCAUAAAAUGCUUUAUCUUAUAAUACGAGGUUAAAGAAUCAUAAAUCUCAUCAAGUGUGAAAGACUCGCGACUAUAUAAAAUCGUAUCUCUAAAGGUUGAAUAAGAUGGGGGCAACGAAUAAAUUAGAAUUAACCCUAGUUCUUUCUUGUCAUAUUGAACCUUAAUGGCCUCUAAGUUUAAGAGAAUUUCUUUAAACAAUAUUAAGAGUUCGUGCACAGAUGCACCUUCCUCCAAACGAUGAGCAUAAAGAUGCUACUUCAUAUGCAACUUGCUAGUUACAGUUUUCGACAUAUAUAUUUGUUUCAACCUCUUCCAUAAUCCAGUAGCGAUCUUCUCUUUCAUCAUAUCUUGCAAAUUUUUUGUUAGAAAAAUGUAAAUGUAAUUGUGUUAACGCCUUUCGAUCCUUAUGCUUCUUCUUUUGCUCCGUCAAUGUUGAAGGCAUCUUAUCUACCCCUAGUAGGGCUUCCUCUAAGUCUAUUUAUGCAAGAAUUGCCUACAUCUUUAUUUGCCACAACGCAAAUCUGAUGUUGCGAUCCAACAAUGAAAUUUCAUACUUUAAAGACAUUAUUAUCGUGAUUGAGAUGAAAACUUAAAAGCUCAGAUACCAAUUUGAAAAAUAGAUUGUCGAUAAUGACAAUAUAUCUCAAAGAAAAAAGAGAAAUAAAAAUAAAUAACACACAGAUUUUACGUGAAAAUCCUUUCAGGAAAAAAAACCACAGGCAGAGAAGAAGAAAAUUCACUAUGUCGAAUUCAAUAAUUACAAGAGGAGUAGAUUAUGUCUAUUUAUAAGCUUGUAAAACCAUCUUCUAGUAAGAUUGAAACACCUUAUUCUAAUCAAUUUCAAAUAGAUAGAGUUUAAUAAGGUUUAAAAAACUUAUUCUAAAAAUAAAAUAAAUGAAGUAUAAUUCUAUAGGGAUUUUACUUUUAUUUUAUUUUACCACUAUAUUUGAUUUAAAUAAUGAUUCGGGUCACUUAAUUCUAACACUUACUCAACUUUCCAGGCUCAAAUUGCUUAAAUUGUCAGGUUGCAAGAUGCUUAAAUCGUUGCCUGAGCUACUAAGAAGUAUAACAGUUGUGAGUAUAGAUAGUUGUUCUUCACUUGAAGUAGUUGCAAGUCCAUCAAUAGUUUGCAAUUUAAUGCAUUCAGGUGCCGUUAAAGCCAUUAACUGCUUCAAAUUGGCUGAGAAUAUCAAUGCAUUAACACUGCUGAAAAACAUCUUAAGGUUGAUUAUCUCUUUUUUCUCCCUUACAAAAUCUCAUACAUUUUACCAAACGACUUGUGUUCUAUUUUGCAAGCAUUGGCAAAUUCAAAAGAAAAGUUUGAUAUUAUGAUGCCCGGAAGUGAAAUCCCAGAAUGGUUUAGCCAACAAAAAAGUGACUCUUCAAUUAAGAUACCCCUACCUAUCAACCUUCGGAAAGAUAGUCAAUGGAUUGGAGUUGCUUGUUGCUGCAUUUUUGUCAAUAAUGAUCCUUCAAUGGAUGACGAGAUUUUACGUUGUGUAGCAUUUACCUGUUGUAGAAAUUCUUGAAAACCUUCUAUGAAAGAUAAGUAGAGAGACCAACAUGCUAAGAAAGCACAAGUGUCUGGUUGUCCCUAAUGAAAAUUGACAGGUUUCGGCCGUCAAAACAAAUAUGCACCCUUAAAUCCUGACCUCCGGCUGAAAUGUUAACAUCGUAGUUGCUUAAAGAAACUUGCUUGGUUGAUUGGAUCCUGUUUAUGUUUAACCCAAUAUGGUUGUCAUCCAUAUCUUGCUCGUUGCUCUUUCUGACAUCAAAUUCCACCGCCACCACACUGGCUUGAUUGAGAAGAACCAUUUGUGUUCUCAUUUACCAUCCCCAGCCACUGUCCUUGGCUGUUGUCCAGUAGGCUGGAGUUGUUUAUUAAAAAGGCAACACCUUCGCCACCACAAGAGGUUUGAUUGAGGCUAUUGAGGACGAACUCACAUGGAAAGAAGCAAUAGUGGUGUGGUUGCCUUUCUAAAGCUGAAAUGGUUUCUUAUACAGAGCUCGUCUAGACAAAUUUUCCAUGGAACCUCCAUAACAUCUCCAGUAGCUUGGAUGGUUCCAAGAACUAUGUAAGAAUUCCUACUCAAGAUAAGUUGGCUUUAACCAUAUUUCUGGAAAGUUGAAAAUUUGAACUGAAAAGGCCUUCUAUUAUAUAUCAAAAAAUUUAAAAUUUUUUAUUCAUAUAACAUAGUUUUUAAAACAUUUAAAAUUUUAGUCACUCAUUUUUACAAAAUGUGUACGUUUUAAUUGGGUUUACAUUUUUUUUAAUUUUAUUUUCAUUAUAUGUAUUCACUUACAUCUAUAUUUUAUUGUAGGUUGAAGUAAAUUUAAUUAAAUUAAUACCGAAAUGUGGAAUAAAAUGAAUAUAUUUUGUGACGAAACAGGUAAUAAUAAAGUGAAUCCUUUAAUAAGGAUUGAUCAUAAUUUCAGCUGUGAAAUGGUAAAAUUAACAUAUUUUAAUCUCAUUCUUAAUGCGUUUUUGGAUGAAUAUUUAUGCAAAUUGGUGAAUUUGAUGCUCCUAAUCCUUUGAAUUAAUGUUUUUAUAUUUAGGUGAACAUUAGGGAGCAGAAGAAGCGAAAAACGAGUGAAAAUCAGAGAAAAAGAGUAAAUUUCAGGAGCCACACGGGUUGGGCACACGCCCUUAUGAGCCACACUGGCUGGACACACGCCUAUGUGCCAGCCCGUGUCGAUUUCGCACUUUGCUUCCCAAACACACGGAAAAACAUAAUUUUUAGGCUUUCUAAACAUUCUAAAGUCUAUAAAUACCAAAUAGAAGAAGAAAUAGGGGAGCCAUUAGAGAAGGUCAAAGAAAACCCUCAAGGAACACCAUUGGAGUUAAUUCCCUAGAUACCUAGGGAGGAUGAAACCUAUGACGAAUUCUAUUAUCUAAUAUCUAAUUUACAUGAUAAAUACUUUAUUCUUAUUUUCAAUUAUGCGUGUUUAUUUCUUAUUUUAAUAUUUUCGGGAUAUUAAUUCAUGUUUAAUGUGCUUAAUUCAAUGGAGCAAAAGUCCCUGUGUAAGAGUAAAUUUAGCAUAACUGAGUGGACUUGCAUGCAAUCCUAUAAAUAGGACGACAGAAAUCUACCUGAUUAGAGUCAAAUCUAAUGGGGGAAUCCAUAGAUCGAGUUACUGUGACAAUAGGAGUUUUAAUUAGAAAGAGAUUUCAAUUAAUUAACCUCAAGUCCGUUGUUCUUACUCUCGAAAUAGAUAUUAACAUAAUUUAAGAAUUUCUACGAAUCAAGACACCAAGUGAAUAAAUCGUUUAAAUCAAAUUAAUAAAAUUAAUAAUACUAGAAGGAAUCUAGAUAGAUUGCGCAUUUUUACUUGUAAGGUUAUUAUAUAAUUUAUUAUAUAAUUAUGUUAUUAUACUAUUUUAAAUAGGGUUUUUGAAUUUUUUUUUGUAAAAUAUAAAUUUACAUAGUAAUUUAAUUGUAAUGUAAAUAAAUCCUUUUAAAUAAGGUAUAAUGAUAAAAAAAAUUUUCUUAUUGUUUAUAAAAUUUUAUUUUGAGUCAAAUUAUAAAUUUUUUUAAUGCAAAAUGCUGAUUAAACCAUUGACGUGAUAUGAAUAGUGAACUAUUAAACUUUUCAAGGGUAGUCUUAAUUGGAUCAUCUUUCCACAAUAGCCUUAUUUAAGUUUAUUAUGUUUUCUCAUUUGCUUCUCAUUUAUGAUGGUCUUCAACAGCUCUUGUAUAAGGUGAAAUGCGGCUGAGAUGGGAUUGCAUGUGGGAUUCUCGAGGGUGGAGAUCGAAGGAGACUCCUUAUCUGUGAUUCGGAAGCUGCAAACAAAGGGAGUUGAAAGGUCAGUGAUAGGAGCCUAUAUCUCAAAUACAGGGGUAUCAAAUCUGUGUCUUUAAACAUGUGCCAAAACAAGCAAACGGAGUUGCACAUCUAUUGGGUACAGAGGGAUUAAAGAGAGAUGAAGAAACUUAUCUUGUUGGCGCGGUUCCUUCAUACGCGAAAGUGGCAGCGGAAGAGGACCGUCAACAGUUGGGCUCACUUUGUCCCGCAGGUUGAAGAUCCACUGCUUAGAAAGAAGAUAAAAUGGGAUUUUACUGUGGGCAAACAGAUCGGAGAAUAGAUGGACUACUGGGUUUCUAAGUUUCGACGGAAGAUUGGUGUUUUGAAGUGAUGAAAUGCAGAGUUUAGCCAGACCUGAAGGGUUUCUUCCAGUUGCAUCGGAAAGAUCUAGAGCAGACAUUUUGGUGGUUAUCAACGAAACAAAGAAGGCAUCUGAAGGGUUUCGCUUUCUCAGAUGUUUAGGGAAAAGGAAAGUCUGCCUGGGUGGUUGGAUUAUCCUACUUUAUAAUGUCUGUGCUCUAAAUGAUUUGGAAUUUGUUUUAUUGAUAUAACUGCUACAGAUUGACUGAGAACAUCAAUCUAUUCACAUUGCUGAUAAAACAUCUUAUGGUCAACUAAAUCCCAGAAUGGUUUAGCGAACAAGGAUGAUUCUUCAAUCAGGAUAACUUCACCUCUCACUAUUCAGAUAGAUAAUGAAUGGAUUGGAGUUGCUUCACGUCGCAUUUUUGACAUUGAUGAUGCUUCCAAGGAUAUGGAGGCUAUCCUUUUUACAGCCAAUAUCCAUUGUAGAAAUGUUGGAGAAGCUGGUUGUAAUAUGCUUGAGCUGUCUUUCACAACCCAAUUGGUCACAGUCUUAAAGGUGAAGAAAUGUGGUGGUAGAAUAGUGUAUAAGAAAGAUUUGGAAGAAAUAAAAGAGUUGCAAUGCCAUAGCACUCAAUCUUCUCCAAAUUUUGAACAUAUCCCCCACCACUCUUCUCACAACGAUGGAUCAGUAGGUAGCACUUCCCUUAUAAAACCCGAACGUAAUAAGGAGAGGGAGGAAGAAGGGCUACAACCAAAACGGAUGCAAAAAUUCUUCAAUUUUAUAAUUGCCGAUCGAAGAACAAGCAUUAAUUGUGAUAAACUGCUUCACUAACUUUGUCCUGUUAAUUCCUUUUCAGACAUUUUUAGCUAUGUUAUUUACAAUUUUUUAUUUGAUUUAAAGUAUUCAUUCCUUUUCACAUAAUUGGAAACUUAGUAUAUAUAAACUGAAAAACGACAUGGGACAUAAGGUAUUUCCAAUUUUCUACAAUGUGGAUCCAUCCGAUUUAAGAAAACAGAAAGAGAAAGUUGAGGAGGUGUAAUAGCCCGAUUUUAGGCCUAGUCGGAACAGUGGUUUCGGGACCACAAAUCCGACGAAAAAAAAAAUGUAAUGGCUUGAAUUUUCAGAGGUGUCGGAACGGUGAUUCGAGAUCACUAAAUUCGACAAAUGGGUAGAAAAUAUUAUUAAUUUAGUAAGUAUAAGUUAAAUGUGAAGUUAGGAAAAUUUUUGAAAUAGUGAAUAGUGCACUAGAAAUAAAUAUUAAAAUAAUUAGAAUCAAAAUGAGGUAUCAAGACCUCGGGGAUUUUAAACCGAGCCAUAAAUAUUUUUAUAAAUAUUUAUGGAGUGUUAAAAAGUUAGUAUUAAAGUUUCGUUAAGAAAUUUUAAAGUUCCGAUAAUUAAUUGAACAAAAAGGACUAAAUUGUAACAAAUGCAAAAUUAUAGGAAAUAAUUAAAUAGCUUAAAUGAUAAAAGGAAGAGGGCUUAAAAGGUAAAUAGACCCAAGGCCUAUUUGGGCUGGACGGCAGGGGCAUGAAAUCAGCAGAAAGUAAAGAGAAUUAAGGGUAAAAUUGGAAUAUUGCAAAAUUUGCUUAAUAAAGUUAGGACCAAAGUGGAAUUAUCUAGAUUUCUCUUCAUUUUUUUCUGAAUUCUCAUCAGCUAAAACACCAUGGAAGGGCUUCUUCAAGCUGGUUCUUCAUAUUUUUAUUACAAGUAAGUUCAAUUCUUGACUAUUUCUUGAAAUUUUUGUAUUUUUAUGACUUUUACAACUAGGCCCACUUGUUAAAUUCAUUAGUUUUUGAUUUUAUGAAAGAAGUUGAAAGUUGAUAUGAAUAUGUGCUGGAAGUAUAUGAUGAUUUAUCAUGAAAUUAGAGCUUUAAAUUGUUCAUAUGCUGAUUUUAUUGAAAGAAUUGAAUAGAAAGUGAAUGUUUGGGACCUAAUAGUAAAAGAGUUUGAAGAUAGAGUUAUAUGUGGAAAUUCUGAAUUUCAAUAGUUGUGUAACAACUUAUAAUGCCUAGUAAAGUAAUAAUAGAGAAAAUUAGAUUAAUUGAGGGGUUAAUUGAGAAAGGACCGAAUUGUAUAAACUGUGAAAUUUGGGGCAAAAUGGAAAUCGNNNNNNNNNNNNNNNNNNNNNNNNNNNNNNNNNNNNNNNNNNNNNNNNNNNNNNNNNNNNNNNNNNNNNNNNNNNNNNNNNNNNNNNNNNNNNNNNNNNNNNNNNNNNNNNNNNNNNNNNNNNNNNNNNNNNNNNNNNNNNNNNNNNNNNNNNNNNNNNNNNNNNNNNNNNNNNNNNNNNNNNNNNNNNNNNNNNNNNNNNNNNNNNNNNNNNNNNNNNNNNNNNNNNNNNNNNNNNNNNNNNNNNNNNNNNNNNNNNNNNNNNNNNNNNNNNNNNNNNNNNNNNNNNNNNNNNNNNNNNNNNNNNNNNNNNNNNNNNNNNNNNNNNNNNNNNNNNNNNNNNNNNNNNNNNNNNNNNNNNNNNNNNNNNNNNNNNNNNNNNNNNNNNNNNNNNNNNNNNNNNNNNNNNNNNNNNNNNNNNNNNNNNNNNNNNNNNNNNNNNNNNNNNNNNNNNNNNNNNNNNNNNNNNNNNNNNNNNNNNNNNNNNNNNNNNNNNNNNNNNNNNNNNNNNNNNNNNNNNNNNNNNNNNNNNNNNNNNNNNNNNNNNNNNNNNNNNNNNNNNNNNNNNNNNNNNNNNNNNNNNNNNNNNNNNNNNNNNNNNNNNNNNNNNNNNNNNNNNNNNNNNNNNNNNNNNNNNNNNNNNNNNNNNNNNNNNNNNNNNNNNNNNNNNNNNNNNNNNNNNNNNNNNNNNNNNNNNNNNNNNNNNNNNNNNNNNNNNNNNNNNNNNNNNNNNNNNNNNNNNNNNNNNNNNNNNNNNNNNNNNNNNNNNNNNNNNNNNNNNNNNNNNNNNNNNNNNNNNNNNNNNNNNNNNNNNNNNNNNNNNNNNNNNNNNNNNNNNNNNNNNNNNNNNNNNNNNNNNNNNNNNNNNNNNNNNNNNNNNNNNNNNNNNNNNNNNNNNNNNNNNNNNNNNNNNNNNNNNNNNNNNNNNNNNNNNNNNNNNNNNNNNNNNNNNNNNNNNNNNNNNNNNNNNNNNNNNNNNNNNNNNNNNNNNNNNNNNNNNNNNNNNNNNNNNNNNNNNNNNNNNNNNNNNNNNNNNNNNNNNNNNNNNNNNNNNNNNNNNNNNNNNNNNNNNNNNNNNNNNNNNNNNNNNNNNNNNNNNNNNNNNNNNNNNNNNNNNNNNNNNNNNNNNNNNNNNNNNNNNNNNNNNNNNNNNNNNNNNNNNNNNNNNNNNNNNNNNNNNNNNNNNNNNNNNNNNNNNNNNNNNNNNNNNNNNNNNNNNNNNNNNNNNNNNNNNNNNNNNNNNNNNNNNNNNNNNNNNNNNNNNNNNNNNNNNNNNNNNNNNNNNNNNNNNNNNNNNNNNNNNNNNNNNNNNNNNNNNNNNNNNNNNNNNNNNNNNNNNNNNNNNNNNNNNNNNNNNNNNNNNNNNNAUAUGAAUGAUUUGUGUAUAAUUGGUCAUAUGUUUGAUUAUAAUUGAUAGAUGAUGAAAUAGAAAUGAUGCUUAAAUUUGUGCAUUAUUGGACAUGGUUUAAGCUCAUGUGUGAAAAUAAAGUUUCAUAGCAUGUGUGUAUGGUAUAUUCGGUAUAUGAUUUGGCAUGAAAUAAUGUCAUGAAUGGUUUAUCAUGUGAUUAGUUCCAAAAAGAGUUAUGUUUCAAUACACUAGCUUGCAACUAUGGUUGAAUGAUAUGUUUAUAUCUUGUGUAAUGUGCAUAGGAAACAAGUGUGGAAGAUAAUGAAAUAGUAAGUUCAUAUGGCUGAAAUUUAAUGAUUAAAUGUUAAUUUCAUGAAUUAUAUAAUGUAUGAUGAAAUGUAUUUAUUGUUGAAAUGAGAAUAAAAUAAAAAUGUGAAAAGUUAUAGAAACAUGUUAAUUAUUUUGAAAGUUUUUAUUUAGAUGAAAUUUUAUAACUCGGUUAAAUACGUUUACAAGUGUAUGUGUUUUGGUAAUGCCUCGUACCUUAUUCCGGUGUUGGAUACGGGUAAGGGGUGUUACAGGAGGCCUUUGCCAAACACGAAGAGAGAUACAAGGAAGAUAGAGACAAGAUCCAAAGGUGGCGAAACGCUUUGAUUCAAGUGGCUAACAUUAAGGGAUGGCAUUUAAAUAACAGGUAAUUCUUUCUUUUCUUCUCUACUUUCUAGUUUAUUUGAAAAGUGUCAUAUUUCAAUAAAAGAGCAAAUUUUGUAUUCUGGUUCCGCAACAGAUCUUGCUUUCUUAUUCUUGGUUUUUGUUUGCUUCCAUUAUGAUUCAAUGAGAUACAAAAUGCAUUUGAAAGAUAUCAACAAAAUUUUAUUCAAAAAAAUUAAAAUUUCUUUCUUCACAGGCACGAAUCAGAAUUUAUUAGAGACAUUGUUAUGAAGAUAUCAGCAAAACUAUGUCAAACAUAUCCAGUUACUCAUAGCGACUUAGUUGGAAUUAGUGAACGCUUGGAGGAUUUGUAUUUGAAAAUAAAUAUUGGGGAAAUGAUGUCCGCAUUAUAGGAAUUUGCGGAAUGGGUGGCAUCUGUAAAACGACACUCGCAAGAGUUGCUGACACUCAAAUGUCACCUCAUUUUGACGGUAAAAGCUUUAUUGCUGAAAUUCGAGAAGUUUCAGACAAAUGAGGACUAGUUUUCUUUACAAAAACAACUUCUUUCACAGAUCUUUCAUGAUGAAUGCUUCAACUUUUUCAAUGUUCACGAAGGGAAUGCCAUAAUUAACCAUAGCUUGUCUCACAAAAAGGUUCUUGUUGUUCUUGAUAAUGUUGAUAACAUACAACACUUAAAAUGCUUGGUUGGAAGGUGUGAUUGGUUCGGAUUAGGGAGUAGAAUCAUUGUAACAACAAGAGACGAACAUUUGCUUCGAUGUUGCUAAGUUGAUGAUGUGUAUAUGCCCACAACACUGAAUCCCAAAGAUGCACUUCAACUUUUCAAUUUGAAAGCUUUCCAUAGUGAUACAGUGUCGAAAGAUGAUUUCAUUGAACUUUCUAAACAUCUUGUAAAUUAUGCCGGUGGGCUCCCUCUAGCUCUUGAAGUUUUGGGUUCCUUUUUGUGCGGUAGAGAUGCUGCUCAAUGGAGAAGUGCGAUUGAAAGACUAAAAAGAGAUUCUAAAAAAGAAAUCCUCGAUAAACUUUGAAUCAGUUUUGAUGGAUUGGAAGAAAGAGGGAAGAAUAUAUUUCUAGAUAUAGCAUGCUUAUUCAAUGGGGAGAAGAAAGAUUUUGUAAUGAAAGUAUUGAAUGGUUGUGAGUUUUUUCCCGAUAUUGGAAUUGAUGUUCUCAUUAAGAAAUCUUUAAUAAAAGUCGAUGAUGGCAACCAAUAUUUGUGGAUGCAUAGCUUGUUGCAAGAAAUGAGAAGAAAAAAUGUUACAGAAAAAUGUGUUGAUGAACUUGAAAAACGUUCCAGAUUGUGAGAGGAAACGAAUGUCCAUCAUAUCCUAACAAAAAAUACUGUAAGCCAUUCAACAAAAUUUACAUACUAUUUCUUUUCCUUUUUAUAGAAUAUCUAAUCAAUAUAUAAUAUAAAUUCAAAGCUUAGUCUAAUUGGUAGAUAUGACGAUCUUAAAAAGUGAUAUUUGGUACUUUUGAGAUGAAUUAUGUUUGAUGUUUACAAAUAUUAAAAAGAAUUUGUAGAAAUAAAUAUUUAAUUUCAUUGCAUUAAAAUUUCAAUAGUUUUAUCUUACAGGAUGCACCAUUUAUUUUGUUUUUUUAAUUUUUGUUCUUGAAUUUUUUAGGCUACAGAAAUGAUUGAAGGCAUAAUCAUUGAUAAUAAAAGGUAAUACAUAUAACAUGAUAUCUUUGUGUACUGUAAAUAAUAAUUUUUUUAAACUCCAUAUUUCAAUGUUUAAUUAUGAAAUUUAGCUAGCAACAUAGUACUCUUUCAAAAGAAUCAAUAGAGAAAUAUGUAUUUUUUAAAUAUUAAUGGUAUAUAUUUAAUUAGAGGUGUUUAUGAGCUGGAUCAGGCCUAUGCAAGAUAUUUAGAUUAUUUUUCUAAACUAGGGCUUGAAUCGAAAAAUGGGCUUAUUUUUUACCCAAUCCCGACCCGAUUUAAGAAAAGUAAACUCAAGCCCAAUCUAGACCAUCCAUAUUUGAUUUUUUUUAGAUUAAUUUUAUUUAAAAUUAUUUUUAAAAUAUAUUAUAUUGAAUACACUAAAAAAGUUCAAAAUAAAUGUUUCUAACACAUUAAAAAGUAUUUAUAUUAAAAAAUACUACCGUAAAUAUAAUAAAUAUUUUAUUAAAUUAAAGAAUUAUGCAUUGUUUUGAUUUUGGAAGGUUGUACCAAAUUAGUGGAUGUUCAUCCAUCAAUCGGAGUGGUUAAGAGCCUUAAACUUUUGAAUUUAAGAGACUGCAAAAGUAUUGGGAGUCUUCCGACCAAAAUUGGAAAUUUUUUCGGGUUGCUCAAGUCUUGUAAGGUUUCCGGAGAUUGAUGGAAAAAUGGAACGUCUAAAAACUCUUGAUCUUUCAGGUUGUUAUAGAGUGGAAAAUUUAUCGGAGAAUUUGCAGCAAGCAAAGUUUUUUGAAGAGCUCGACUUGAGUGAAACAGCCAUAACAGAACCACCAUCCUUCAUUUUUCAAUUUAAAAAUCUUAAAGUUCUGUCUUUCAAUGGGCGCAAGGGACCAUCAUAUAAGUUACUACCAAAUUUGCCUUCUCUUUUCAAGGUAACCCAAGGAAGAAGGACGAAUCCCGUGCCUCGGAUGUUGCCUUUGUUGUCAGGUUUGAGUUCUUUAAGAGAGCUAAAACUAAGGGACUGCAAUCUUUGUGAAGGAGAUAUUACACGUGAUAUUUCUGGUCUAUCCUGUUUGGAUAAACUAGAUCUUAGUGGUAACAAUUUCAUCAGCGUACCUGCAUCUCUUACUCGACUCUCGAAGCUUGCAAAUCUUAUAUUGUCAAAUUGCAACAUGUGCACUCUUGGUGAAGCAGAUAUUCAUAGUGAUAUUUCUUGUCUAUCCUCUUUGAAAAGUCUUAAUCUUAGUGGUAACAAUUUCAUCACCAUUCCUUUGGCUCUUACUCAACAUUCCGGGCUGCAAUCGCUUGUAUUGUCAGAUUGCAAGAUGCUUAAAUUGUUGCCUGCGCUAUCAACAAAUAAACAAGUGCAGAUAGAUGGUUGUUCUUCACUUGAAGUAGUUGCAAGUGCAUCAAAAUUAUGCAAUUUAACGGGUCGUGGUUACAUCAGUGCCAUUAACUGCUUCAAAUUGGCUGAGAAUAUCAAUGCAUUAGCACUGCUGAAAAAACAUAUUAAGGUCGAUUAAUCUCUUUUUUCUCCCUUACAAAAUCUCCUACUUGAGAAAUUAUGGUUUCAGUUACCAAAAGACUUGUGUUGAAGCUUGGGUUGCGUUGCUCACACCCGGUGGCAGCGGCUAGGCCUAGCAUGUCCAGCAUUAUAUCGUAUUUGGACGGUGUUGCUUCAUUGCCCGAUCACUUGAGCCCUGUUAUCAAAGCUUGAAAAUACCCUGCAGGAUAAAAAAAAGUGACUCUUCGAUUAAGAUACAGGUUGAUUGGUGGGGCUAUAUUUUGUUGACAGGUAGGAAUCAGCCCAUAACAAAAGAUCACCUUUUUCUUCGUUAUUGGUCGCGUGAUAAAUUAUUUCCAUUUUCCUUGAAGGAUAAAUAUGGUGACUGUGAGCUUGAGGUGUCUUUCUUACAUCCAUGUAAACCCAAUGCUAAGGUGAAGACGUGUGGUGUCAGAAUAAUGUAUGAGAAAGAUUUGGAAGAAAUAAAAGAGUUGCAGUGCCAUACCACUCAAUCUUCUCCAAAUUUUGAACACAUCCUCCAACACUCUGCUCACAACCAUAGAUCAGUAGGUAGCACUUCUCACAUCAUACAGAAAAUGUAAGAUCUACGAGGAAGCAGAGGAAGAAGGGCCGCAACCAAAAUGGAUGCAAAAAAUUUUCAAUUUUAUGAUGGGCCAAUCGGGGAAGAAGCAUUAAUUUUGGUAAAGUACUUAACCAACCAUGUACUAUUACUUCUAUUUCAUUUAAAAUAAUCAAUUUAAAUUUAUUUAUGUAUAAGAUAUGAUCUCUUUAAUAUAUAUUAAAAAAUUUUAAAAUUUUUAGCCAUACAAUCGUAUUGAAUAUGUACAUAUCUCAAAUGUUGAUAAUAUAAUUUUUUAUACCACUUAAAAUUUGUCACUUAAUUUAUAUUUUUUUUACUAUUUAAAAUUUUAGUCAUCAAUUCAUUCCUUUUUACAUAAUUGAAAUGUGUACAUUUUAAUUGGUUUUACUUAUUUAUUAAAAUUUUAUUUUCAUUAUAUAUAUUCGCUUACAUUUAUAUUUUAUUUAUAGGUUGAAGUAAAUAUAAUCAAUUUGAGAUAGAGAUGUGAAGAAAAAUGGAUAGUUUCAGGACAAAGCAGGUAAUAAUAAAGUGAAAAAUCCUAUAACGAGGAUAAAAUCAAAUUUUUGGGACGGUCAUAGUACAUUUACAAAUGACUAAAUUUAAAAAAAAAAAAAUUUGAAGGGCUAUGGCCCAUGGGCCUCUACAUGGCUCCGUCGUUGCAUCCAUGCAAAAUCGAGAAAAAAAAUGAAUAAGACGAUCUUCUAACUCCCUACCCCAAGCCCUAAUAUAGGCAGGGGCGAAGUCAAGAAAUUUUUGAGGGGGUCGAAAUUAAAUUGUAUUUUUUAUGAUAGUAAAAAUAUAAUUUUACCAUUUUAAUAGUUUGUAUAUUUAUAAUUUUAAUAGUUUAUAACAAAUAGAAAAUACCUACUCCUAGAUCAAUAUAAAAGCAUAGGUUAUAAGAUUAACCAAUCUCAAACAUAUGUUGAUUAUAUUUAGGUAAUAGUUGGUAGGUUUAGCUAACAUGAAUAUAAAUUAGAAAUCAUCAACUGAAAUAUUAUAUAGAUAUAUAUAUAUAUAUAUAUUUACCAACUUUCGAAGGAAAUAUGAAACAUAAAUCAAUGGGUGAACAAAUCAAUGAAGUAAAAUGCAGAUAGUAUUGAGAUGCAAUAUGAUUAAAUCUCUACUUGCUGCCUAUGGCAUGAGCAUCAAUGGUGGAACCUAAACAAUUAAGCUGAAUGAUGUUCACCACUGAUCCUAUGAAUCAAAACCAGCCAAUAACAAGUCAACUGUCAAAAAGAAUUCAAGUAUGAAUCUUAAUCUCUCCUCACUACAAUGCUCAAACAACAUGAGAGCAGUAACAUACAAAGAAAUUUCGGCCCAAACUGAUAUGAUAAUCAAAAUCCAAGAUAAGAAAAUAUCAACUCCAAUAGCUCUACCAUGAAACUAACCCAAUCUAGCUUGAGAAUGAAAACUGUCAAAGGUUGCCUCCAGCUCCAUGUGUUUAUCCCACAAGUUUUGAGAUCUGUUGCAAAUUCUGGAUUUAUAUAAUCCCAUUGAUAAAUAUGGGAAAAAUGGUGAGGAUGCUGAAAAUCAUUAUAUGAACCUAAAAUCAUGAUAAUAAGUCAAAGUCAAAGGUAACUUACUUCUCCACCAAGACUGAAUUGCCAGAACCCAAAAAGGGGCUCAAAAGAUUAUUUUGACUUUGUGUUGACAAAUCUGUUGACAAUUUGCAUUGUCACCAAAUAUCAGUUCAAACACUUGUAUAAAACAAGCAUUCAGUAAAUAAAAUUGAAGGUCUUACAGCUCAGGUGUUCCUCCUUGUAUGGCUAAAGCUCCAAUUCAGCAGUGGCAUUCCCAAAGAUUUGUCAUUCCCUAAUCAUACAUCAACACAGAAGCAAAGGAUAUAAGAAAAAACAAUCUCACAAAUAACCAAUCUUUCUAAUGAAUCAAGAUAUGAUUGAAGGAAAAUGGAGCAAGUACUGAGAUACCAGAUGAUACCAACGCUGGAACUAAACAAUGAAGCUGAACCGAGUCCACCAUUGGUCCUAUGAAUUAAAAAAAAAACAACCAAUAACAAGUCAACUGCCAAUAAGAAUUAAGUAUGAAUUUUAAUAUCUGAAUUUUGGUACCCACCAAAAUCCCCUACGGACAUUUUAUCAACUCCAAAGCAGAAUCAUUUUGCUACUGUAUUGAAAUCUCCAGUUACUGUUCAAUUUUCCUCCAAAUUAAUUAAUAUAUAUGGAGAAUUUCCUUCUUGGACAAUAUAUGCUAUAUCUACAACAGAACACAGACACGGCAGGGGAAUGAAGAUGAGAAAAAUAAUAGUAAGCAACAAUCACAACUGUUGAACAAAUUUCCAAUUUUAUGUUUCAUAAAUUAUGCUUUUAACAUUUACAAUGUGGAACUACAAGGUUUCAGUAUGGUAAAGCACCUUCUAGAAGACAAGUAAUUUAUAAAGCAGAGCAAGUUUAGAUUCAUCCUGGUUGGUUUUAAUUAAUUAAAGCACUUCAUUUUGUGUCACUAAUUUAUAAGUUGAAAAUUUACUAUUAACAAUUGUGGAAAACAGAAGUAUGACAAUAUGAAAAAUAAAUGAAAAAACUGAAAAAUUUAUGAUAAUAUGAAAAAAUGAGAUGAAAAUGAAACCCCUACCUAUGCGUUUGAUGACAUAAUUGAGAAGUUGAAAGUCCUCAAAAGCAGAGCCCAAGAUGGAAAGAAAUACAAACUAUUUCAAUCUUUUAACUCCUCCACCCCCUUCUUCACCAUCAUGGCUAAAGCUUCUUUUGUUCCCAGCAUGUCUCUUUUCAGUAGCAUCUGUAUCAUCUGUAGCAUCUGUAGCAUCUGUAUCAUCUGUAUCACCCUCUGCAUCCACGUAAAAUACAUGAACACCACAUCUCUCCACCUUGACAUACUCUUUUCCUCCGCUUCUUAAAUCCAAAAGUCUGAUGUAGCAUUUGAAUGAUGCCUCCUCAUAAUUCUGGUCUUCUUUAACCAUGUCGGCGGUAGAUAGAAUAAACACGUGAUAAUCCUUGUACUUCUCUGGCUCAGGAAACAAUAACAAAGAUAUUUUACUUCUUAGCUUUUUAUAACCACCACCACCACCAUCAUUGCCACCAUCGGCGGCUGUAAGUUGGUACUUACAAAUACAUUCAACAUCACUAAUGUAACGGCAGUGAGUGAGAUCAGCCACAAGGCAGAUAACAAAAACCAAAAAUCUGCUCCCACCACCCCCAUUUGGGGCUAUCUUCAAACUUAAGGAAGAAUUCAUGCUCUGACACUUGAACUUAUUUGCUGAAAUUUUGUUUCCUGGGAAACAACAAAUCAAACUUGACAAAUCAGGAAUCUUGCCACAGCAAUCAUAUCUCGCUGCCCAUUUCUUAGCUAGGGAUCGAAUUUUGAGCAUGGCAUUUGCCUCAAUGUUAUUAAUUGACUCUUGAUUCAAGUUGAAGCAAUUACGGAAUAGCAUGGUAAACUCAUAAAAACAAGCAUCACCAGCAUCUAAAUAAUCAAACUGAUAUAAAUUUUGAUCUGCAAAGGAAACUUUUUCCAAUGAUGUGCAGUCAAGUACAUUCAACUUGAGCAGAUAUGGUGGAAGCUCUGAGAGUAAUUUGAGGCUCUUGCAACGAUCCAUAUGCAUAUACUUAAGGCUUUUAAACCUCAAGCUUGGUGAGCGCACAUCAACAGUUGGAAAUUUAACGAUUGGACAACCACUAAGAUCUAGAGAAAAAAGGGAUUUCAACUUUGAAAUAUUGCUUGAUACAUCUUUUACCAUUGAGUUUGUCAAGGUCAACCAUUGAAGUCUGUCGAGAUGCUCAAUGAAAUCAGGUACUUCUUUUAUUCCGGUUUCUGAUAAAUCUAACUCAUAAAAGUAAUUUGGGAUCUCCGGAAACUUCUUGAGACUACGACAUCCCUCAAGGCGAAGGGUUUUAAGUGAUGUCAAACGGGCGAGGGAAGGAAGUUUAACCAGACUUUCGCAAUUUUCACAGUCAAGUCUUUCCAGGUUGAGGGCUCCUAAUAAAUUAGGGAUCUUCUUUAAAUUUUUGCAACUGAAAAGGUUAAUUUUCCGUAAAUGAACAAGAUCCUGCACAUGAUGAGAACAUAUAUAAAGUAGUUAGAGCAUCAUUUUACUUAGACUCUUAUCAAAAUAAAAAUUUAUAUUACCCACCAUCAAUACAUCAAAUUGUUUCGUUUAAAAAAUAGAAUAAAAUCUUUUAUAUUUAUUUUUCUAAAAAGUUAAUAAAAAUAUGUUAUUUAAAUGCUAUAUCAAUUAUAAAUUCUUUUUCUUAAAAAAAUUCUUGGAUGAAGAAAGUAUAAAAGUAUAUAUACCUGAUGAACUUCGUUCCAAAGUUGUUCCAUGUUUUCAUAUGGUAAUUCCAAUGCAACAAGGUUCUUUGGAUUAAAACUUGAUGAUAAAGAUUUGAAGGGGUAAUAACCCCAUCGGAGAUACCUUAGCUCAUCCGGAAGAGAUAUAAUAUCAUCUUGGUCUGUAUGUAGCUUCUUAUAAUCCUCAUGCUCUUUCCUCAACCAACUCGAAGGAAAAUAGAAGAAAAUACAUCUAAGAUUAAUCAUGCUUUCAAAAACAGAAGGUUGGAAUAAUAGGUUACCCAUACGUGACAUGUCUACCUUUAUUUCUUGAAUUCGAUCAGUUCCCUGAUAACAAAAACCAAUUUAUCAAAUAUUAGCAUGGAGAAAUUUAUGGACAUUCCAUUAAAUAACUCAUAAAAAAAAUAAUUAUAUUAGGAUAGACGUAGACUAAUUGAGCACUUUUAGAAACUUUUACAUACAAAAAGUGUUUUCUUUUCUUUUAUUUUUAUUUUUUCAAAUCAAUACAUUAAGUAUUUAAUUAAGUCAUAAACAUUGAGCCAUUAUGCGUCUAGUAUGAUGAUAAUUAUUUUAUUUUCUAAAUACUAAUUAAAAGGAUAACUCCCUACCCCAAGCCCUAACAUAGGCCAGGGCAAAGUCAAGACAUUUUUGAGGGGGUCGAAAUUAAAUUGUAUUUUUUAUGAUAGUAAAAAUGUAAUUUUAUCAUUUUAAUAGUUUAUAUAUUUAUAAUUUUUAAAGGAUUAAAUUAAAUUUUUAUCAUUUUUAGGAGAGCCAAACUGUAAUUUUGUCAUUAUAAAUUUAAAAUUUUAAGGGCCAUAAAUGGAAAUUUUCCAUUUUAGAGGUUGGUGCCAUAUAAAAAGAAAAUAAAAUAUAAAUAAAAAACAAAAAAACCAUGCAAGGCUUAGUCCUCAUUCAUUCUGUAGGUUAAUCUCUCCUUGCAGGACCUCAGGUCGAAUGAUUUAUUUAACCAUCAAAAUUUAUAAAAAAAUUUAUUUUAGCUUUUUUAAUUUAUUUAAUUUUUUGCUUUUUUAGCUUUUUUUACUUAUGUUUUCUAUCAAAUCGCCCUAAAAUUUAAUAGAAAGGUUAAUUUUUUUUUAAUUUUGCUGAUAUAGCAUACAUGUAGAUUAUCAUAUGAAUGGCAUAUCACCAUUUAAUUAAUUUUUUAAAAUUUAAAAAAAUAAAAAAUAUUUAAAAAUUAAUUAAAUACUGACAUAUUAUUCGCAUGGCAAUCUAUACUGCAUCAGUAAAAUGAAUAAAUAUUAAUUUUCUUAUUUAUUUUAAAGUGUUUUGACAAAAAAUUUAAAAGAAAACACAAACUUAAGAAAACUUGCAAUUAUUGUAGGCUCCAUUUUAUCAACACCCACCUUGUUGGAUUCAUAUGCAUCACUCAUUUAUGACCAAAUGAAAAGGUUAUAGAGAAAUUGCUUAGAAACCACCUUUAUUCUUCCCUGGAAAUUUGAUCUGUUUCUAGUUUCUUUCAGACGUAUUGAGCGAUCAAUUUUCUGAUUUUCAACACUACAUCCACAUAUUUUUUUCUCUCGCUCAUCUUCAUGUCGUCAUUACCUUCAACUUCUUCGUCCAAUUCUAGAAAGAAAUAUGAUGUUUUCUUGAGUUUUAGAGGUGAAGAUACCCGCACCAACUUUACCGAUCAUCUCUAUGAUGCUUUAAGUAGGAGUGGGAUCGUCACUUUCAGGGAUGAUCCAAAGCUGGAGGCCGGCGAAGAGAUCGCGCCUGAACUCUUUACAGCAAUUCAGCAAUCAUGGUGUUCGGUAAUCGUUUUUUCGCAAACUUAUGCCUUUUCAAGUUGGUGCUUGGAGGAGCUUGCUGAGAUUGUUAAACAACAUAACAACGACGGCCAUAUAGUGUUUCCAAUUUUUUACGAUGUUGAUCCAUCUGAUUUAAGAAAACAAAAAGAGAAAGUGGAAGAAGCCUUUGCUAGACAUGAAGAGAGAUACAAAGAAGAUAGGGAGAAGAUCCAAAGGUGGCGAAAUGCUUUAAUUCAAGUGGCUGGAAUCAAGGGAUGGCAUUUAAAUAACAGGUAACUCUUUCUUUUCUUCUCUAUUUUCUAUUUUUUGGGAUAUAUAUGUAUAAACUUUUUUCUUUCUUUCUAAUCCUAUGUGUUUAAUUGAAAAGUGUCUUGGUUCUUGUUUGCUUCCAAACUAUAUUAUGUUUCAUGAUUCAUUGAAAAAGAAAGUGCAUUUGGUAAUAUGAAAAAAUAAAUUAUUCAAAAAAUUAAAAUUUCUUUUAUUGUAGGCAUGAAUCGGAAUUUAUUAGAGAGGUUAUUAAGAAGAUAUCAGCAAAACUAUGUCACCCAGUUACUCAUAGUCACUUGGUUGGAAUGACUGAACGCUUGGAGGAUUUAUAUUUGAAAAUAAACAUUGGGGAAAAUGAUGUCCGCAUUAUAGGGAUUUGCGGAAUGGGUGGUAUCGGUAAAACAACACUCGCAAGACUUGCUUAUAAUCAAAUGUCACAUCAUUUUGAAAGUAAAAGCUUUAUUGCUGAUAUUCGAGAAGUUUCAGACAGAUGUGGAUUAGUUUCUUUACAGAAACAACUCCUUUCGGAGAUUUUUCAUGAUGAAUGCUUCAAAUUUUUCAAUGUUCAUGAAGGGAAUGAUAUAAUUAGUCAUAUGUUGUCUCGCAAAAAGGUUCUUAUUGUUCUUGAUGAUGUUGAUAACAUACAACACUUAAAAUGCUUGGUUGGAAGGCAUGAUUGGUUCGGAUUAGGGAGUAGAAUCAUUGUAACAACAAGAGAAGAACAUUUGCUUCGGUCUUGGCCAGUUGAUGAUAUGUAUGAGCCCACAACAUUGAAUCCCAAAGAAGCGCUUCAACUUUUCAGUCUGAAAGCUUUUCAUAGUGAUACAGUGCCGAAAGAUGAUUUCAUUGAGCUUUCUUACCAUGUUGUAAAAUAUGCUGGUGGGCUCCCGUUAGCUCUUGAAAUUUUGGGUUGCUUUUUAUGCGGUAGAGAUGCUACUCAAUGGAGAAGUGCAAUUGAAAGACUUAAAAGAGAUUCUAAUAAAAAAAUUCUCGAUAAACUUCGAAUCAGUUUUGAUGGACUGGAAGAAAGGGAGAAGAAUAUAUUUCUAGAUAUAGCAUGCUUCUUCAAUGGGGAGGAGAAAGAUUUUGUAAUGAAAGUAUUGGAUGGUUGUGAGUUUUUCCCAGAUAUUGGUAUUGAUGUUCUCAUUAAAAAAUCUCUCAUAAAAGUCGAUGAACACAAAUAUUUGUGGAUGCAUAACUUGUUGCAAGAAAUGGGAAGAAAAUUUGUUAGAGAAAAAUGUGUUGAUGAACCUGGAAAACGUUGCAGAUUGUGGGAGGAAAGAGACGUCCAUCAUGUCCUAACAAAAAAUACUGUAAGUCAUUUAACAAAAGUUACAUACUAUUUCUAUUUUGUUAUAUAAUAUCAAAUCAAUAUAUGAUAUAAAUCCAAAGCUUAGUCUAAUUGGUUGGUUGAUACAACUAUUCUUAAAAAGUGAUAUUUAGUAAUUUUGAGAUAAGUCAUGUUUGAUGUUUACAAAUAUUAAAAAGGAUUUGUAGAAAUAAAUAUUUAAUUUCAUUGCAUUACCCUCUUUAGAGCAUAAUAUUUGUAGAAAUUGUUUUACUUCAUUUAAAAUACUUUAUUUAUUAUAUUUAGAAUAUAAUAAUGCUAAAUAAAAAUGUAAGUUUUUAAAAUUUUGUUUUCUUAUUUUCUAUUCUUGAUUUUUCUUAGGGUACAAAAAUGAUUGAAGGUAUAAUCAUUGAUAAUAGAAGGUAAGAAGACACAUAAACUUAUAUUUAUGUGUACUGUAAAUAAUUAUUUUAUUUUUUAAAAUAUGAUAAGAAAUUAUAGCAAAACCUUUUACACUCAAUAUUUCAAUGUUUAAUUAUGAAAUUUAUCUAAUAGCGUAUUACUCUUUCAAAAGAAUCAAUAGAGAAAUGUAUGUCUUUUUGAAAUAUUAAUAGUAUAUCAGUGAAUCAGAUAAUUUUUAGAUAUUGAAUGUUUUUGUAUAUUAUGAAGCUCAUUUUCAUUUUGUUUUAUUCUUGAUUAUUAGGGAAUCGAGCAAGAUGCUCAACUUGAGUGUCGAUGCCUUCUCAAAAAUGAAAAAAUUGAGAUUGCUCAAAGUGCUUUGCCUAUCAAAUUGUGAUGAUCUCAAAUUUCUUUCUAAUGAGUUACGGCUUCUAGAUUGGAAAAGAUGCCCUUUAAGAUCGUUGCCUUCAAGCUUCCAACCGGACAACCUUGUUGCACUUCUUUUACCAUAUAGUCGCAUUCAACAACUGUGGAAGGGAAAUAGAGUAAGAAUUAACUCAUCUCAUCCUUGUAUUUUAGCUUAUUUUAAUAUAAAUGAUUAAACUUUGAUUAAGGUAAAAAAAAACAAUAAUAAGCAUUAUUAUAGUUUUCUCAUUUGUUUCUAAUUUAUUGUGAUCUUCAACAGCCGUUGUGUAAGUUGAAAAUGAUGAACCUUGNNNNNNNNNNNNNNNNNNNNNNNNNNNNNNNNNNNNNNNNNNNNNNNNNNNNNNNNNNNNNNNNNNNNNNNNNNNNNNNNNNNNNNNNNNNNNNNNNNNNACUUCACAACGGCAUCAAAUCUUGAAGUUCUAAUAUUGAAAGGUUGUACCAAAUUAGUGGAUGUUCAUCCAUCAAUCGCAGUACUUAAGAGCCUUAAAGUUUUGAAUUUAAGAGAUUGCAAAAGUCUUAGGAGUCUUCCGACCAUAAUUGGAAUGGAAUCUCUUGAAACAUUAAUUCUUUCGGGUUGCUCAAGUCUUGUAAGGUUUCCGGAGAUUGAUGGGAAAAUGGAACGUCUAAAAACUCUAGAUCUUUCCGGUUGUUAUAGAGUUGAAAAUUUAUCAGAGAAUUUGCAGCAUGCAAAGUUUUUGGAAGAGCUCGACUUGAGUGAAACAGCCAUAACAGAACUACCAUCCUUCAUUUUUCAAUUUAAAAAUCUUAAAGUUCUGUCUUUCAAUGGAUUCAAAAGAGUAAGGACAAAUUCCAUCGCUUCGAUGUUACCUUCAUUGUCAGGUUUGAGUUCAUUAAGAAGGCUAAGUCUAAUGGACUGCAAUCUUUGUGAAGGAGAUAUUCCACGUGAUAUUUCUGGUCUAUCCUCUUUGGAAGAACUUAAUCUUAGUGGUAACAAUUUCACCAGCAUACCUGCAUCUCUUACUCGACUCUCCAAGCUUGAAGAGCUUAUAUUGUCAAAUUGCAACAUGUGUACUCUUGGCGAAGCAGAUAUUCAUGGUCUAUCCUCUUUGAAACGGCUUUUUCUUAACGGUAACAAUUUCAUCACCGUUCCUUUGGCUCUGACUCAACUUUCCGAGCUUAAAUUGCUUGCAUUAUCAAAUUGCAUGAAGCUUAACUCGUUGCCUGAGCUACCAACAAGUAUAGUAGUUCUGAGUAUAGAUAGUUGUUCUUCACUUGAAGUAGUUGCAAGUCCAUCAACAGUAUGCAAGUUAGUGGAUUCGGCUGCUAUUAUAGCCUUUAACUGCUUCAAAUUGGCUGAGAAUAUCAACGCAUUAACACUGCUGAGAAAACAUCUUAAGGUCGAUUAUCUCUUUUUUCUGUCAUACUUGAGAAUUUAUGGUUUUAGUUACCAAACGACUUGUGUUCUAUUUUGCAGGCAUUUGCAAAUUCAAAAGAAAAGUUUGAUAUUAUUAUGCCCGGAACUGAAAUCCCAGGAUGGUUUAGCCAACAAAAAGGUGACUUCUUUAUUAAGAUUCCCUUACCUAUCAACCUUCAAGAGGAUUGUGAAUGGAUUGGAGUUGCUUGUUGCUGCAUUUUUGUCAAUAAUGAUGCUUCAAGGGAUGUGGGCUUUAUCGACUGUGGAGCGUUAAUGUAUGGUAGAAAUCGUCGACAGAUUGAGAGGAGAGGCUAUUUGGUGGAUAAACGAUUCGACAAGCCCAUAAUGAAAGAUCAUAUUUUUCUUCGUUAUUGGUCGCGUGAUAAGGUAUAUCCAUUUUCCUUGAAGGAUAAAUAUGGUGGCUGUGAAACCAAUAAUUUGCGGACAACAGAUUGCUUAGAUCAUAAACGUGAUGGGCUUCAUGUGUUUUUCAAUGGUCAUAGCCUUAAGGUGAAGAAGUGUGGUGUUAGAAUAGUGUAUGAGAAAGAUUUGGAAGAAAUAGAAGAGUUGCAGUGCCAUAUCACUCAAUCUUCACCAAAUUUUGAACACAUCCACCAACACACUGCUCAAAACAAUGGAUCAAUAGGUAGCACUUCUGACAUAAAACAAAAACGCAAUAUCUCCGAGGAAACGGAGGAAGAAGGGCUGCAACCAAAGCUGAUGCAAAAAAUUUUCAAUUUUAUAAUGGGCCAAUCAAGGAAGAAGCAUUAACUGUGGUAAACUACUUAACCAAUCUUUUAUUUAAAGUGAUCAAUCUAGACUUAUUUACGAUCCUUCUUACAUACCAAAAACUUAUAAAUCUUUUACUUAUAUUCAACAGGAGCUCAUAUCAUAGUUUAUAUAUAUCAUUUAAAAUUUUAGUUGCUUAUAAAUUCAUUCCUUUUUACAUAACUGAAAUGUGUAAAUUUUGAUUGGUUUCAUUUUUUAUUAAAAUUGUAUUUUCAUUAUAUAUACACUUACAUCUAUAUUUUAUUUAUAGGUUGAAAUAAAUAUAAUCAACUCGAGAUAGAAAUGUAGAGAAAAAUGGAUAGUUUCGGUGACAAAACAGGUAACAAUAAGGUGAAAUCCUUUAAUAAAGAUCAGAUCAUAAUUUGGACCGAGUUAAAAACCAUUUUAUUUUCAUUUGAGACUAACUUAUGUGUUGAAUUUAAUCAGUCAAAAUUGUUUUUAUAUACUUAAUAAUAUUACUGCAACUACUCCUAAUAAAAGUAUCAUUUUAAUUUCAUGGUUUGUAGUAGAAAUAAUAUUACUCCAACUCUUAAGUUUAUGUAUUUUUUUGUAAAGUAUUUAUGUUCAGACAUUUAUUUUUAAAACUUACUCAAGUAUGAAUAUAAAGUGUGCUAGAAAAUCUUUUACGUGUGAGAGACAUAUUCAUAUCAAAUAUAUUUUUUUUUAAAAUUCAAUAAAUUCAUUUUUUGUUCUUGUCUAAUUUUAGGGUUUAGAGAAAUAAAGAUAUGAUUUUUUACUGACAUGAGCAAGAUUUUCAACUGUAGUGUUUUUUGUGAUAUUAACAAAAUUUUCUUGAUUUGAGCUAAGUUAAUAUACUAGUGAUAGAGAAAGGAUUAUAUGAAACUGUAAUUCUACAUCAUUCCUAUACAUUUUCAAUAGGAGAAUGACAACUCAAAAUUUUAGUAUUUUUAGUUGAAUUUGAAUUUUUGGGGAGGAAAAAGCUGAAAAUCAAGAAAAAAAAUAUGUUUUGUUAUUCUCCUAUUAGAAGCUGGUAAGGAUGAUUUGGAAUCACAGUUUUAUAAAAUUUCUUCUCGCUAGUAAUAUAGAUGAUCUCAAUGCAACAAAAAUAACCUUGGUGUUUUAUGUUUGUCCCUAGGCUUAAUAGAAGUACGAAAGUUUGGUCAAAGGAUCAUGCAAGUGAGGGACCAACAAAAGUCUUCAAGUUGAAAUGAAAGCGGACACUUUAGCAAUAAUUAGUUGUUUUUUUACAUGUAAUGUAAAUUAUAGUAUUUUAAAUCAACUUUUUGAAUUUGUUGCUUGUACAAUGUAAAUUCAAAUAGUUAUUUAAUUGUAAUGUGAGUAAAACCUUUUAAAUUAGGCAUAAUGACAAAAAAGGUUCUUAGUGUUUAUAAAAUUUGACAAUUUAACCCUUAUUUUUUUAAGCAAUUAAGCUCUUAACAUUUUAUUUUGAGUCAAAUUAUGGAUUUUUUAAUGCAAAAUGCUUAUUGAACUGUUAAUAGUGUUGACUCGACAUGAAUAGUAAAUUCAUUCCUUUUUACAAAUUUUAGUCACUCAAUUCAUUCCUUUUUACAUAAAUGAAAUGUAUAUAUUUUGAUUGGUUUCACUUUUUUUUUUAAUUUUAAUUUUAUUGUAUAUAUAUAUAUAUUAACUUACAUCUAUAUUUUAUUGUAGGUUGAAGUAAAUCUAAUCAACUUAAUACUGAAAUAUGGAAAAAAAUGGAUAUCUUUUGUGAUGAAGCAUGCAAAAAUAAAGUGAAUCCUUUAAUAAGGAUUAAUCAUAAUUUCAUUUGAGUUAAAAAUCAUUUUAUUUUUAUUAGAGACUAAUUUAUGUGUUCAAUUUAAUCAGUCAAAAUUAUUUUUAUAUAUUGGGAAGAUUAAAUAUAAGUCUUUUAUAGUACUUAAUUAAAUAGGUUUAAUUCGUUCUAAUAAAAGUGACAUUUAAAUUUCAUGGCUUGAAGUACAAAUAAUAGUAUGCCAACUCUUUAGUUUAUAUUGUUUAUAAAGUAUUUAUAUUUAAACAUUUAUUUUUAACACUUAUUCAAACAUGAAAAUAAAGUAUGCUCUUUUAAUUAAUUGGAAAAUCCUUUUUGUGUGUGAGACUUAUUCAACCUUUUUUUUUUCUUUUAAUUCAAUAGAUUAAUUUUUUGUUCUUGUCUAAUUUCUUUUUUCUGUUCUUGUCAAUGGUUGUGUUUUCUGUAAUAUCAACAAAACUUUCUCAAUUUGAGGUAAUUAAGUUAAUAUACCAAUGAUAAUGAUGAUAUCAAUGCAACAAAAAUAAUCUUGGUGUUUUAUGUUUGUCCCCUAGACCGUUAGAAGCAUGGCUCAAAGGAUAAUGCAAGUAAGGAAUCGACAAAAGUCAAGUUGAAAUGGAAGUCAACACUUUCGCAUUUGGAUGAAUUUAGAAAAUUACGAUUUAAAAAAAUAGAAUAUGUUAUUAUAUAAUUUGUUAUUUUUUACUUGGAAUGUAAUGUAAAUUAUACUAUUUUAAAUGGGGUUUUUGAAAUUUUUUUUUGUAAAAUAUAAAUUUAAUUGUAAUGUUAAUAAAACCUUUUAAAUAGUAUACUGACAAAAAAAUGUUCUUAACAUUUAUAAGAUUUUAUUUUGAGUUAAAUUAUAAAUUUUUUUAAUGCAAAAUGCUUAUUAAACCGUUGACGUGAUAUGAAUAGUGAACUCUUUUCAAGGUUGGUCUCAAUUGGAUCAUCUUUCACAAUAGCCUUAUUUUAGUUUAUUAUGUUUUCUCAUUUGUUUCUAAUUUAUGAUGGUCUUCAAUUGCCCUUGUAUAAGUUGAAAUGCGGCCGAGAUGGGAUUGCAUGUGGGAUUCUCUGAUAGACUUUUUCAAUAGUCCUGGUCUACAAGCAAUGGUUGUUUUGAAUAAGUUGUUAUGCUUUCCAUUAUUUUAGGAGUUAGUUUUGCUUUUUACGUUAGUUGUAUAGCAUAUUUAAAGAGGCUAUUUGCUCCCUAAAGAAAAAUAAAUUUCCCAAAGUUAUUUUCUUUGAUCUGUUGCUCACACAACAGUGGUCAUAGAGCCAGGUUAAUUAACGAUAAACAAUAGUUUUUCCCCUCCUUUAUUCAACAGAAAUGGCCUCUGAUAGUUCUGUGCAACCAUCAAUUCCUCGCUUCGAUGGUCACUACGAUCAUCGGAGUAUGUUGAUGGAAAAUUUUCUCAAAUCCAAGGAGUAUUGGCAAGUUGUCUCUAUGGGAAUUUCGGAGUUGGCAGCAGACUAGAAAUUGACGCCUUGAAAUUGAAAGAUCUUAAGGCAAAAAAUUAUCUCUUUCAAGCGAUUGAACGUUCAACCUUGGGGACCAUCCUUUGCAAAGAUACGUCAAAGGAUAUUUGAGAUUCGAUGAAAAAGAAAUUCCAUGGAUCAACUAGAGCAAGGAGGCAGCAGCUUCAGGCACUUCGCUCAGAGUUUGAACUUCAUCGGAUGUAAUCUAGGGAGACCAUUUCAAACUUCUUCUUAAGAACGAUGGUUAUUAUCAGCAAGAUGAGAACAUUUGGAGAGAAAUUAGAUGAUGUGGUUGUAGUCGAAAAAAUUCUUCGCUCAUUGACACCAAAGUUCAACUAAGUGGUAUGUUCCAUUGAGGAAUCAAAAGAUAUUGAUUUUUCAUCCAUUGAUGAAUUGCAAGGUUCUUUGCUGGUUCAUGAAAGAAAAUUGCAGCAGCAAGAUAAUGUAGAAUCAGCAUUAAAAAUUUCAUCAGAUCAUUUGGUUAAAGGCAAUGGAGGACGCAGAUCGAAUAGCCACAAUGACAAAAGUCAAGGCAGAGGUCAUAGCAGAGGUCGUGGUAGAGGAAACUAUGGCUAUCGACAGAAUUCAAGAAACCAAUCUUAGGAAAGAGGGAGAAGACAUGGCAGUUACCGAACAUAGUCAACAGACAAAUCAAAUGUUGAGUGCUAUCGUUGUCACAAGUAUGGUCACUACAAAUCAGAAUGCCGGACCACUUUCUUAGAUACAUAUGGGGAAGAAUCCAAUUUUAUUGGAAAAGAAGGUGAGCAAGAUGAAGAGAUAUCAUUGUUGAUGGUAUGUCAUGCAAAAGAACCUACCAACAAGCAUUUGUGGUAUUUAGACACCGGAUGCAGUAAUCACAUGAGUAGAGAUAAGUCAAUUUUUUUAACUUUUGAUGAAUCAUUCAAAGAUGAUGUGAAGUUUGGCAAUGAUAUGAAGAUCUCUGUGAUGGGUAAAAGACAGGUAACUAUUCUAAAUAAAAGGAAUGUUACUCAAAUCAUUUCUAAUGUUCUUUAUGUCCCAGAUUUAAAAACCAAUUUGUUAAGUAUUGGUUAGUUGCAAGAGAGGGGUUACGAAAUUAAAAUUAAAAAUGGGAUGUGUCGAGUUCAAGAUGGAAAAUCAGGAUUAAUUGCUCAAGUUGCAAUGACAGCAAAUCGGAUGUUUCUGAUCUACCUCAAUCAUUUUACUCAGUCAUGUUUUGCAGCAAACUUAUCUGAUCCAAUGCAGCUAUGGCAUUUUCGUUACAGUCAUCUCGGUUUUGGAGGCUUACAAACGCUUCAGCGAAAAAACACGGUAGCUGGCCUCCCACAAUUUUCUUGUCCUGCAUAUGUAUGCGAGGAAUGUGUGCUCAGUAAGCAACAUCGAGAACCAUUUCUAAAAGGAAAGAUUGAAAGAGCGAGAAACCUAUUGGAGAUAGUGCAUUCUGAUAUUUGUGGGCCAAUUAAUCCCAUUUCUAAUGGAGGUAAACGCUAUCUUAUCACCUUUAUAGAUGAUAUGAGUAGAAAAACAUGGGAUGAUUUUUUACAGGAAAAAUCUGAAGCUUUAAUUACUUUUAAAAGAUAUAAAGCAUUUGUGGAAAAAGAAGCAGGUCAUUCUAUACAAGUAUUGCGGACUGAUCAUGGAGGAGAAUAUAAUUUGCAUGAAUUCACCCAAUUUUGUGAAGAGCAUGGAAUUAAAAGAAAAUUGACAGCAGCCUAUACACCUCAACAGAAUGGUGUAUCCGAAAGAAAGAAUCGAACCUUUUUCAACAUGGUGUGAAGUUUAUUACAGUGAAGCAGAGUUCCUAGGACAUUUUGGCCAGAAGCAGUCAACUAGAGCAUUCACAUUCUGAAUAGGAGUCCAACUUUUACUGUUCACAAUAUGAGACCGAAAGAAGCAUGGAGCGAAAGAAGACCCGAUGUCAGUCAUUUCAGAAUCUUUGGGUGUAUUGCUUAUGCACAUGUCCCUGAUAAAAAAAGAACAAAGUUAGAAGACAAAGAAGAAACACCAACAGUUCAAAAGAAUGUUCCAGCAGAUUUUGAUGAAGAGCUACAUGUUGAGGAUAAUUUGAAGCCAUCACAUGAGCGAGAAACAAUUCAAAAACCUGAAACUGUAACAGAGCUAACGCCAUCAUGUAUAAGAAGAAGGCCUACUUGGAUGAGGGAUUAUGAAGUCCCAAGAAUUGAUUAAUUUGAGGAUCCACUCACCUAUUUUAUUUUUUUUCAAAUUGUGAUCCUGUGUUUUUUGAAGAGGCGGUUAAACAAUCAAAAUGGAAGAGAGCAAUGGAUGAUGAAAUUGUAGCUAUUGAAAGAAAACAAAACUUGGGAGUUAAUUGAGCUUCCAAAGGGACAUAAAACCAUUGAUGUAAAGUGGGUUUAUAAAACGAAACUGAAGGAAACUGGUGAAGUUGACAAAUGCAAAGCAUGCUUGGUAACGUAAGGUUAUAGUCAGGAGUUUGGCAUCGAUUACAAGGAGAUAUUCGCUCCAGUUGCUAGGCAUGACACAAUCAGAUUGGUGAUUACAUUGGCUGCUCAAAAUUCUUGGUCGGUUUUCUAACUAGAUGUCAAGUCGGCAUUCUUGCAUGGAGACUUGAAUGAACAGGUAUUUGUUAAACAACUUCCUGGCUAUAUUAAGAUUGGAGAAGAGCAUAAAGUAUAUAAAUUAAAAAAGGCUUUGUACGGACUCAAACAAGCCCCUCGACCAUGGUAUAGUUGUAUUGCGGCUUAUUUUCUCCAAAACGGUUUUAAGAAGUGUCCUUAUAAGCAUACUUUUUUUGUGAAAAUAGAAAAUGACGGGAAACAACUGUUGAUGGUUUGCUUAUAUGUCAAUGAUUUGAUAUUUACCGGGUAUGAUCAGGUUCUGUUUGAUAAGUUUAAAAAAUCCAUGAUGGUUGAAUUUGACAUGUCAGAUCUUGGAAGAUUGUAUUAUUUUUUGGGUAUAGAGGUUGCACAAUCAGAUAUAGGUAUUUUUAUUUCUCAAAGGAAGUAUGUGCAGGAGAUUCUAAAGAGGUUUCAAAUGGCGGACUGCAAUCCGGUUGGUACACCAGUAGAGACAAGUUUAAAGUUGGUGAAAGAUAAUAAUGGAAGAGAUGUCGAUAAUACUUUAUACAAAAAAAUCGUGGAAAGUCUAAUGUAUCUCACUGCGACCAGACUAAAUAUAACAUAUGCUGUAAAUCUUAUUUGCAGAUUCAUGGAAUGUCCAAAGGAAAUGCAUCUUCAAGCAAUAAAAAGAAUCUUUAGAUAUUUGUAGGGUAUAAUCGACUACGGGAUCUUGUACAAGAAGGGAGAAAAAUCAGCCUUGAUUGGGUUUACUGAUAGUGACUAUGCAAGAGACCAGGAUAAUAGGAAAAGUACAUCUAGUUACGUAUUUAUGUUCGGAACAGGAGCUGUUUCAUGGUCAUCACGAAAGCAACCAAUUGUCACUCUAUCAACAACUGAAGCAGAACUUGUAGCUGCAUCAACAUGUGUCUGCCAAGCCAUUGGGAUGAGAAAGCCUCUUGAGGAAGUUCAUUUCAAGCAAAAGCGGCCUACUCUUAUCUACUGUGAUAAUAGUUCAACCACAAAGCUAUCCAAGAAUCCUAUUUUACAUGGGAGAAGCAAGAAUAUUGAUGUCCGAUAUCAUUUCUUGAGAGAUCGUGUGAAUAAUGAAGAGAUCAAUAUGAUAUAUUGCAAAAGUGAAUAUCAAAUCACAGAUAUAUUUACAAAAGCCCUCAAACUUGCAACAUUUCAAAAGCUACGACAAAUGCAGGAAGUUAGCAAGAUUUUUUAGUUUAAACUGAUAUUAGAGAUUAAUAUUAGUUUAAGGAAGGGUUUGUUAGACUUUUUCAAUAGUCCUGGUCUACAAGCAGUAGUUGUUUUGAAUAAGUUGUUAUGCUUUCCAUUAUUUUAGGAGUUAGUUUUGCUUUUUACGUUAAUUGUAUAGCCUAUUUAAAGAGCCUAUUUGCUCCCUGAAUUGAAAAUAAUUUAUUUUUCUUCCUAAAGUUAUUUUUUUAUUUGUUGCUUACACAACAUUCUCUAGGGAGGAGAUCGAACGAGACUCAUUAUAUGUGAUUCGGAAGCUGCAAACAAAGGGAGUUGAAAGGUCAGUGAUAGGAGCCUAUAUCUCAAAUAGAGUGGUAUCAAAUCUGUGUCUUUAAACAUGUGCCAAAACAAGCAAACGGAGUUGCUCAUCUAUUGGCUACAGAGGGAUUAAAGAGAGAUGAAGAAACUUAUCUUGUUGGUGCGGUUCCUUCAUAAGCGAAAGUGGUAGUGGAAGAGGACCAUCAAUAGUUGGGCUCACUUUGUCCAGCAGGUUGAAGAUCCACUGCUUAGAAAGAAGAUAAAAUGGGAUUUUACUGUAGGCAAACAGAUGGAAGAAUAGAUGGACUAUUGGGUUUCUCAGUUUUAACGGAGAAUAGAUCGGAUAUAUUAUUAACUUUAAAUUUAAUUAUUGAAUUGAGUUCAAGCUUGAACACAUAUGAAUUUAAUCGAAUUCAAGUUGAAUGUUAAAUAUGAAAAUUUAUUUUUACUUAUCCAAAAAGUAGAAUACUAAAAUUUCAGAGGGUGAAAUGUUUACAAAUAUCUAUAGUAUACAUUUGUAAUUACCCAUGCUAUAAAAAGUUCUUGUUGACUUGAUCACUCAGACUCACAUUAACCUCUAUCAGCCUCAUUCCCACUACUCCUUUACUUUUCCCAAGUAAUAUAAAGUGUAAUAAAAAGUAGGUCUCUCAAUUGAGUGGGCUGAAUCUAUAUAGAUGUUAAUUCAAUUUAGAUUUGAGUUAUUUUCUAUUUGAGUUAAAUUUUUAUGUAAUAGUUCAAACUAAUUCGAAAUUAAAUCAUUUUAGAUAUGAAAUUUAAACAUUUUAGGUUUAAUUAUUAUGGGUUAUGAAAUUUAUAGAUGAUUAUGAAUUAUUUUGGGUUUGACGAAAAUAUUACAUAAAUGUCAUUCUUAGAAUUAACUUCAUGGUGAAUUGAAGGUCACAAUCUGGAUUUGUUCAUAUUUUAAGGUUACAUUGGUAUUCUCCUCACCUAAUAUACUAAACAACCUACAGUGUAAAGAGUGUAUUUGAUGGUCACUAAACUAACUAUAAAUACAAUGAAGGCAAGCGCACCUAUCGAACAAUAGUAUAGUUAUAGUGAGUAGGGAAUAUCGUAUCCAUGAGGACUAAAAGUACUAGUAAUUACCUUUUUUAUUAUUUAGCCGACUAAUUGGAGUGAUUGUUUUUAAUCUAAAAUUACUAAACUAAUCCAACUAAGAACGCAACAGAGAAUGAUAUAAGAAAAAUAAUCAAAGAUUACCAAUGAGAUAGACAGUACCCAGGAAAGAAUCCACCUAGACUUCACCUAUUAUUCUGAAUCUGAAUUAAAUAAUUUAUUCACUUGUGUCUUGAUCCAUAAAAAUCCCUAAAUUAUGUUAAUAUCUCUUUCAAGAGUAAGAACAACUGACUCUAGGUUGAUUAAUUGAAAUCUCUUUCUAAUUAAAACCCCUAUUGUCGCAUUAACUCGGUUUAUGGAUUCCACUAUUAGAUUUGACUCUAAUCUUGUAGAUUUAUGUCGUCCUAUUUCUAUGAUUGCAUGCAACUCCACUCAAUUAUGCUAAAUCUACUCUUAAACAUGAACUUUUUCUCCACUGAAAUAAGCACAUUAAACAUAAAUUAAUAUCCUAAAAAUAUUAAAACAUGAAAUAAUCAUACAUAAUUGAGAACAAGAAUCAAGUAUUUAUCGCGUAAAAACAGAAAUUAAAUAAUAAGAUUCAUCAUAGGUUUCAUCCUCCCUAGGUAUCUAGGGAAUUUAGUUUAUAAUCCUGAAUAAAAACAUCUCAGAGUUAGGAUAACAACAAGACAUAAAGCAACUCAAUAAAACUUUGAGGGAAAUUAAAUGGAGAUCUUCAAUCUUGAGGAAGAUCCGCUUCUGAGUUGAUUUCGAUGGCGUUCUUCGAGUCUUUUCUUCAAUCUUCUCUGAGUGCCCCCUUAAGUCUUCUUCUAAUUGGUAUUUAUAGACUUUAGAAUGCUCAAAAUGCCUAAAAACUGGGUUUUUCUGUGUAUUUGGGAAGUAGGGUGCGAUAUCGACACGGGCUGGAACAUGGGCGUGUGGUUAGCCCGUGUGGCUCACACGGGCAUGUGGCCAGCCCAUGUGGAAAUUCCCAGGCCAUGUGGAUCCUGGAAACAACUCUAUUUGUCUGAUUUUUUACUCCCAAAUGCUUUCCUAAGUAUAGAAACAUGAAUUUAAAAGAUUAGGAGCAUCAAAUUCACUAAUUUACAUAAUUAAUUAUCCAAAAACACAUUAAGAAUGAGAUUAAAAUAUGUUACUUUUAUAGCUUAUCAGUAUUCAAAAUUAUAUUCUAAUUAAGAUACCCUUACCUAUCAACAUUCAGAAAGAUAGUCAAUGGAUUGGAGUUGCUUCUUGCUGUAUUUUUGACAAUGAUGCUUCAGGACAUUCUAUCGGUUGUGGAGGAUUUAUUUUUCAAGGUAGAAAUUGUCGAUAGCUUGGUUUGAGAUGCUCGUUCUUGGGCAAAGGAAUAAUGAAAUGUCACAUUUUGCUUCAUUAUUGGUCGCGUGAUAAACUAUAUCCAAUUUCUUUAGAGGAUAAAUAUGGUGACUAUGAAUUCAAUAAUUUAUUGUCAAUAGAUUGCUUAGAUCAAAAUUGCGAUAAGCCUGGGAUGUGUUUCAUAUAUGCAUAUGAUUGCAAUUUUGACGUAAAUAAGUGUGGUGUUAGAAUAGUGUAUAAGUGUGUUGUUGAAAGCACUAAAAAUAAUCUAUCCCUAUAAUAAAAAGAAUAGUAUAAGGGAAGUAGGGUCAAAUCCUCAGGGACUGGAUUGCUAAAACUUCUUAUUCCUCGAAAUCCUAGGCACAGUCAUGCCCGAGAAAAAGCAGCGUACAUAAUCCUUCUCAUGACAGAAUAAGCCAGUUAGUUAUAGUGGAAGAGGAUGCCUAUGACCACCAGCUCCACUUAGAUUUUAGACUUAUGAUUUAAAGGAACCUGACUCUAGCCAACCGUCACUUUCGUGGGACCAUCUUACACUAGAUCAUCGUUUCUCAAUGGCGAAUGCCACGCCAUUUCGUCUCUUGGGCUCAACAACCUCUGACGCAGUAAGUUAACAAACCGACUGUGCAACCUUCCCAAAAUAUACAAAGCGGCUACCUUUGCACAAGAUAAAAAGAUCAAUUUUGGAAGGUCAUGGACGAAAGCGUCAGUCCCAUAAUACAGAGAAGCGAUGAAUACUCGUUGAGAAUGUUAAGUGCGGGUUCUAAGCCUCAUGAACCUUUUUUGAGGAAUCUCAACAACCUUUGGCUAGAUGAAUUUAGUGGCUCAUGCUUUUCGGGAAAAAGAAAUAAGUUUAAUGGAAUGGAAUUUUAUUGGGAAAUAAAAUAAAAGGAACAAAAAGGCUAGAACCUUAGGGGAAAUGAGUGUUUUACAAGAAUUGAUGAGUGAAUAAUUAUGUCACUCCAUUCCCUAUUUAUAGUAAAUAGAAAACCUAAUUUGUUCCUAUUUAAACUCUAAAAGAUAAAUAAAGAUAAAAGUUGAAUUUAGAUCUAAAUAAUAAUCCUAAAUUUUUAAUUUAGAUUUAGGUAGCACUUCUCACAUAAAACGAAAACGUAACAUCUAUGAGGAAGCGAAGGAAGAAGGGCCCCAACAAAACGGAUGCAAAAAAAAUUUAUUUUUAUAAUGAGCCAACUUUGUCCUAUUAGUUUUUUUACACAUCUAUGUAAACUUAUUUGCUUAUGAGAUAUAAUCCUUCUUAUAUAUAAAAAAUUUUUAAAUUUUUUAUUUAUACACAUAUUCAACAUGAGCUCAUAUUCUAUGCAUAUCCCAAAUGUUGAUAACAUAUGAUUUUUCUAUUUUUAAAAAAUUUAUGUAUUUUAAUAUUAUAUAAUUUUUUAAAUUAUGAUUGACUUUUUUUGGGUAAACUACAAAUAUAGUCACUUUUGUUUCACUCAGAUUACAUUUUAGUCACUUAUAUUUGAAAUGUUAUGUUUUAGUCACUUGCGUAUCGUUUUGUUACAAAGUGGUCACUCUACCAUUAAGCUCCGUUACCUCCCUAACGGCAAUCCUACGUGGCAGUCCAAAUGGGUUUUAAAUGCCAACUUGGAUGUCUAAUUGGUACGACAAUAGGUUUUUAAUUAAAUAAAUUUAAUUAAUUAAAAAUUUUAAAUUAAUUACAUGUUGAACUGGAAAAGAAAAAUCAUUCAUCUCUUUUUUCUUUUUAGUUUUCCCUUUCAUUUUAACUGAAAAAAUUAUUCUCAUCCUAGUUGGAAAUCCUAGUUGGAAAUCUAAGUUGUCAUUUAAAACCUAUUUGGGUUGCCACGUAGGAUUGUCACUAGGGAGAUAACGGAACUUAACUGAAGAGUGACUACUUCGUAACAAAACGAUAACGUAAGUGGCUAAAACGUAGCAUUUCAAACAUAAAUGACUAAAAUGUAAUUUGCGGCAAAUAAAAGUGACCAUUUUUAUAGUUUACUUUUUUUUGAAUUUUAGAGUUUAGGUUCAUUUUGUGAACUCUUUCUUGGAAUCUUCGUGGAGAGAACAUUUAUCAUCCCCCAAUUUCCACACCUACGAGCUUGAGGGCAAUGAGGUUGUUGUUUUGGGAGGUUCAAAGGUGAGGGGGAGCUGUUUGGGAUGGCGGUCGGUAAUGGAAGAUGAGAGUGAUGAAGCCCGGGUGUACUGGUGAUGUUGGUGGUGAAGAUGGGAGCCUCGAGUGAUAGAGAGAGAAUGGUGAAAAGGCCCCUGGGUUAGCUCAGAGAUGAAAUUUGCUGCUAUUGCUGCCUCUAAUUUCCACCCCUAUGCUCAUAUACUUGCUUUUCUAGUUUCUUUGUGGGUAUUGGACGAUAUAUUUUCUGAUUUUUAACACCAGAUUGAGAUAUUCUUCUCCUUUCAUACAUACUCAUGUUGUCCUUACCUUCAACUUCUUCCUCCAUUUCUAAAAAGAAAUAUGAUGUUUUCUUGAGUUUUAGUGGUGAAGAUACUCGCAACAACUUCACAGAUCAUGUUUAUGAUGCUACAACUAAUAGAAAAGUCAACAAUAUUAAUUAUAUGUCUAACUAAUAACAUUAUAAAAAUAUAUGAUUAAAUUAGGUUAGAAAUUAAAUCUUAAAUUUAGGCAUAAUUAAAAAAAAAAACUAAAAUUGAAAUUCUAACAUUUUCUUAUAAUGUAAAAGAAACAAUAUCCUAUACAUUAAAUUAAUAAAUUGUAUUCAUACAUAAAAUUUUAUGAUACUGAGUAGAUAUAAGUUAUUUUAGUCUGCACCUAAUGAACAUUUUAGAUGCUUCAAAUAGAACUUAAUCAUAUAAAAGGCAAAAUGUGAGGGACCGAAUUUAAAAUAACGCAUUGUCCUCCCUGACAGGUGUCUCCAAAUACUUCUUUAAUAUAUAGUUAUAUAGACAAUUAUAUGAUUAUGUAAAUGAAAGUAAAAGACAAACCGUCCAACACUCUACUUAUUACUUAGAAUUAUUGUAGGCUCCAUUUUGUCUACACCCACCUUCUUGGAUUCUUCCUGGAAAGAACAUGCAUCACCCAAUGUCCACACCUACUCGUAUUCAUUUCGAAAAUGAAAAGGUUAAAAAGAUUAAAAGAAAUUGCUUAGAAACUUCCUUUAUUCUUCCCUGAAAUUUUCAUCUGUUUUUCUCAAUCUUCACUUUCAUAUACUUACUGUUUCUAAUUUCUUUCUGGCGUAUUGAGCGAUCAAUUUUCUGAUUUUGAACACUACAUCCACAUAUGUAUUUUUCUUCUCAAACAUCGUCAUGUUGUCAUUACCUUCAUCUUCCUCAUACAUUUCUAGAAAGAAAUAUGAUGUUUUCUUGAGUUUUAGAGGUGAAGAUACUCGCAAAAACUUCACCGAUCAUCUCUAUGCUGCUCUAAAGAGGAGUGGGAUCGUCACUUUCAGGGAUGAUCCCAAGCUGGAGGCCGGUGAAGAGAUCGCGCCAGAACUCUUUAAAGCAAUUCAGCAAUCAUGGUGCUCGGUAAUUGUUUUUUCAGAAACUUAUGCCUUUUCAAGUUGGUGCUUGGAGGAGCUUGCUGAGAUUGUUCAACAACAUAACAACGACGGCCAUAAAGUGUUUCCAAUUUUUUACGAUGUUGAUCCAUCUGAUUUAAGAAAACAAAAAGGGAAAGUGGAAGAAGCCUUUGCCAGACAUGAAGAGAGAUACAAAGAAGAAAGUGAGAAGAUCCAAAGGUGGCGAAAUGCUUUAAUUCAAGUGGCUGCAAUCAAGGGAUGGCAUUUAAAUAACAGGUAAUUCUUUCUUUUCUUCUCUAUUUUCUAGUUUUUUGGAUAUAUAUAUAUAUAUAUAUAUAUGUAUGUGUAACUAUUUUUUUUUUCCUAAUCCUAUGUGUUUAAUUGAAAAGUGUCAUAUUUAGCAAAUUUUGUCUUCUGGCUCCGCAACAGAUCUUGCUUUCUUAUUCUUGGUUCUUGUUUGCUUCCAAACUAUAUUAUGUUUCAUGAUUCAUUGAAAAGAAAAGUGCAUUCGAAACAUAUCAACAAAAUUUUACUCAAAACAUUAAAAUUUCUUUUUUUUAGGCAUGAAUCAGAAAUUAUUAGAGACAUUGUUAAGAAGAUAUCAGCAAAACCAUGUCAGACAUAUCCAGUUACUCAUAGCGACUUGGUUGGUAUUAGUGAACGCUUGGAGGAUUUGUAUUUGAAAAUAAACAUUGGGGAAGAUGAUGUCCGCGUUAUAGGAAUUUGCGGAAUGGGUGGCAUCGGUAAAACGACACUCGCAAGAGUUGCUUACACUCAAAUGUCACCUCAUUUUGAAGGUAAAAGCUUUAUUUCUGAUAUUCGAGAAGUUUCAGACAAAUGCGGACUAGUUUCUUUACAGAAACAACUUCUUUCACAGAUCUUUCAUGGUGAAUGCUUCAACUUUUUCGAUGUUCAUGAAGGGAGUGACAUAAUUAGCCAUAGGUUGUCUCACAAAAAGGUUCUUGUUGUUCUUGAUAAUGUUGAUAACAUACAACACUUAAAAUGCUUGGUAGGAAGGCACGAUUGGUUCGGAUUAGGAAGUAGAAUCGUUGUAACAACAAGAGAAGAACAUUUGCUUCGGUCUUGGCCAGUUGAUGAUAUGUAUGAGCCCAAAACAUUGAAUCCCAAAGAUGCACUUCAACUUUUCAGUCUGAAAGCUUUUCAUAGUGAUACAGUGCAGAAAGAUGAUUUCAUUGAGCUUUCUGAACAUGUUGUAAAUUAUGCUGGUGGACUCCCUUUAGCUCUUGAAGUUUUGGGCUCCUUUUUGUGCGGUAGAGAUGCGACUCAAUGGAGAAGUGCGAUUGAAAGACUUAAAAGAGAUUCUGAUAAAGAAAUUCUCAAUAAACUUCGAAUCAGUUUUGAUGGACUGGAAGAAAGGGAGAAGGAUAUAUUUUUAGAUAUAGCAUGCUUCUUCAAUGGGGAGAGGAAAGAUUUUGUAAUAAAAGUAUUAGAUGGUUGUGAGUUUUUUCCUGAUAUCGGAAUUGAUGUUCUCAUUAAAAAAUCUCUCGUAAAAGUCGAUAAAUACAACAGAUAUUUGAAGAUGCAUGAAUUGUUGCAAGAAAUGGGAAGAACAAUUGUUAAAGAAAAAUGUGUUGAUGAACCUGGAAAACGUUGCAGAUUGUGGGAGGAAAGGGACGUCCAUCAUGUCCUAACAAAAUACACUGUAAGUCAUUCAAUAAAAGUUACAUACUAUUUCUUUUUUAUCCUACAUUAUUCACCAUUUAUUUUAUUUUCUUAUUGUCUGUUGUUGAUCUUUUUUAGGCUACAGAAAUGAUUAAAGGCAUAAUAUCGAUAAUAAAAGGUAAGAAGAUACACAUAAACUUAUAUCUAUGUGUACUGUAAAUAAUUAUUAUUUUUAAAUAUGAUAAAAAAAAUAUAGCAAAACUUUUGACAUUCAAUAUUUCAAUGUUUAAUUAUGAAAUUUAUCUAGCAACAUAUUUACUCUUUCAAAAGAAUCAAAAGAGAAAUGUAUGUAUUUUUGAAAUAUUAAUGGUAUAUUUUUUUGUGAAAAUUAAUGGUAUAUAUUUAAUGUACUAAAAGUGUAUAUCAACGAAUUAGAUUAUAACAUGUCAUCGAAAUUUUUUUAAUGAAAAUAGUUUCAUUUUUAAUUAUGUGUCAUUGUUUGGUUCAUUAACUUGUAAAUUAUGCUUUGUUUGCGGACCGAAUAUAAAUCAACAUAUUAAUUCAAUUUUUUAGGAUUAGGUAAUUUAACAUCGGAUGGGAUUAUUAGAUAUAAGUAUCUCUUUAAUAUGGCUAUGUUAAAAAAAUAUAUUUAAAAAUUGUUUUUAUUCACAUAUUUAAAAGGUUCUUAAAGGAUCAUAUCUUAAUACCCAUAUACGAAUAUGCAUUAGAUAUAAGUAUUGGAUACGAGUACUUAAAAAACAAUAUUGAUGUAACAUUUCUUUUAGAUAUUGAAUGUUUUUGUAUAUUUUGAAGCUCAUUUUUGUUUUGCUCAUGGAUAUUAGGGAAUCGAACAAGAUACUCAAUUUGAGUGUGGAUACCUUCUUGAAGAUGAAAAAAUUGAGAUUGCUUAAAGUGCUUUGCCUUUCAAAUUGUGAUGAUGAUCUCAAAUAUCUUUCUAAUGACCUACGACUUUUAGAUUGGACAGGAUACCCUUUAAGAAACUUGCCUUCAAGCUUUCAACCGGAUAACCUUGUCGCACUUCUUUUACCAUAUAGUCACAUUCAACAACUAUGGAAGGGAAAUAGAGUAAGAAUUAACUCAUCUUAUCCUUGUGUUUUAGCUUAUUUUAAUAUAAAUUAUUAAACUUUGAUUAAGGUAAAACAAAAAAACAAAAAUGAGCAUUAUUAUGUUUUCUCAUUUGUUUCUAAUUUAUUAUGGUCUUCAACAGCCCUUGUUUAACUUGAAAAUAAUGAACCUCAGAGGGUCUCAAAACCUGAUCAAGACACCAGACUUCACAACAGCAUCAAAUCUUGAGGUUUUGAUUUUGGAAGGUUGUACCAAAUUAGUGGAUGUUCAUCCAUCAAUCGGGGUGCUUAGGAGCCUUAAACUUUUGAAUUUAAGAGAUUGCAAAAGUCUUAGGACUCUUCCAACCAAAACUGGAAUGGAAUCUCUUGAAACAUUAAUUCUUUCGGGUUGCUCAAAUCUUGUAAGGUUUCCGGAUGUUGAAGGGAAAAUGGAACGCCUAAAAACUCUAGAUCUUUCCGGUUGUUAUAGAGUGGAAAAUUUAUCGGAGAAUUUGCAGCAAGCAAAGUUUUUGGAAGAGCUCGACUUGAGUGAAACAGCCAUAACAGAACCACCAUCCUUCAUUUUUCAAUUUAAAAAUCUUAAAGUUCUGUCUUUCAAUGGGCGCAAGGGACCAUCAUAUAAGUUACUACCAAAUUUGCCUUCUCUUGUCAAGGUAAUCCAAGGAAGAAGGACGAAUCCCAUGGCUCGGAUGUUGCCUUUGUUGUCAGGUUUGAGUUCAUUAAGAGAGUUGAAUCUAAGGGACUGCAAUCUUUGUGAAGGAGAUAUUCCACCUGAUAUUUCUGGUCUAUCCUGUUUGGAAGAACUUGAACUUAGCGGUAACAAUUUCAUCAGCAUACCUGCAUCUCUUACUCGACUCUCCAAGCUUAAAGAGCUUAUAUUGUCAAAUUGCAACAUGUGCACUCUUGGUGAAGCAGAUAUUCGUAGUGAUCUUUCUGGUCUAUACUCUUUGCUACGUCUUGAUCUUAGUGGUAAGAAUUUCAUCACCCUUCCUUUGGCUCUUACUCAACUUUCCAGGCUCAAAUUGCUUAAAUUGUCAGGUUGCAAGAUGCUUAAAUCAUUGCCUGAGCUACCAACAAGUAUAAGAUAUAUGAUAAUAGAUGAUUGUUCUUCACUUGAAGUAGUUGCAAGUCCAUCAAAAGUAUGCAAUUUAGCGGGUGGUGAUGAAAUUAGUGCCAUUAACUGCUUCAAAUUGGCUGAGAAAAUCAAUGCAUUAACACUGCUGAAAGAACAUAUUAAGGUCAAUUAAUCUAUUUUUUCUCCCUUAGAAAAUCUCAUACUUGAGAAUUUAUGGUUUUAGUUACCAAACGACUUGUGUUUAAUUUUGCAGGCGGUUCGAUAUCCAAGAGAUUGUUUUCAUAGUAGCAUCGUUGAUAUUAUGAUGCCCGGAAGUGAAAUCCCAGAAUGGUUUAGCCAACAAAAAAGUGACUCUUCAAUUAAGAUACCCCUACCUAUCAACCUUCGGAAAGAUAGUCAAUGGAUUGGAGUUGCUUGUUGCUGCAUUUUUGUCGAUAAUGGUGCUUCAAGGAAUAAGAUGCUUUACUGUGAUGGAUCUAUUUUUCGAGGUAGAAAUUGUCGACGAAUUUUUUGGAGCCUCGGGUGGGUAGGUCGAAGCUUUCACAAGCUCAUAAUGAAAGAUCACCUUUUUCUUCGUUAUUUUCUGCGUGAUGAAUUAUAUCCAAUUUCCUUGGAGGAUAAAUAUGGUGACUGUGAAACCAAUAAUUUAUGGACAGCAGAUUGCUUAGAUCAAACAGGCGAUAAGCUUCAGUUGUGUUUCAAUUCCAAAUUUGAACCAAAUGACCGUUGUGUUAAGGUGAAGAAGUGUGGUGUUAGAAUAGUGUAUGAGAAAGAUUUGGAAGAAAUGAAAGAGUUGCAGUGCCAUACCACUCAAUCUUCUCCAAAUUUUGAACACAUCCACCAACACUCUGCUCAAAACCAUGGAUCAGUAGGUAGCACUUCUCACAUGAAACGAAAAAUCAAGAGAGAAGCAUUAACUGUGGUAAACUACUUAACCAACUUUGUCCUAUUAAUUUUUUUUUUACACAUCUUGUAUUUCAUUUGAACAAUUAUUCUAGACUUGUUUUGCAUAUGCGAUAUGAUCCUUCCAUUAUAUGCCAAAACAUUUUAAAAUUUUAGCUACUUAUUUUUAUUGGAGAUCAACUUAUGUAUUCAAUUUAAUCAAUCAAAACUGUUUUUAUAUAUUUAGAAGAUUAAUUAUAAAUAGUUAAUAGUACUUAAAUAGAUUUAAUUCCUUCUAAUAAAGUAUCAUUUAAAUUUGAUGGCUUGAAGUACAAAUAACAUUAUUCCAACUCUUCAGUUUAUAUUUUUUUAGACAUCUAUGUAAACUUAUUUGCUUAUGAGAUAUAAUCCUUCUUAUAUAUAAAAAAUUUUUAAAUUUUUUAUUUAUACACAUAUUCAACAUGAGCUCAUAUUCUAUGCAUAUCCUAAAUGUUGAUAACAUAGUAUUUUUAGACCAUUUAAAAUUCUUCUUUAUGUUUAUGAUUUUUCUAUUUUUAAAAAAUUUAUGUAUUUUAAUAUUAUAUAAUUUUUUAAAUUAUGAUUGACUUUUUUUGGGUAAACUACAAAUAUAGUCACUUUUGUUUCACUCAGAUUACAUUUUAGUCACUUAUGUUUGAAAUGUUAUGUUUUAGUCACUUGCGUAUCGUUUUGUUACAAAGUGGUCACUCUACCAUUAAGCUUUGUUACCUCCCUAACGGCAAUCCUACGUGGCAGUCCAAAUGGGUUUUAAAUGCCAACUUGGAUGUCUAAUUGGUACAACAAUAGGUUUUUAAUUAAAUAAAUUUAAUUAAUUAAAAAUUUUAAAUUAAUUACAUGUUGAACUGGAAAAGAAAAAUCAUUCAUCUCUUUUUUCUUUUUAGUUUUCCUUUUCAUUUUAACUGAAAAAAUUAUUCUCAUCCUAGUUGGAAAUCCAAGUUGUCAUUUGAAACCCAUUUGGAUUGCCACGUAGGAUUGUCACUAGGGAGAUAACGGAACUUAACUGAAGAGUUCGUAACAAAACGAUAAUGUAAGUGGCUAAAACGUAGCAUUUCAAACAUAAAUGACUAAAAUAUAAUUUGCGGCAAAUAAAAGUGACUAUUUUUAUAGUUUACUUUUUUUUGAAUUUUAGAGUUUAGGUUCAUUUGUGAACUCUUUCUUGGAAUCUUCGUGGAGAGAACAUUUAUCAUCCCCCAAUUUCCACACCUACGAGCUUGAGGGCAAUGAGGUUGUUGUUUUGGGAGGUUCAAAGGUGAGGGGGAGCUGUUUGGGAUGGCGGUCGGUAAUGGAAGAUGAGAGUGAUGAAGCCCGGGUGUAUUGGUGAUGUUGGUGGUGAAGAUGGGAGCCUCGAGUGAUAGAGAGAGAAUGGUGAAAAGGCCCCUGGGUUAGCUCAGAGAUGAAAUUUGCUGCUAUUGUUGCCUCCAAACACAGAAUUGCUAACCUACCCGGCUUGAAUUUUGUAGAUUGAUUUUAUUAACAGAAAUCAGUGGAGCAUGUUGUGUGUGCUUGCAGUGCAACAAAAGGAAUUGGCAUUUUGUGCUGCGGAAGAUACCUGUAGGUGCUGAGGUAGGUGUACUGGUGCAGAAGGGUGGCCAUUGACUGGCUACCACCUGUCCCAAGAUAUUAGGAACACAUUAGGAUCUGUUUGUAAAGUUAAUAAAAAUUUGGGGACUUUUACUCAAAAUUUUAACUUUUGAAUUAUUACUUACAAUUAUUGUAGGCUCCACUUUGUGGACUCUUUCUUGGAUUCUUCAUGGAGACAACAUCUGUCAUCCCCCAAUUUCCACACGUGCCUGCUUUCAUUUGGAAACAAAGGAAAUGUAUAGAAAAAUUGCUUAGGGAAAUUGGAUCUAGUUCUCUCCUUCAUGCUCAUAUACUAUACUAUAUUGAAAAUAUAUUAAAGAGAUUUGACAAGGAUUGUACAUUAGGUGAUGCUUAUAUCAUUAAAAGGGACAAGUUUAAUGCUCAUCAAUGCCUCAAAAUUGGUUUUAAGAUUAAGGAAAUGGAAAAAAUCACUAUGCUUAUUACUUAAUAAUAAUUGGUUUUAUAUGUGUAAAAAUAUUGCAUAUAUAACCCCGAAUUUCCACACCACUCCCUUUCAUUUUGUCUACUCUCACCUUCUUGGAGUCUUUCCGGAAACAUCUAUAACCCCGAAUUUCCACACCUAGUCCCUUUCAUUUCGAAAAGUAAUGUUUUUAAUUAUUAUCUUUCAUUGUUAAGUUCAUAAAAUACAAACCGUCCAACAUUUUUAACUCUCACCUUCAUGAAAAGAACAUAUCACCCGGCCCUCUUCUAUUUUUCAUAUGUUUUUCCUCAUAUAUUCAUUAUUUUCUGAUUUUGAACACCAGAUUGAAAUAUCUUCUCCUUUCAUACAUCCUCAUGUUGUCGUUACCUUCAACUUCUUCCUCCAUUUCUAGAAAAAAAUACGAUGUUUUCUUGAGUUUCAGAGGUGAAGAUACCCGCAGCAACUUUACCGAUCAUCUCUAUGAUGCUCUAAGUAGGAGUGGGAUCGUCACUUUCAGAGAUGAUCCAAAGCUGGAGGCCGGCGAAGAGAUCGCACCUGAACUCUUUAAAGCAAUUCAGCAAUCAUGGUGCUCGGUAAUCGUUUUUUCACAAACUUAUGCCUUUUCAAGUUGGUGCUUGGAGGAGCUUGCUGAGAUUGUUAAACAACAUAACAACGACGGCCAUAAAGUGUUUCCAAUU
rnacentral:lncRNA from 1 species